UGAGUUGGAAAAGGAGAGUAAAGAGAAACUAGGAGGACACACAUACAUACAUACAUACAUACAUACAUACAUACAUACAUACAUACACACACAUACGCGCGCGCCGAUGCUUAGCCCACUGUACUCCGGGUCCCCUUGUAGCCGUCACAAGACUGCAUCCUAACUAGUUUUACACGUAUGGGGUCACGCACCCCCAACCAUGAACCACAAACACAGAUCCUAACCAGACUGCGCUGUAGUCCAGCACUGCACUGCAUUUCAAUGCUCUAAACACAUACAUAUAUGCAUACAUGCAUACAUACACGCAACACACACACGUCCUGUUCGUACCUGUAGUGAUGGGGGCAGUGGGAGGGGAAACGGGGCCGCAGUCCCUCCGCUACGAGUGCGGGCAAGUCCUAUGGUGGCAGAGCCAGUCAAGGAAGUGGAAGAGUUCAGGGAAGAGGGUCAGCGUGGAUGGAUGCGCUAGAAUGGAACUUGACAACGGAUCUCAGAUUUCGGGGUUCUGCACCUUUGCAGUGUGGAAGUGUAAUUCGAGUGUGCAUGUAUAAACCGUACCAAAUGAUGAUGAUGAUGAUGAUCACGAUGACGAAAGCAAAGGCGCGGGAUAGUUGUGAAAGGUAGAGACAGAAACCUGGUGGUGAGCAGACGAUGUGGAUUUGUGUGCAGCCUUGCAGUCCUGUCACACUACUAAUGAUGCCGUACAACUCGUACCUCAAAGUUGGGUGCGAACUCCGCAUAGGGUGGCUUGCGUGUGAAGACCUCCCACAUCACGAUGCCGAACGCGUAAAUGUCCACUGACGCAUCCAGCUUGCGAUCUGGGGGGUUAGUAGUCCGGGGAAGGGGGGAGUGAGGAUGGAAUGCAUGGGACAGGGGGAGGAGAGUGUGUGUGCGUGUGUGUGUGCGGGGGGAGAACGGGAGGUGUUGCUGAGGGGAGAAUGAUGCCAGGGAAGCCAUUACAACGAGUCAGUGGACCGCAUCUGUAUGCAAGGGGAAAUAACUGAAGGACAGGGAGACCUGUUUAACCGUACAUAUGUCCGUACAUCCGUACCUGGUUCAAAGCACUCGGGUGCCAAAUGGGUGACCUGUGGAGGCGUGUGUACGGCAGGCGGGCAGUGGGAGGCACGACACAUCAUGGACUCGUCCAGGUCGGCAACUACCUAACCACCAACUGCCUGACUAAUGGACUGAUGAGCAAUGAAGAACACAUACCACCAACCCACCAAUCACCCCCCGAAACACACAACCCAACCAACCCCCCUUACCGUGCCCGCCGCAUCUGCAUUUCGCAUCCACGGCCGGUGUCCACUCGAGCUCGGCCUCGUCGCCGCCGUGCUGCCUCCACUUCCACCACUUGCCGAGGCGCCCCCACCCGCCCUCCUGCCCUCCCUGCCGGCAUGCCCCUCCGGCUCUUGCUGCUCGGCGUCCUGCUCCGCUCCGCCCUCCUCCUCCCUCUCCGUCCGCAGCAAGUUGACCAGCCCGAAGUCGGACAGCUUGCACGUGAAGCCCCGUGGGUCGCUGGAGGACGACUUGAGCAGUACGUUGGCAACCUUGACGUCGCAGUGAACAAGGUUCAUGGCGUGCAGGUGCCUCAGCGCCAGAGCCAGCUCUAACAAAGUCAGGUAGAUGGCUUGCAUGGCGCUGCCGCCACCACCACUGCCCCACGGUGAGGGGGAGGGAGAGGGGGAGGGGGAGGGGGGGAAGCUGAAGCCGCCCUGGGUUGGCCCGCCGCUUCCUCUCCCUCCUCUUUCUCCUCCCGCUGCUGUUGGGGACUUGGCCGCCGGUGCCGCGAGUGUGAGGGCGGCAUUGUGGCUCUUGGCUGUCGCGAUAAUGGCCUUCUUGAACAUGCCGUUGUCCAGGGCAUCGGCAAGAGAGCCCAGGUCGCAACGCUGCAGGGAGGUUGGGGGCAACAUGGGACACGUACGGCAGUUAAGGCAAGGGUGAGUGGUGCUCACCUCCGGGCCACCCGCACCUGGGGCCCAAGCGAUGCCUUCCGUGCGCUCUCAAACCCCCACCCCCACCUCCCCGACCCCGCUACCACACACACAUGCAUGUGUGACCCGGGGCUCCCUCACCUCCAUGAUGAGGACCGAAUGAAGAGGCCCUGCGACGGAAGAAGCAGUGGUGGAGGGAGGUGGAGAGGGGAGGAGGGAAGGUCAGGCGAUGAAGUAUGACACGAAGGGUUUUAUCCGUACGGCUUAAACUGUAACUCCGUACCGAGGCCGGGAUCUAUCCGGUAGGUAUGGGGGCCUGAUGUCAGUCCUUUCACAUCCCCCUGUGUCUCCCCCCCACACACACGCGCCACACCCCUAAACCCACCAGUCGCCUCCCCGCCCUCUCCAAGCGGCACAACCCUAAACCCACCAGUCGCCUCCCCGCCCUCUCCAGGCGGCACCGGCACCAGUCGUGGCAGUCCCUCGGGUCCCUCCCCCGAAAUCACUUGCACGCGAGUGUGGUACGAAUAAACCUGCAGCAGCAUCAGCAGUAGCAGCAGCAGUUGCAGCAAGACACGGAGGGCGGGGGUGGUCACAGCCGCUGCGAGGGGGCGCUCGCAGCCGAUUGACUUGAUGGGAUGGGAGAGCUGCGACACAAGCAACAUGAGGGUGCGGAGGGGAGGGGGGACAACACACGCCGCGACGGGUCGCAGGCCUUAUCAUGGCCCCAACCGCCUCCAGCCCGAUUUCUAUGUGUUCCCAACUAAUUUCGUCUCCCCUCCCGCCCGUUCCCUAAUUGCCUUGUCUCCCCCUUCGCUUUCCCUCCAAUGCUGGUGUUGGGGGUUUGAAUGCGGCUUCGCAGGUUCCCGCAUUCGACGGGUUCCGUACGUGGUGGGUUGAUUGCAGGUAAGGUGGGGUGGCGGGUGGUGGUGGCGGGUAACGAGCUGAUGGGGAUUGCAUGGAUAGAUGGAUGGGUUGGCGGUAGUGGUGGUGGUGGUGGUAAAAAACAGUGAAGGGGUGAUGGUGUCAUGCGGGAAAAGGCCCUCCGCUGAGUAUGGGAGGUUGGGGGGAUAGUGGGGUUAGUUGUCCGGGUGUGGUGCUUGGGGCGGCGAGUGGGUGUAUGUGGGGGGGGGUUACGAGGCGGUAGAAACCCCAACCCUCCCCCUCCCUCUCCAUCUUCUCCCCCUUCCCCGCCCCUUCCCCCUCCCGCUUCCCCUCCCCUCCCCCUCCCCCUCCCCCCCUCCCCGCCCCCAUUCCCUCCUCUUUGACCUACCUGGACGAUGGAAGGAUGACUCAGCGUGGUCAGUACGGCACAUUCUCGGGCGCUGCGGACCAGCUCCCGCAUCUGCGCCUGCCGUACAGCGGUUGCCAGCUCUGCCAGGCGCUCCUCCUCGGCCUCCUCUCCCGCCCUCUCCUGCCGCUCACUCCCCGACCCGCCCCCUACCGCGCCGCGGGUUGCGCCCGAGUCCCCCCGCGGCUGCAUACCCGCAAGAGCUUCCACGUCCACAUCAGGGGGGGGCUCGAUCACCUUGACCUGAGGUGGGGUGCAGUGCCGUGCGGUACGGCNNNNNNNNNNNNNNNNNNNNNNNNNNNNNNNNNNNNNNNNNNNNNNNNNNNNNNNNNNNNNNNNNNNNNNNNNNNNNNNNNNNNNNNNNNNNNNNNNNNNNNNNNNNNNNNNNNNNNNNNNNNNNNNNNNNNNNNNNNNNNNNNNNNNNNNNNNNNNNNNNNNNNNNNNNNNNNNNNNNNNNNNNNNNNNNNNNNNNNNNNNNNNNNNNNNNNNNNNNNNNNNNNNNNNNNNNNNNNNNNNNNNNNNNNNNNNNNNNNNNNNNNNNNNNNNNNNNNNNNNNNNNNNNNNNNNNNNNNNNNNNNNNNNNNNNNNNNNNNNNNNNNNNNNNNNNNNNNNNNNNNNNNNNNNNNNNNNNNNNNNNNNNNNNNNNNNNNNNNNNNNNNNNNNNNNNNNNNNNNNNNNNNNNNNNNNNNNNNNNNNNNNNNNNNNNNNNNNNNNNNNNNNNNNNNNNNNNNNNNNNNNNNNNNNNNNNNNNNNNNNNNNNNNNNNNNNNNNNNNNNNNNNNNNNNNNNNNNNNNNNNNNNNNNNNNNNNNNNNNNNNNNNNNNNNNNNNNNNNNNNNNNNNNNNNNNNNNNNNNNNNNNNNNNNNNNNNNNNNNNNNNNNNNNNNNNNNNNNNNNNNNNNNNNNNNNNNNNNNNNNNNNNNNNNNNNNNNNNNNNNNNNNNNNNNNNNNNNNNNNNNNNNNNNNNNNNNNNNNNNNNNNNNNNNNNNNNNNNNNNNNNNNNNNNNNNNNNNNNNNNNNNNNNNNNNNNNNNNNNNNNNNNNNNNNNNNNNNNNNNNNNNNNNNNNNNNNNNNNNNNNNNNNNNNNNNNNNNNNNNNNNNNNNNNNNNNACUGGUUCCAUGGCUAGGGAGCCCAGGCAGGAAGGCAGUAGCAGCUGCAUUCACAAUUACGGAACAGCACGUUAGCGGACGGAGCUCAUCGCAUGGGAAGGCUCAUGAGUAUAGCGCCGGUACGGCAACGGAUCCAUCAGUACGACAAGAAACCCCUUUGCUCACCUCCAACAGGCCCGUCGCCCGCUCCUUGAUCACCCUCAACAGCGAAGUGGGAAGCCGCUCCUGGGCCGUGAUGUACAAGGCAACGCAAGCGCCACAGCCCCCACCGCCGCCGCCGUUGUCGUACCGAACACUGCCGCCGCCGUCCCCGGCGCCGUACCGUAUCGACAGGUCGACGGCGACGCCGCCGCGCAUCGAAGCCUCCAAAUUCUGUACCCAUUCUGCCGACCUUCGUCCUGGCUUUGCCAAGCGAGCUGUAUGCAUGCUUCCAUUAGCGUUGGCGGUGACGGCGAUCCCAGGUACGGCGGCCGUCGGCCGCGGCGGUACACAUCCCGCCACCGCCACCAGACACGCGGGCCCCCCCCCCGGCACCCCUCCCCCUGCCCCCCCUUGCGACGGCCGCCCAGGUCCCGUCUGAGUCCCCCGGCCCCGCGCCGCCGCCAUCAUCAACACGGCCACGUCCGAGGAGGGGCGCUCCACGUCCUGCAUCCACGCGUGGAGAUUGGAAAUAACCAUGCCGGAAACGGAAGUGGCCGUGGCGGUCGUGGCGGCGGCGGCGGCGCAGGCGCAGCCGCGUGUCGCAGGCGCGGCGGCGGCACCGCUGACGCUGGCUGCACUCAGGUGUACUUGCAAAUUGGAUUCUCGCGCGCUGGCAAGAAUGCUGCCGCUGCUCAAUAAAUCGCCAUGCUGGAAGUCGUUGCAGUAUGGUGUCGUACUGUCAUACGCCUUGGUCACGAUGCUGCGCACGGUGGGCUCGUCGGUUGUCGUGGUCGGCGGUGGCGGCGGCACUGCCUGCUGGAAGAAGCAGCCGGCGUGUACGGAAGACGCGGUGGAGGCGUUGCCGGCGCGAAGACCCAUGGGUCGUAGAAGCUGUAGCAGGAGAGAGGAGGGCAGUGCGAACGGCGCGGCCUGCGGGGCAGGGGGAAUUUCGGGGGUGUUUUUGGAGUGACGACGCCUGGCGACGGACAUUAGAUCAGUUCUUUGUCACGGCUUAACACCUGCAGCUGAGUAACUACGCAGGGAUUCUGAAGCUACGUUUUGCUUCAAUCUUGAUUUAGGUUCUUGCAACCCCGCUGUUCUUUAAUUUGCUCUUUUGGAUCUGUAUUACUAUUCAUGAUGGGCAGAGCCAUUGCCUUUGACGAGAGGUCCCCCCGCGGUGAUGCGACUAUGUGCUCCAACUGUACGAUACCAACACACACACAUACAUACACACACAUACAUACACGCAUGCACACACCCGUGCACAUAUAUCCCUUUCAACGUUAUGACGUUGUCUACGAAAAGGACACAGUUAUAUAAUUGUUGCCCGAAACUGGUAUACGACCGGCAGAAGGAGCCGUACUGAACUGUAAUCGUACGAGGGCAUCUUUCUCUCACGGUGCUCGUUCGCUAUGGGUCUCUCAGCAGUGUCUAGCCUUAUUAGAAGGGAGCAGCCUUAGAAGGGAUUAACCGCCAAAUUAGGGCUGCAUUUCCAAACAACCUGACGCGUGGGAGGCACCUCGUGAGUACUAGGAGGACUAGGCAGGGUCAACGAAGGCGUUAUAUCAACCUCUCUUGACCACGCGGCAUUCCAUCCGACUUUUGAGUUCACAAUAAAAAUACAAAGAGUGAACAUUUGAGGAUCUAUUUCGUAAUUUCAAAUAAUAUAUAAAUUAUAUCUCCAACCCACCUUUCCUUCGUUGCCAGCACGUGGCGAUGCGGCCCCGCCCGCAGGGCCCGAAAGUACGAGAUUAGGUGCCGAGUACGGAGAGUACGGCGACAAACCCGAGAAACUAUCCUCCCGGCCACUAGGGGUGCGGGGAAUAGCCGUUGCACGAGGGGAAGCACAAGAACCUCCCGCAGCAGCCCCCGAGGGGGUUUCUGCGCGCUUGUGGAACAGUUCCCCUACGGCCGUGGAUCCCGCGGAUGCAGGGGGUAAGGAAGAGCCCACGGCAAAUGCGUGAGCAGACUCCAGCGGCAGCAGGUAGCCGUGCUGGCCGUUCAUGGGCGGUACGACGGCCACUCGUACGGUGAGGUUGACGUGAAGCUCCGCCGCCAGGGCCUCAGUGAGGGUGUACGAAAGUACGGAGGCGAAUUCGUAGAGGGACGAGGCGGCGUUCAGGGCUUGGGUCGCGGAGCAAAUCUGUGAGUGCCGAGGGUUCAAGGGCAUCACCACCCCGGGGCCGGAGAGAGUUUUUGGAAGGUUUUGGGGAAUGGGGUUGAAUGGAGAGAAGUGAAGUGGGGGGAUGUGGAGUGCGGGGACUGACCCCUGCGUCGCGUGCCCCAUUAGGCAACGUCAGUGGCAACGGGCAGUGAGCGCCAAAUCCCCGACCCCCCAAAACACGGGACAGCACAACCCCCUCGUAACGUAACCCAACGUGAAGCCCCGGCAGUGAAAUAGGCAGCGGCUGCCCCGGCCUCACCCUGGACACGGACUGCAGGUGCGGGCCAAACGCCAGCUGGGCCAGCGAGCUGGCCAGCCCCCGCAACACCGCGGGGGAAACAGGCCGCGUGGUGGUGGCGGCCCCGGCCUUGCCACACGGCGGUGCAGGGCCCAUCACAACCGCAGCCGAGCCCUUAGGACCCUGCGGGAACGACUUCUUCCGCACCAGCCGGCGCAGCAGGGCGGCUGCUGCUGACGUGGCGCCCUGCGUCUUCUCUCCCGCUUCCUUGCCCCGGGCUGCGAGGGGCGCUGCGGAGGGCGAGGAGCGCAGCCGCAGGUCCCCGUAGCCGACCAGCAGCAGCGCCCCCACCGGUCGCCCGCACAGCACCAGAGGCUCCAACUGGGCAUGCAACGUCGGGCUGCCGGGGAAAAGAGUCUGGCCAAGAAGCUGGUGCCACUCGUAAGGAAGGUGAAGCUGGCUGCCACUCUGAAGUUAACAGCAGCAAAAAUUUAAGAGGAAAAGGAAUUGUAAAGGCGAUGUUAUGUAUGAUUAGCGCAAUUGACGUAGAACCUAGCUGUGACCUUGCAGAGUCGCUUCAUGCCCGGUUGCCAAAAUAGGAAACGGUGUCACAGGGCAAAAUAGGAAGAGCAUCCAGAAUCUGAAACUGUUCAUUUUCCAUAGUGAAAAAUGCCCAAACGGUGGAUUUCUGGGAACCAAUCCCGUGAGGCAUCCCGUGCAAUACUCACAGUCGCUUGGCUAGAGACCCGCAAAGGGUACCAACCCUAACGUAGCAUAUGUGGCAGAUGUGGAGGCUUUUGCCCCUGCCCUUUGGGAUGAUGCAGGAGCCGUACCUUCCAGAAAAGGGUUGGCAGGCGCUUCCGAGAGACUGUAGAGGGGCCGUCGGAAGCGGCCGCAGCUAUCCUGGGAUAGCCGCGUCUCUCGUCGGUGGUCAGGCCCUGCCCCUGGCUCUGCCAUGGCGAGGGUAGGACUCGACCAGGGGGUGCAGCGCACGCCCCUGGGCCAGAGCUUCCUAGCACUGUAAGUGUAGCGCCAUCUUGUGCUGUGCCUAGGAUGCUGGGAAAAGGUCGCGCAGGCCGUGGAGCUAAGGCGAGUUCGGCAGUAUAGCUAAAUUAGCUGAAUGGAUAAUUGGCCGGCGGCUUUUUGACGCUGUUGAAAAAUGCAGUGAAUGCUCAUAUUAGUUAUAUGCAGCUUGACUAUGUCAAUUUGCUAGUUUACACGCUCUGUGGGAGAGCAAAGAGCAGAAAACUAUCUGCGGUGGACGCUGCUCCUGUACUUACUAAUGGAAAAUAUAAAUCGGAGCCCAUACAGGACAGCUACAUGCAAAUCAAAUGAUUGCGCACGUAGUAGCUUACCUUAUGAAUGCAGAUGUCCGAUCACAUGAUUCGAAGACUUUCUCCGCGUAAAGCCGGAAGCACGCCGGCCAGAAGCCAGUGAUCGUUGAAAAUUCGCAUUUCAGAUCUUCAAGUAAGUCGUCCUGUUUCGAUAGAGAAAACCCUUGUUGCAAAGUUGCAUCUAAUGGAAUUCCCACGCAAAGCCCUUCACCAAUAUCCGCAGAUCAGAGGGAAUAUGCCUGAGGCAACACAGGCAAACGGAAUUAAACAAAUAUCUUUGACUUACCUUGUCCAAUUUUCUGCAGGCUUCUGAUGUCCAACACAACACCCCCAUUUUCAGAAGGGCGCCUCUACGCAAUCCUGUCUGUGACACCAGGCUUAUCCACCUACGUGUGAAAGAAUUAGUAGUGCUUCAAUCCGCGUGAAUACCGAUACGUGAUCAGUCGGUUAUGCAGUAAAGAAAGCACGUGCUUACCUGGGGAGAUUACAGUGCAGGCUUCUGUGCCAUGAUAUAUGUAUAUAUUAUACUAUAGUAAUACGAUGGAUUAAUUAUUCGGCUUGUCCGGGAGGUAAGGAGCUAAGGACUUAUAGGUCGUCACAUGACCCAAAUCCCUUUGUUCUAAUUCAUAAAGCCGGUUUCGUUCGGAUAUGAAGCAAGCAUUCGUUAUGCACUGAAUAACGCACAUAAUUAAACGGUUGGCUGGAAUGACUCUGACAAUUAUGUAACUGUUGAAACGCCGGCGAUGUCUAGGGUUUCCCUCUGUCCCUCAACGAAGCAAGAUACCAUAAUACCUGAAACAAUUUUCCAGUGUAAUCUCAUUUACUGGCCUUUUUGGCGCUAGAGCGCUACGCAAGUGGGUCACGCUGCAGUACAACAAUGAAGUACACUAUGUAACCGGAAAUCGUUAACCAGAGUCCUUCAUGCUAGGAAUGAGGUUGAGGAUGGUGCGAAGAUAGUUGUUCACGAUACCCUAUCGAGUCAGUUAACCAGUUAACUAAGUCCAACCAAAGCCCUCGAUCCUAACUUGGAGCUAGUGCAUCAACCCGCUUUGCUACUGUGGGUGUCGGAACGCAUAUGCCGUGAGGAGCUGUAACGUGGAGCCGCACAGUUUGAGCUCGUUAGAGCCUAACAGGUUUGGAUGGACCAAAGCAGUACUGCUUAGUUAACUAGUGCGGUUGCUACGGUUAUCGCUAUUUAAGUUGUGCACCUGAAUUCACGUGUGCUGCCGCCGCAACAUGUGCUGCCGCAAGCAAGUUCUGCCGCGAUAUAGCACACGCAGUAUCAAUUGGUGUUCGUUACACAUUUCUGGGUGAACGCUGAAGGUGAAAGAGGCACCACGCAAAGCAGCAAAAAAUGCCAAGCUGCUAAGGGAUGCUCCAUGUACACCAGCCCUUUUAUCUCUGCCAGCAUAAUUUUUUCCCAUAGGCCUUUGAUUUUUCUAUGUCGACGAUUUGAUUUAUCGCCAAGGGUGAUUCAAAUGCAAGAUUUUCAAGGACAUUGCCGUGUGGCCGUGUGUAACGGACCAAACAUAAUAUCUCGCCCGGCUGAAACGCGUUAUUGGUAAUACAUUGCAUUCCCUAUUGCAAUAUAUCUCGCCUGUAGCCAACGAAAAUCGUAUGAGCACAAACAAAUGGCUGCCUCCAUUGACCGAGGUCAAAGUCACAUCAGCGCCCCCUCGGGCUAAAUUUAAUCUCAAAAGGUGCCGUGUAUCUCAUAAUUAUAUUCUGAGAUGACGGCGUAUGAGAACUCGAACACCCAGGUUGCGUUACCAUUUGCCCGCACGGGCAUUCCGACUUGCCACCAGCAGGCCGACAAAUUUGCUUUCAUUUCUCUAUGAAGUACGCAAGCUGCUCGUUUGUACAAUUACUUUGGCCAAUGCUCGGGGCCUCCAAAGACUUGCAGUGUGCCGUGAUGAAACUCGCGGCUGUGGGGCGGAUUGCUGAAGCCGCUGGCGCUUCGGGGAUAAACAUCACAGACAGUACCGGAAAGUGCAGAGGGCUUUGGGGAAGUUUGUCGAGCUAGGCUUUGAGGGGGCGCCAAGGGCGCGUGAGCAGGCGCCCGAAUGGGCAGGUCAAUGCCUGAAGGGGCGCCGUAGGCAGUGCGUACGGUGCUGUACGGCGUUGUUUCCUUGUGUGUUCGGGCUGCGGUACCAGACCGCAAAGCCCACAGGCUGAGGACUGGCAAGCUGCGAUUGUGUCUGCUGAGCGUUGAGCAUCCGGCCGGGUCCGCGGACUUGGCGGCCGAGCCCCUGCUGUGUGCCGGUAACGGCACCUCAGACUCAUACGCUACGACUACGUGUAAUGGCCAAUGACUCUUAACCGUGUCUGCUAGGUUUCAGAGAGACACCGUCUCUUCAACAGGUUAUGAGCCCCGGCUUCCUGCCUCCCACGCUCUGACAAGCAUAGCUCCCACAGCAUCAGCACUCCCACCACGUUGACACUACCCUAGCUACCGGCCUGUACGGAUGCAGGGGGCCCCCGCCCUUUUUCCGGCUUCGAGGAAGCCGACACCCGACUUGUUAUAAGGUGGUUACCAGUUACCAGAGGGAAACCCCCACAGUAACCACUUGGUCAUUAAAAAAUCACCACGGUGAAAAAGUUUUAAAAAGACUGCCAAUUCCCACUUGUUGAGGAGUCAAGGCAUUCAAGCUCGGUAGACUGCCGUACGUAUUUGCACGGCACGAGAUCCGUUUUUCCCAGAAUCCCUCGCAAGGCAAAGGAGAGAGAGAGCGAGAGAGAGAGAGAGACCGUGCUUCAAAGCCCCCCAUAACAUUCAGUACAUGCUUAUUUCUUACUGGGCAGAACUCCUGCAUAUACCCAGAUGAGCUAGAGGCUCCAUCCUCGGAUCCAUGUACAAUAUGUGGCUGGAUAAGCAGAUCAGUCCAAUGUUGCAAGCAGAGGGCAUCACCAAGCUUAGAGCACACAGCCUUCAAAACACGCAACGGGGCCGCAGCCCGUCCCUACCGGCACCCGGUGGUAAUGCCCCUGCCACCGGGGCACUUCGGACUGCUCCUGUACAGACGGCAAAACAUUCGCGAAGGAGCCCUUCUUAAUCAAAAAGCUCCGAAACCACAAAAGCUGGUUAUCUCCGAGCUCCGAAACCUGCAUCUAUUUCUGGAAUGUUACCCAAAGGGCGAACUGGUCCCAAUUCCCAUCCCAAAGGGCAAUGUAAGAAACGCAGCAGACAGGCUAAGGGAUCUCAUGGACUAGUGAAAUGUUCGCAGGUUCCUUAAGCCCCAUCACACCUCACCUCACCUCAUCACACCUCACCUCACCUCACCUCCGUCAUGAACCUAAAGACCACCACCACCUCUCCCAACAACAAACAAAGUUCCACUCACAUUCGCCGUCGCGCCCUGAUCUGAAAUCAUGUCCAAGAGAGAGCAAAAGCUGACAACGCAGUAGCCAGCAGCCAAAUCGGUUGACAAACCACCAACGGAAAACCGAUCAAACAGGCGAAUAAAAGAUGCCAUAAUGCCGUGUCACAAAGUCGAUGGCGCAAGCAGGGUCCAGGAAGCCGCUUUUGACAUGAUGACGACGACGUCACGCUUAAAAGAGUAGAGUACAACGACAACAAAAACAACAUCAACGAUGACGACGACGACGACGACGACGACGACGCGAUAUUCAUCAUUCGGCGGCCGAUUUUCGCGUUGCCUAAAACGCGUCGCCUCAAAGUACCGUAGCGGCUAGCGCCGGCGGCGGCGGCGGCGGCGGGAGCGCGGAAUCUACAGAGGCUAGGAGCUCGAAAAAGUCAAUCAGGCUAAGUAACGUGAUAGCAACCAAUGCCACCACAACUGCGCCACACAAACACAGUGGUCCGAUCCGGUCGUCAAAGUGGACGGCACGCUUCUUUGCAAUGUUGCCGGCGCGCCAGAUAAACACAUACAGGGCAUAACAACACAUACAGACCGCCAGCGGCAACAAAAUGAGCGCGAUGAGCUCUACGAGAUGGCGGCUAACGGCCUCGCCGCCGGAUUCCGGCGCGGUGUCGGUUUCGGCGCCGGCAGCAAAGCCCAGCAACGCUGCACUGACCGAUCCCAGGGUCACUGCCAUGUGCAGCCAAGCCAGGAAAGUGCGCUCAUUGGCGAAGAAGGUCUUGGGUUCGAUUCGCAUCGGCGUCGUGCGCAUCGCGCCACCUGUGGGCGGUGGCGGAACGAGGCCCAGCAUGCGGGAGAAGAAGCCUGGUUGCGACCGCUGACCGCCGCCGCCGCCGCCGCCGCGGCCCCCAGAGCCUGCGCCAAGGCCCUGUGUACGGAAACCUGCAGCGGAAUGGCGAACCAGAUUCAGCCGCAGGGAAGGGAAGGGAGGGAAGGGAGGGACGAGAAGGGAUGGAAGAAAGGGAAGAAGGCCACACGACCUUAACCGUGCCACGGUUCCUUCCACAUGUGGUGGCUGCAGAGGCGGGAACNNNNNNNNNNNNNNNNNNNNNNNNNNNNNNNNNNNNNNNNNNNNNNNNNNGGACCAGAGCUUCCGACGCUGGCCCGCCCCGCCAUGACAAGUUGCAUCUGAAACUGAAGUUGCGNAACUGAAGCUGGCUACCGGAUAUGUGUGUCGACGGCAGCGGCGUCGCACAAGCGCUGGCGCUGGGCGUGCCCGUCACCGCCGACGCCGCCGCCACCGAUGCCGUCAUUCCGGAUCCAGAUCCCAUCGCCGCAAGCAGCCGUCGGGCGUUAGGGGCAGUGAAGCCGGAACCUCCGCCGCCUCCGCCGCCAGCGACACUGCUGCCGGCGGCAGCAGCGAGCAGGUCAACCUCCGGUCGCAACACACCCAUGGCCAGAUAGCUCAAGCAUGUUGGCAUCAGCAACUACACACAUACGGGGAAAAACGGAAGAGGAGAAGCACACGGAUCUUUGAAUCCAAAAUUACAGAAAAAGAUAUCAAACUUGCGUCCUUAGGUAGCGAAACCUAGCUAGGCAGGCAUACGUGUUCACUGUUGUUGUAGUGAACACUCGGUGUGUCGGAUUUGGCGCGGGUUGGGUUGGGGAGGAAAAAAAGGGCGUCUGGCGAUGCCAAAACGAAAAGGAGCAUACGUGAGAUAGCUAACGAGGCCAAGUCCUAAACGGAGAGAAGACAAGUUGCUUAAUUGGAGGCUUUCGUUCGCCUCGUCCUCCUAAGGCGCUUUCACCCUGCUCCUUGUCCUCCAUUGACUUUCACCUUGAAGACAUCUUUUUCCCCGGGCCCGGAAAACACACGCCGCCUUCCCUUCCCUUCUCGCCUCCCAACACAGUCUCAAUCUCACCUCCAACAGCCCCGUCGCCUGUGCUUUGAUCACCCUCAACAGCGAAGUGGGAAGCCGCUCCUGGGCCGUGAUGUAUAAGGCAACGCACGGGCCGCAACCUACACCGCCGCCGCCGUUGUCGUACCGAACACUGCCGCCGCCGUACCCGCUGCCGUGCGCGCCGCGGUGCGCCGACAUCUCCGCACUGACUCCGCCGUUGGCGACGCCGCGACGUUGCGAGGAGUCCAGACUUCGCACCCAUGCUUCGUCGUUUAACUUAAUAGAUUGCAAACCGGUAUGCAGGCUUCCAUUGGCGGUGACGGCGGCCGUCGGCCGCGGCGGUACACAUCCCGCCACCGCCACCAGACACGCGGGCCCCCCCCCCGGCACCCCUCCCCCUGCCCCCCCUUGCNACGGCCGCCCAGGUCCCAUCUGAUUCCCCCGGCUCCGCGCCGCCGCCAUCAUCAACACGGCCACGUCCGAGGAGGGGCGCUCCACGUCCUGCAUCCACUCGUGGAGAUUGGAAAUAACCAUGCCGGAAACGGAAGUGGCCGUGGCGGUCGAGGCCACCGCUGCCUUACAGCUGACGGCAGCGUCGGCGUCAGCGUAAGCCUUGCCGGUGGUGACAAUGCCUCGUACGGUGGGCUCCUCUGGAUGGUAACUAACGUGGCCGUUACCAUUGGCGGUUGCGCCUGCAUGUACGGAACCGUUGCCUAGGCGGUUUCCGUUGCUGGGUCUUAGCAGCUGUAGCAGCAGGGAGGAUGGGAGUGAGAAGGCGGUGACCUGCGCGAGGAGAGGACGAGCGAAUCAAGGAGGUUGUUAAGGUCGUUAAGGUCGUUGUUUAGGGGGCGGUUUAUCUCUGUAAGGAAAGGAUCCAACGACUCCCCUCCACUCUCGCCUCCACCCUCCCCUCCACCCUCUCGCCUCCACCCUCCCCUCCACCCUCCCCUGCACCCAAGCCACAUCAUCGGGGUGGGGAAGGCAUGACUCACAAUGCCCGCCCACAACACAGACACGGAAAACCGUCCGCCAUCAAAGCUCACCUUGCCUGCAUCCGCCUUGCUCAUCGUCAACGCUCCGCCAGGCGCUGACAACAUUAUGUUGGAGGCGGAAAGCGGCACAUGACCGGAAAAGCUGCCCGCGCGCCCGCUGGCUCUAAAAGUGCGCGCAGAGGUGGACAAGCCAGCGCCUGUCACGAUACUGGACACGGCCCGUUUAAAUGGCGCCUCCCUGUGGCCGGUCCCCGAGCCCUCUGGUAGGAACGACAUAGGCAUUGAGACCAAGGUGGGAGCAGACUCCAGCGGCAGCAGGUAGCCGUGCUGGCCGUUUACAGCCAGUACGACGGCCACUCGUACAGUGAGAUUGACGUGAAGCUCCGCCGCCAAGAUCUCUGAAAUGGUGCUGGAAAGUACGGAAGAAAAGUCGUACACGGACGAGGCGGCGAUGAGGGCUUGGGUCGCGGAGCAAAUCUGUGAGUGCCGAGGGUUCAAGGGCAUCACCGCACCGGGGCCGGAGAGAGUUUUUAGAAGGUUUUGGGGAAUGGGGUUGAAUGGAGAGAAGUGAAGUGGGGGGAUGUGGAGUGCGGGGACUGAGCCCCAUGGCGUCGCGUGCCCCAUUAGGCAACGUCAGUGGCAACGGGCAGUGAGCGCCAAAUCCCCGAUCCCCCAAAACACGGGACAGCACAACCCCCUCGUAACGUAACCCAACGUGAAGCCCCGGCGGUGGAAUAAGCAGCGGCUGCCCCGGUCUCACCCGGGACACGGACUGCAGGUGCGGGCCAAACGCCAGCUGGGCUAGCGAGCUGGCCAGCCCCCGCAACACCGCGGGGGAAACAGGCCGCGUGCUGGUGGCGGCCCCGGCCCUGCCACACGGCGGUGCAGGGCCCAUCACAACCGCAGCCGAGCCCUUAGCACCCUGCGGGGACGACUUCUUCCGCACCAGCCGGCGCAGCAGGGCGGCUGCUGCUGACGUGGCGCCCUGCGUCUUCUCUCCUGCUUCCUUGCCCCGGGCUGCGAGGGGCGCUGCGGAGGGCGAGGAGCGCAGCCGCAGGUCCCCGUAGCCGACCAGCAGCAGCGCCCCCACCGGUCGCCCGCACAGCACCAGAGGCUCCAACUGGGCAUGCAACGUCGGGCUGCCGGGGAAAAGAUUCUGGCCAAGAAGCUGGUGCCACUCGUAAGGAAGGUGAAGCUGGCUGCCACUCUGAAGUUAGCGGACAGGGGCGCGGCGGUUUGGAGGCGUGGUUAUGGGUACUAAGAGCAGCAGUAGGGAAUGCAGCUGUGGGUGAACAUGCAAAGCGGUGCCAGAUGCAGAUGGGGUAGAAGAUUGAAACCGAUGGAGAUGUGGGUCACGUGGUUUGUGCGGAUUACGCAUAGUUGUACGGCAUUCCCGGAGCUCGCGAUAAACGGCUGGAACAAAGUCUUUAUGCAGGUACCGUCGUAACAUGGAACAAUGAUAUGAAUAAAAGGGAAGGUCUGUUGGAAGGUCUGUUGGAUGGAGAAGCAUUGAUAUGCAACGGUGCAAGUACCCUUUUUACAAUGUUUGUGGGUGAUGGAUCCGUGUACGGAUAUCCAGAUCUGGAUACCGGUAUUCGUUAAGAAGGUAUAUAUUGCUUCAAGGAAUACACGUACCUCCCAGGUGAGAGUUUUGGGCAGAUCCGAAGGCCCUUUCCCAAGGGACAGCUUUUCUGGAGCGUUUCGGUGACUUUUAGAUUUUUGUUGUAGGGAACUGUUCCCUGGCAGAAAUCUCCACGGCCAGGGCAACACGCUUCCAGGGCGAAGAGCAGCAGCAUCCGGGCCCCAACUGCCGAGGACAGUGAGCGUUGCUUUGUUGGAUGAUGCACCAAGUAUCCUGCGUUCAGGGGUAACAAGGACAGGUUGCUCUGUUGGUACCACAAAGAGUUACCGAGGGAAGAGUGCUGAGAAGACCUUGCUGUGACCAAUAUCCUCAAAAAGUACCGUCAGCAACUCGACGGCACACGGCUCAAGUGCGGCAAUGCCGCCAUAGCUAGAACGCCGAUUGGGUGCACCAUCCGGGUCCGUAGCCUCAGAAGCGUUUCUCUAACAGCAGUGUUUACCACGGUGGGCCCCUUCUCACCCGACUAGGGCUGCACCAGAGCCACAAGAAGUCACCAGUUUUUCCGCGUACGCAUCCCAAAACGCUGGCCAGUGCGUCGCAAUAGACGCAACAUUAUAGCGAAAUUCCUCUACUUUUUCAACCUGCAGAAAGUCGUUUCCAAAGCUUUCGGUGAAGUCACAACCUUAAAAAGGAAAUUCACUUCACUACGCACUGUGGAUGAACAUUAAGGAUGGAAAUAAUCAGUACCAUUAGUAUUGACACCUACCUCACUAACAGAUUCUGGCGCUGCCCUCCAGCAAAGCGUAACCAUAGCACCACACGAAAGGCUAUCUCAGGCUAAAGGAGGUCUCAGGGCAGAUUCAAAAGAUGCGCAUAAAGAGUACUGCACAACAGAUGCCUGACGAAUACAGCGAAGCUGAGCUUGGCCAGAGUCCAAAACGGACGCCUUGCCAAAACAACCCCGCCGAGGUGGCAAGCGCUGUACACCUUGAUGAUACCACCUAAAGAGGGUUUAACACAGCCAUCCUCAGAGCAGAACCAAAGGGACUUAAGCUUAUGAUAACGUAUUAUUCUGCUGGCAUUAUGCGUUUGUAUUGUUGACGCAUUUUCAUGCAUGCAGACAUAUGGAAAUAGUUUUAGCUUAAAUCAUCAUUGUCCAAUAACAGCGCGAAGCAGUCAUUUCAUGGCUGCAAUUUCCUUGUACUGCGCCACGACUGCAAGCAUAAGGCAGCUCCCUUUAAACCCGACUGUAAGAUAUUUGGAGCUCCAUGAAACUUAUAUAUUCGUAGGAUUAGGCUCGUACCUCUGGGCAUGGUAGUGUAUGUAUGUAAUGCUGUACAAUUGGUUGAAACCGACGUAGGGUGGUACAUAACAUGAGAAGCUGGAAGUAAGCAUCAGACGUGAUGUCCGCACAUGAAGCUACACUUGUUGUAAGGAGAUGGCUUCAGCUGGUGACUGGAGGAAGUUCCAGCUGCUUUUCCUACGCCUACCACGGAGAACAUGAGCCCUUCGAUUCCGGAAAGGUCACGGAAGCAGAUAACUGGAUAGUAUAAUAUUACGAGAUCCGAGCACCAAUGAGCAGGACUACUAAUAUACAUCCCACUCUUGCCGUAUUGGAUAUCGCCAGCAAAGCUCUGGCUAAAGUUAGCAAAUGCGCUGUGAUUACUUCUAAAACUAACAAAGUGUGACUUAUUACGAAACAGAUAUAAUGAAAUAAGCUGUAACUGUAAACGAGAAGGUUUCCUAACCGAGAUGUGUGGAAGUUCUUUGCCCAGAGCCAACGCAACCUGAAAAUACCAGUUGCUGUCCAGUUGAAGCCCCGUUUUGCGCCAGAGCGAGACCUGCGCCACCUAGCACAAAGUCCUUCGUCCUUAGGCUGCCCAGGGACUAUCCCUGAGAAAAAGGCAGCACUGGCAACGCAGGACUUUCACCCACACAUCAACAGAACGUAACCUUGGCCUGAGCACUAAAAUAUGACUAAAAUUUCAUGCAACACCACAUCAUCGUCCUAUUUUGAAUCACCUGGCACGGAGAAAAGAAGUGCGUGGCGUUUGGCUGGGUCUUGCGUCUGGCGGCGUCUAGCUGGCAGGGAGUUGGCGACGCAAAGGAUGGCUCUGACAAGCUCCGGCACGUUUAUUAUCCUCUCCAAGCGAACCACCUCCAAGCUUUGAUUAUAACUUAAAUAUCCGGAGCUAAAUGUGCGCUCCCGAAUCCAUAUCAAGCUCGAUUUUUAGCCAAAGACUGAAUUCAGCUGAUGACUGCAGCUGACUGCAGACUGUGAAGUACACACUCAGGUCGGAGGCUGCGAUUGCGUAUCGUUUACGUUACAGCAGCAGCACCACCAUUUGUGGUUGGUUCCUUGUUCCAAAACUUGGGGAUUUCCCCACUCCAACCCUGUCCAACCCUGUCCAACCCUGUCCAACCCUAUCCAAACCUGUCCAAUCCUGUCCAAUCCUGUCCAAUCCUGUCCAAUCCUGUCCAAUCCUGUCCGAUCCUGUCCAAUCCUGUCCAAUCCUGUCCAAUCCUGUCCAAUCCACUCGAAUCCUGAUCCUUACACUGAUGAACCCUAGCUGUACUAGUAGGCAUUAUCUUAUGCUACCGGUGCCUGGCUGACAGUAAGAAGAAGUCACGAGUCCGGAGCCCACUGUAACAAUCACAACAAACAUAAAGGCUACAGCUACCAGAAUCCUUUUGCUAGUUGCAACUGAAGGAUGCUCGUCCCGUUCCAACUACAACUACGCAAACCUGAAGCCGCAUUCUAACGGAUUUGAAGUACGUAGCGCCUCAACGGCGCGCCCGUAUGGUAUUUGUUAACGUGAUCUUUAAAAACGUGGUGCUCGCGGUAGAAUGAUAAAACAGCUAAAUCGCUGCAACCGACGAGCUUGCCCUGCUUGGACUGGCUUUUCGUCUGAAGGCACAGCUCAAACGGGCGAAGGUAAACUACACCCUACUACAGAAACGUACAGAGCCACCACAGCGCCACGUACGUUUAUGAGUUUUAAAGUAUCAAGAGCCCAACUAAGCCCAUCCAAGCCCAUCCAAAAAAGAUUUGAGUAAGCAUCUGUAUCUAGGAGCGCUCAAUACGGAUUGACAAUCCCGUUCAGCCUCUGCAUUCGAACAUCAAAAGAAACUGCGCCAUAUGGCUUCAUUUUAAACUAUACUAAACUAAAAAAUCGCCUUAUGGCUUCACGGAAGGCGGAGCCGCCUGCGACGCCUCUGAUGCCCGCAGCAGCGAGCAAAUCGACCUCCAGCGAGCAAAUCGACCCCCUGCAAAUCGACCUCCAGCGGCUGCUGCCGCUGUGAGCUGCUGCGUACCGAUGGGCAGGUGACCCAAGCACGAUGGGCACUCGCCACUGCGUCCUUGCGUUGGAUUCACACAGCGCGGGUCAUGAAGCAUGCAGGGACCAUUGGGCUCGGGCAGCACCGAUCGAAGUCCGGGCGUCGAAUCAAAAGCACCUGAAAGGGAGACCUCCUUAUACUGAAUGAAUGGGGUGUUACACUGUGCCGGGCCACACCACAGUGCAGGGCAGGACGCGUGUUUACAUCUCGUCGUCCAUAUGAAUGAUUUGACGAAUGAAUGAAUGAACGAAUGAAUGGGCGAAUGAAAGGGGUUUUCCAUUGUGAGCGGCUUGCCAUGCACAUACGCCUCUGGUUCGGGUCGGUUCGGGUGGUGGUAUCUUUCCGUUGAACAUACACACACAAUGAAUGUAUGAAUGAGUGAGUACGGAGUACGGUGUACGGUAGCCAGGCGUGUGGGGUUCCUGCCACUUCCUGGCCCAUCACGGAAUCGAAACCAACACAGUACAUACGAGAGAUACUUGUAAGUGCUCCCCUUACGGAGUUUCAUACAGCUCUUUCAACUCCCGCUUUCCUGGAUGCCUGCCUGAGAGUUUCCGGGCCGACCCCGCAAUUGGUCGAUUUUGCUCAGUACAAGGGUUUAAAUUGGCACGGGGGCUACACCCGGGACAAGUUAAAUUGCUGGGACAGGCCCUUGAAUUGGCCUGACAGGGACACGAAUUGGCCUAGCAGGGACAUUCCGACAGUCAGAAUUAGCCUGUUGGGGUGUCGAAUUGGCCCGGCAGGGACAUUCCGACAGUCAGAAUUGGCCUGUCGGGGUGUCGAAUUGGCCUGGCAGGGACAUUCCGACAGUCAGAAUUAGCCUGUCGGGGUGUCGAAUUGGCCUGGCAGGGGCAUUCCGACAGUCAGGAUUAGCCUGUCGGGGUGUCGAAUUGGCCUGGCAGGGACAUUCCGACAGUCAGGAUUAGCCUGUCGGGGUGUCGAAUUGGCCUGGCAGGGACAUUCCGACAGUCAGAAUUAGCCUGUCGGGGUGUCGAAUUGGCCUGGCAGGGACAUUCCGACAGUCAGAAUUAGCCUGUCGGGGUGUCGAAUUGGCCCGGCAGGGACAUUCGGACAGUCAGAAUUGGCCUGUCGGGGCUGUCGGGGUGUCGAAUUAGGGAAGCACAGGAACUGUGCUGCGACCGGGGCAGUCCAAGAAAUUGCUCUCCCCGACCUUGUGUCCUAGCAUGCAUAUGCAAAGCAAGCCCCCCCAAAUACCUAACAGACCGGUAUACCGAGCCAUCCUGAUGAUGAUUCAAAGAGUCACAGGCGGGGUUGGCACGAGGAUAAUAAAUCUGAAGGUUUUCUGAGAGUAACGAUAGAAAACCGAGGUUUUCUGUGAACUCAGAAGAGUUGGUUGUGUGUGUUGGUACCAGGGUUCGACACUGACCUUCCUGAAACUUGCGGGCUCCCCUGUACCUCCCAAAUUUUCCUUACGGAGGGGCCCCCGUACCAGGCUCCUGUACCGGCCGAAAACCUUACGGGGGCCCCCGUAACCCCGCAAAACCUUUACGGGGGCACUGUCCUUGGCUGAAACGCUGUGGAAAGUGACGCUUUGCAUUUUUUUGCCCUGUAAAUCGUUAUUUUCGUUAUUUUCUCGUGAACCAUUACACUCGGGGACGCGGCACACUCAGUGAAAGCCAAGCGCCUUGGCCGCCGCGGCCGCCCAUCCCUUCUGCUCCUCUUUCUCGUCCUCCUCAUCCUCGUCCUCAUCAUCAUCACCAAAAUCCUCGUCCGCGCACGACUCAUCGGUAUCUCGUUCUACGUCGGUCUCGUAGUCACUGUCACUAAAAGCCUCAUCGUCACUAGCGGGGUAUGUUGCUUGUACCAGUAAUUCAAUCUCUGGGUCAGUCGCAACCUCCUCAUUAUCAUCCUCUCCGUAAUACCCCUUAUCCUUUAUAUGGUCAAAGGGUACUACAAUCUUGCACGGCAGUCGGCAAUCGGUCCGUCCUCUCCCCUACGGGGGACUUUACGGGCCCCGUACGGCCUCUUAUAAAUCCUUAAAAUCCUUACGGGGGCCCCCGUAACCGGCCUUCGGCCGGUCCGGGGGCGGCCCCGUACGGGGGCGCUUCGCGCCCCAAAAUCCUUACGGGAGCCACCGAAAAGUCCUACGGGCCCUGACGGGGAUACCGAAAAAAGGCCAAAAACUUACGGGCCCCGUACGGGGUGUCGAACACUGGUUGGUACGGCAUGUAAUGCCAGUUAAGGAGGUCGCUCUGGUGUGUUAGAGUAUUUUUCGGGUGUCGUAGCUACAUAGGAGGUCGCUGCUGUGAGGCGUUAGGUGUCCAGGCCCAAUGGUUUGCCUAGCGGUAGGUGGCCCACACACGGCCUACCUGCCGAAAGAAGGCUUUUUCAAUUGCGUGCAGGUAACCUUUGUAACGUUUAACGAUAUCUCAUGUAAACUACAUGUCCACUAAACUCAACGGAACUCCUUACUGAAACCCUAAUAAGGCGGCAAUCAAGGCUGGAGCUUGGGUACGGCAGUACGGCGAAGCGCGUUAAGCUUGGCAGCGUCGCAUUUUAUAAUAUCUACUACGAUCAUUGUCAAGCAACUCAUCAGUGUAGCUCUGUCAAAAAAAUAUUGUGGCGCCUGAUGGAGCCCGACAAAGGACUUGAGUUCGCAGCUUUGGUUUAAAAAAACUCCAUCUGAAAUGGUUCACAGCAAACUCUGACAAUUCUAAUUGUUGGAAAUGACCGACACUCAUGUACCAGCGAAUGGUAGCCACAGUAAUAGGACCCAACGGGGGUCCGGCGCUUUGCUGGUCUUAACACUAUUGGAUUCAAUACUGUAUCAGGAUCCAAUAUUUCAUGGCGCAAAAUUCAAAUUUUUUUGUCGUAAUCGAACCCAAAGUGGGGCAGCAGGUAAGGAAUUGAAUGCCUUUUGGGAUCACUCCGCGGUGAGCUGCCCUUGUCUCACCACGGUUUGAGUUUGUUUGAGCUGUUCACAACCUGGCAUAGUGGCUAGCUAAGGGCUGUGAACGGGCACGGGCUUUGAGUUGCCAUAAUAGGCGACAGCGGCUUUGUUGCUUUCACCAGCCGCAUACGUCCGAAUAGGACACAGGUUGUACCAAUCAGGGUCUCGCUGAGCUGUUCAAUCCUAAACCUGCAGCCCGGCGAACUCAAGGCUAGGACUGCCAACACCUAAUGAUCCAAAGGCGCCAUUGAAUAUUUAAGCAGCCCCUCGCACAAAUGUGUCCGGUCGUACUUCGCGAAUAGAGAAUCCGUACAUCUCGUCCCAAAAGUCAGGAGCGAAUUUUGCCGCGCAGAUGCGCGCGUGCGAUUCGCAAAAUGCGCCUGUACAAAUGUAUAUAAAAUUUCUUGGCGGAUGAGGACCAGGUGCGCCAGCGCGUUGCGCAGGUGAGCAUGUUGGCCAUAGCCGCACGCUGGACUAUUGCGUCGAUGCAUUGCAGUAAAGGCAACGUCGUAGCUUGCAACUCUGGGCUCGUGAAACUGCCGCGGAAGAUGAAGCGCUGGCGGAAGAUGAAGCGCUGGCGAAGAAGCAGUUGUGUGCAAGCCAUAAGGCGCCUGCUUUCGGUAGCGCAGCGCAUAAUUCUCAUUGUUCCGAAUACUCAAGUUACACUCCUACGAAAUAAAUAAACAAGCACAGAAUUAUGUAAAAAUAAGAAUCGCGAGAGACGUUCAGAACCUUGCAAGUGAAAUGGAUGCCGCUGAGAGCUUGGAACAGCUUUUCGCAGCGCAUUCGGCCGUGCCUGCGUUAGCCGUCUUGCAGCAACUACGAAUGGAAUUGAGCCAGCAGCAAGCUCGAAGCCUGCUGAAUAACCACCGGGCAUAUCUUCAGCUGGGAACAUGUAGUUUUGGUCGGCGCGGUCAAGCAGCGUACGCAUUGCGCUCAGGUACCGAGGUGCAGCGUCUCUUCGACAUCGCCAACAUAUCUGGUACGCUGUGGCCGGCUUGCCGACCGCGACAUGAACGGGCGCUUGCAUCACAACAUUCAAACAUUCAACCAAGCCUGCAUACGCACCUGCAGAUGAAGAUGCCGCACAAUUUUGGGCGACGGGUGUCGGUCAGCGAUUACGUGGUAAGCAAGAGCCAAGGGGUGGUAUAGGUCCAGUCAGGGCCGUGUGAGGAGCAGGUCCCUUCGUCUGCCACGAGCCCACAUUAGCCAGCAAAUUUCAGUUCGUAAGCAAGCUCAAUGAUGCCAUUUCGUAUCCUGGCGAAUGCAAUUGGUUCAUGAAUGUAUAUCAACCGCCAAACCUGUUCAUAUACAGCUACAACGCCUGCUGAGUCGACCGCUGCACAUUACCCUAUUCAACAGGUGUGCAUGGUGCAGCUGGCGUCCGUGCAGCCCCUGGGAAUGCAGAGCCAUCCAGCAGCACCGGUAAGCGUGUGCCAAUGUGGGCAUGUGGGGGGGGGAGGUGAAGGGGAGUGUGACAGGCUAUGAUGUACUUCGCAGAAAUAUAGUUAGGCCUGUUCUGAAGGCACUGCUCACAGCUACACGCAUCAUCUUGAUAACGGGGCACACUGCUGAUGCUUCCUAUGCAGGCCAACUCUGAGUGCCCCUAUAUGCUCACAGCGACAUUAGCAACUGUGCUGUCGUGCCGCUCGAUGCCCACGCAACGUGUUUGGACUGCGUGCGUCACGCUCUCAUUGCCGCGUGUGCCACUGAUGUGCCUGCGCCUGAAAUUCUGCUGGCGACCGUGGUGGGCGCCAUUGCCGAGUCUUGGGAUUCGAUGCGCUUUCAAGUGCUACAUGCCCAUGCAAGCAGCCUCCCCAGCUCUUGCAUGGCGGCGCAAUAUGGCGAAGCCCUACAGCAGCAACGGCUGCUGCCAGGCGAUGUGGAGCUGGCAGUUCUUGCCCAUACUCUCAACAUAGCGAUCACAGUGUUUGACCCGGAUGGGCUGCAGAUCUGCUAUUGGGGCUCCAGCACAGCGCCAACAGAAGUGUGCCUCAUCCGGCAGACAGGCCUCGCUGGCACCCCCAUGUCUUACUGCCUGCUGGAUAUGCUGCCGGGUGUGUGGACAGGGCAACGCCGCCAGCAUCUCGUCGCAGCUUGUCGAGCGGUUGGACUCUGCAUGUCAGAAACACCGUCAGCCGAGCAGGCUGGUCAAGUGUGUGCUGUCCUGCAUGCGAUGGACAGCCGCUUUGAGUUCAUUGUGCAGCAGGUCUUGGCGGAAUAGGCUGAUCAGCACGAACCUGCGGUUGUCAUGCGGCGGCUGCUUGCGGUGACACGGCAGUCAUCACAGCACUUACCGCUGCAGCAGCAGCCCCCUCAGGAGCGCCAGGAGCAGGACCAGCAGCAGAGGCGUCAGCAGCAUCACCAGCCACAGCAGCACAACCCGCAGCACCGUCGACCAUAUGACGUAUCAUUGCCCAGUCCUGCUGUAACAGAUGCCGAGCAACACAUUCCUGGGUACUUCGGAGCAUCCUGGCGCAGUGGCCCCGGCCACAGACUUGGCAUCUCUGACCGGCUGACGGCUUGGAGUGCUGUCACAAGCAUGCUGCUAGCCGGUGCACUUGUGGUGUGCGCCAUGUGCGGUGUCACCAGCACCGACCUGCAUGAUGACCUCAAGCGCUGGGCCACUGUGGAACCUGUCGGUGCUGGCAUUGCGCCAUACUCAUUCCACAACAGCUUGCAUGCUGGCAGCACAACCACACCUGAAGGCCUGUGGCACCUGUGUCCGCACUGUGCUCCAUUGCAUCCAGCGAACAGUGGCAAUGAGCGAGCAGAGUAUCUGGUCUUCCAUCCACCUGACUAUACCAAGGCCAUCAUGUCCUUGGACGCCAUCGACCAACUUCGGAUAGGCCUGGUGGAUGUUGGACUUGGCUUUUUUUCAGCAGCCUUUGGAUUUGUUGCUGGCAAGCUUCGGCAGCAGCAUUGCAUGGAGGCACUGGUCUUGGAUUGGGCACGCGACUCCACGCGCCGCGUCAACAUGCUGCCCCCGGCACUGCAGGAGGUGCUGGGAUGGAGUGUGCAGCACAACCCGCUCGUCAGGGAGUUCCUCACCGUUGCUGAACAAGUCCCGCCCAAUCACCCAUUGCCAUACCUUUGUCCAGCUGAUGUGCAAUCAUUUGUCGCCAGUGAGCAAGCCUGCAAACCUCUUGCGCUGGCCACCCUGGAAGCAGCAGAGGCAGCUCGCUCACUCAUAUCGGUGGUGGUGCCUGCCAUCCAGCGUGCAGCCACAAAGCAUGCACCCGUGAUGUACACUGCGGGAACAUUGGUUCCAUGAGCGCCCACUCUACCCGAACUCAACCUGGCUGUGUCCGCGGACGGGACCCCACUGGACUAUCAGUUUGGCUUGUCUGCGGAGAUGGCCAUGUUCCCCUAUCUGUUUCCCUUUGGUGUUGGCGCAUUUAUGGGCGGCACGACCUUGGUCAAGUACUUAGCAUACUGUGCCAAGUGCCUCUUCAGUGUGUGGACAUUGUGCAAGCCAUACUUGCUGCUCAUGUAUGUGCUUCACCAGAGUGCCCGGCUGCAAGAGCAGAAUACAGAGGUGAGUGCAUAGCAUAGAUGCUGGUGUACUGCACAUGAUGCAUGCUGGGUUGUUGGACACGGAUUCUGCCCAGCUGCUACAAUUUGCAGGUUCCGAGCAACAUCAUGCAUGUACAACCUCAAGACAUGACCAUCAUGCCCACCUGCAUGUACAGGCUGUGCUUGAGAGGGCGCUCCUCGACUACAAGUCCCGGAACCCCAACGCAAGCGAUGAGGAUGCCAUCUGUCACAUUCUCAAGCACAAGCUGCCGGCAACGUUGCCCAACACGCCUGCAUGGCACCGCAGCAACCUCCAAGACUUGCUGUGCAUGGUGGACUGCUUUGGCAUGCCGUCAUUCUUCCUCAAGCUUAUAACCGAUGAAGUGUCUGCCACACGCUGGCCCGAAGUCCAAUCGCUGGAGCAAAAGCUGCAGGAGUAAGUUGCACACAUUUUAAUCUGCAUCACUUGGCAAGCUUCCUUGAAUGGUGCCGUCUGCCUCCUGUCCCUGCCCAGCAUGGAAAGCAGUCACCCAUCACCCAUCAAUGCACUGCUCUGGCUGUGCUGUGCUGUUGUCUUUUGCUUGCAGCUUCUGUGCUGGCUUCACAUGGCAAGACGCCCCAGCUGAGAACGCAUUCAUCACCCACAAGCGCGUGCAGUCCUUCAUGACUGACGUUCUGAAGGCAGGCCGGGGGGCAGUCCAGGAUGGCGGGGCCCUUGGCCGCGUCACCAACUGGGUGGUGCGGUAUGAGGUUCAGAACCGGCACAGCCUGCAUGCACACAUUGUGCUGUGGGUGCACCCAGAGGAUGUGGACUGGGUAGCAUCGGAGAUUGUCGCCUGUGUACCUGCUGUGUACCGUGGGGAUGAUAGCCAUCCAUUGUGCCCCUACACAGCAGAGUACUGGCAGCAGCCCAAUGAGCCAUGCCAGCAUGACCUGUUUAAUCAUGUUUUGCGCAAGCAGAUGCACACUUGCUCGUCUAGCGGCCAUGCCGGCUGCUGUGCAUCUGGUGUAUGCAAGUACAAGUUCCCAUGGGCACCAUACCGAGAGUGCACUCCUGCCAUCGACCCCGCGACCUUGCGCUACCAAUACUACCGGCCAUCGUGGGUGCAUCGGAAUGUGGUCCCGUACCACCCCACGCUGGCACUGCUGUGGGGUGCCCACAUGAAUAUACAGCGGAUCAACUCAGCGACCUGGUCAUUCUACGUGCUCAAGUACGCCAUGAAGGUGCGUGCACAUGGUGUGCUGAUUCCGGGAUGCACCACUGCACCCCAUCGCCAGGCUGCAGUGGUGGCUUCCUGUGCCUUGACGCAAGGACACCUGAUUGUUGCCAUGGCACUGACAUGCAUGCAAUGGUGCCCUGUCUGCAUGCUACUUGCAGACGGAGCCAAUGGGGAAUGUGGACCUCACUGCUGUGUCACGCAUGGCACUGGGCGUGCCGGCGGACAGCAGCACGGGUGCAGCAGGGCGUGACUACUUCGUGCGCCUCGCAUCAGCAUACCUGGCGGCCACAGUCAUCAGCCCCAUGCUGGCAUACCUGACUGCGGCCAACAUUCACACAGUAAGUACCAGCCAUGCACAAUGUGCCUUUCUGUUCUGCAGCAUCAUCUCACCGGUGUCCUCAUCAUCUGUGCUGCCAUACCGCACGUGCCGACAGGUGACCAUGUCAGUUGGCGUGCAGUACAUUGACUCGUCACCACCCACGAGCCGAACAUGGCGCGUGCUGCAGACUGGCCCCAUCGGCAGGACACAUGGCCAUCUGCACCUCAGCAUGCCACCUGUGGACAUUUACACGCUCCGUCCUGCAUGCUUGGAAGAUGUUGCCUUCUACGAUUACUUCACAAAGUACCGAGUGUAUGAUGGCGACGGGUGCCCACGAGGUGGCAUCUUCUGCGGCCACACUACCAAUGGCCAGCAUGUGUUUCGGAUGGUGGAGCCACGCUUGGUGUGCUUCACUGAUGUCAACCCCGCUUAUAACCCAGAGGGCUUCUUCUACAACCUGCUGCUCAAGCAAGUGCCGUUCCGCCAUGAAAGAUGCCUGCUGUCGCCACAGAACGCGUCGCAGACAUACUUCGAGGAAUGCCAACUACGCGAGCUGGUCAAGGAUAUGGCAGACUUGGAGCGCUAUGUGCAGGCGUGAGUGCUGCCACAGACUGCCACACAGCCAUCCUUUAGCCCAUUCCUCAUCCUCAUGUGAUGCACAUGCCUCUCCCAUGUCCUUGUCCCACUGCCACGCCUGCAGCUAUGGUGAGUACCACUUGUACGAAAGCGACAGGCGGCAUGCCUUGCUGGCCACCUUGCUAGCAAAGUACAGCCCAGAUGAAGGACUGGACCUCCUUGGUGAUGAGCUCCUUGAUACCCUCGCUGGUGGCGACCUGCCCAUGCCUGCCCCUCGUGCCACCCCCGAGAGGCAACCCAUGGUCCAGGAGAACCGUGACCAGCGGGCACUGCAAGCACGGUUGGCUGCCUUGGCUGCAGAGUUCAGUGACUUGGAUGAGUUGCCAUUCACACCACAGCAGGAAACAGCUGUCACUGCUAUCAUGGUGCAGCAGGCUGGCAUUGUGGUGCUGAGCGGCAGUCCGGGCUGUGGCAAAACAUUUGUGACCAAGAAGCUCACACGACUGCUGCGGGCUGCAGGGAAGGCGGUGCACCUGUCUGCCAGCACAGGGGCAGCUGCUGUCCACUUGAGCGAGUUUGCGACCACCAACCAUACCGCCUUCAACCUGCCUGUCAGCCAGCAGCACCGGCCCACAGCCUACAUGCGGCAGAUGUGCGGGUACAAGUGCUGCAGGCAGCAGACAUCCUCAUCCUGGAUGAGUUCUCCAUGAUGACUGCAGAGAACUUGAUGCACAUCCUCAUCACAUUGUGGCAUGCCAGCAAAGAGCCGUCCAUCGAGGCCAUGCUGCGCAAGAAGCUCAUCAUCCUAGUUGGCGAUGAUGCACAGGUGCACAAUUUUCACCGUCCUUCCGUUUGCGAAUUGCUGGCAUGAAGGUGCACAGGCUCCACACUUACAGUGCUUACACUGCUUGUCGCAUGCUUCCCCUUGUCAAUGGCCAGCAACUGGCCCCCCCUCACCCACUCUCUCUUCCACCCUUCUCCCCAUCCCCCUCACUUGCACCUCCACAGCUGGCGCCUGUCUGCAAGCAUCAGCGCACGCAUGAGGAUGAACCCGCUGCCACAGUGGUGUGCCGACGAUGCCACAUCUCAGCCUCGCCCUAUUGGCACACCGCCACACGUCUAAACCUGAGUGUCUCAGUACGGCAUGCAAAGGACCCGGCAUACAGCAGCCUGCUUGACAUCAUCCGCCAGCACGCGCCCACCCAGGCGGAGCUGGAUGCUGUGUUUGGGGUUUGCUCACCGGACAACAUGCACUUCAUCACCGAGUCACAGGUGGCGGCCACAUGUGACGCAGACACCACGGUGCUGUGUACCCAUCGGGAGGACGUGCUGCAGCACAACCUCGCCAUUCUGUGGCGCCUGGAAGGCACCACUCUCGGUGAAGUAUGCCCCUGUCCCUUGUCCCACAACAUCACUGCCCCAGACGCCAUGCUGGCCCUGGACCAAUGGCUCCAAGAGCCCACAUUUCGGAUGCUGCCAUGCGUGGCUGUCGGCGCGCGCGUCAGCCUAACCGACAAUGUCUCCCUGGCCCGCGGAGCCGCCAAUGGCGCUACUGGCACUGUGGCUGACCUUGAGUUCGAUGCAGAUGGCCAUGUUGACAAAGUCAAGGUCCUGCUAGCUACCACCGGGAAGACCAUCACGCUGGGGCACAGUGUCACGCGCUAUAAGAUCCUCAACGGUAUCCGAUACUUCAAGUCCACCUUCCCCCUAUGUCUUGCAUGGGCAAUAACAACACACCGUGCACAGGUGUGUGCUGCAGUUGCUGCAAGUUUCCUGGCCUUACAUGCAUGGACAGCCACAUGUCCACACUCUGUCGCGUCACAUGACUGUAGCACCGAACAAAACACGUGCGUACGGCAGACUUAGGGUUACGGCUAUGGAAUGCAGGGUGGCUUGGCGAAGUCCUGCAGGUAGCUUGAAGUGCUGACUUGACGACAAAAAGGGCAAGUAGUGACACUAAACAAAUGGCAACCUGCGCAAGGGGCCAGAGUUCCCUCCAGGCAAUUAAUCAACAGCGGCAAAGAUUUACCUUACCCACUGAGUCUGCCCGGCGUGAAGGAUAUGGGCGUUGAGUGGCCCACACAGGAGUUCGGCUGGUGGAAGGAAGUUACUUAUGCGGCUUACGAAAAGGGAGGUCCGCACAGGGCUUGUUGUCUAGCUCAGAGAACUUUACAAUGUUCCGAUCAUGAGCCGUAAAGCGACUUUUCCAAGCUCGCUGCCGGCUAUAAAUACCGAAGUCACGAUGUCGAUCACAGGAGGCCCUCAAAAGAUAAGCCUCGAGUACGACCACGACGUAUAGUCCACAAAUGACAAAAGUGAAACACCUUAUAACCCGUGUGACAGAACAUUCACACAAGAAAUAAACAAUUAACAAGUAAAGUACAUAAACAUACGCGAACGAGCGUACAUUCUCGUCUCGUCCAUAAGUCCAUCAGCGAAGUGUAAGAUAAGAACCAAACACCUUACACGAUAAUACACGAAAUUCGCGUAUUCACACCGAUUAUAACCUAAGACGAUUAUAAAAGACGGUAAAAUGAACGUGACGCUAAAAUGUCGUGACAACUCGUCCAAACACCCACUGCUAACCGCGCCAUUCGCACCCCCACAAUCCCACCUGCAUUGCUCAUGCUGUAUGCAGGGUGCGACCCUCGCCACACACACCAUCAUCCAUGCCCGGAAUGCUUUCACGCCGGGACUGCUGUACGUCAUGCUGUCGCGUGUCACGGAGAGCCGCCUGAUCAAGGUCAUCGGCUCCCUGUCACCAAGCUUGUUCAACCCCGUCGUUUUGCCAUGGACAACACAUCCCAUAUCUAACACAACAGCACCAGCCGCCGGGCCAUCGCAGCCAGCUGUGAACACCACUCGAAAUCCGCAGGAAACAGACCUCAUGCAGGUGCACCCUGUGGGUCAGCCAGACAGCCCAACCUUGCACCCUCCGGUGGAACCGAGCCGCCAGCGGGUACCCUACAUGGGCACCACUGAUGCCUUGCCAUUUGCAGAGCACCUCGGCAUGUAGACAGAUGCAUCACUAUGUGCACAUUCAGACAGGCAUCAUUAUGUAACCAACGUGCAGACUGUCCCUGCCUACAUCAGUACAUGCGCCACGUAAGGAAGUUGUCACGUUGCAGCCCGACCGCCGCACUAGGUGCCUGCCACCCCACAAACAACCCGUCCACAGCAGUGCCACCCGGCAGUGCAUCCACAGCUGCACGCUCCUCCUUGGCAGCCUCGUGCACCGCAGCACGGCUGCAAACAGUCUUUGCCUGCAUUAGCCGCUCCUGCACCUGCACCUGCAUGGCUUGCAGCUCCUGGGACCCGCCAGCCUUUAUUGCGCGCACCAACAGCUGCUGCACGUCCCAGGGCCGCACAAAUGCAGACAAGCCCAUCUGAACUGCCUCACUGCCGAGCGGAACCACUGGCGCGAUGGUGCCGUGCUCCAAAGCGCCAGCUGCCAGCACCACCAGGGUCAUGUUGAGGGGCAGCAGCUGCAGGCCUAGACUAGGCACACAAAAGGGCCCGCCUUGCAGGGCCCCGCACCCAGCCGGCAACCACAGAAUCACUGACAACGGCCCGUCUCCUCCAUCCAAGUGCAGCUGCACCCCUUCAUUGCUUGUACGUGCCACCAGGUUGAAAGGUGUGCCGCCCAGCAGAUAGCAUGCAGCCUUUGGUGUCACCAGCUUCUCCCUGCAACCAUGAGCAUAAAAGGUGCAUGCAGCAGCUUCAAACCAUGCCGCCAUGCCAUCUCAGCCCACCAAACAUGCCUAGGAUGCCCUACUUACAUUGCGCAUCAACUUGCCUGAGCGCUGCCAUGCACAGAAAGUACUUCGUAGCCAUGGUGUAGAUGGCUUCGGCCAGCUGCGUGGCUGCCGAAAAGCAUACGCCUGGUUGGAGGCACUCUGCAUCCCGCUGGCGCAUUGGUGCAUACCUGCAGCACACGACAGCAACUCUUAGUCCGUGAGCACGAUUCUGUUUCCAUCCUGCAUGUUGCCGCACCACCACGCAACCGUUUACACAAUAGCCUGCCGGAAUGCAGCGGCAGAGGGCAGACGCCUGUAUAAGACGCUGGCUCGCCGUCUGCACCAUGAACUCCUGGUCAAUCCAGCACAUCCCAGGUAGGUUGCACAGCCUGUACAAGGCUUGUGGCCUAUCUAGGAGCACACCAGGCAGAUCCCCCGAGCAUACGCUUCCCCCACAGCCUGCAACCACUGCAUAACAUGCAUCAUGUACAUCCCUGUACUACAACAGCCUGCCAUAAUGCAGAAGCAGAGGAUCAGAUACCUGUACAAUGGCACCGCCUCGCCUACUGCACCAUGCAGGCCUGGUCAUGGAGGGCGGGAGGGUGGAUGUGAGGUUGGCGGGAUGGCGGGGCGGAAGUGGAGGCAUGCAGGGGCGGGGAGUGACAGAUACGGACCCUGUGGCCACAUGGCCGGGCAGCUGGAAAGCGGGCAGGGGGGACGGCAGCUGGCGCAAGCAAGCAAUGGGCAGCAAGGGCGCUCGCAUAGCCCACACAGCAACUGGACACUUGACGCUUGACGGAUAGGGUCCGACGAUUUCAGCGCUAGCCUUCUGGACGUUGAGCAGUGCUGUUGUAUUUGGGCACGAUCGCACUUAAGGUUUCAUUCACGGUGCAUACAUGUCCGACCUUAACUCGUGUGAAAACGGCGGCUGCUGCCCAUACGGACAGCAGCGCUUGGGAUGGUCUAUUGCGUGAGUGUUGGGGGAAAGGGGGGGGCCCGCUGCGCUCCUUUCUAUGUCGCGUGCUCGGGUGCAAGUUGGUAGCGUGCGAGUUCACCCUUCAUGUUGCCUGUUCUGGCAUGGCCUUCCACGCGCGAUAGGAAAAUUGAACCUACGCCUUCUUCUUCGUUCCUACAUCAUAGCAAAGGACAGACGCGACGUGUCCUGUACACGCGCUGUUGCUUUGGUACUCUGCUUGUUAUUCUGGUUGAGCUACCUGGUGUUGUUGCAUACGCGCGCGCAACGACAUGACUGCAUGUACAAUGCGACGUGCACUAGACGACCUGUAAACACCUUCCACUAAACUGCUUCGAAGCUAUUCUCACAUUCCAAUAUGCCACUGCACUGCUUUAAUCUCCAGCCGGGCCACAUUCUAUUACGCGCAAAAGUAAUCAUACACCUUACAUUCCAAAAUCAUACGGGCCUUGGAAACGCGGCCAGCUGCUUCACAAGGACCCCCCUCUUUUGUGUAGAACAGUGUGUGCAGGCAGUAGCCAAUGUCGCAGCUGUUUUGCGCGGUUCGGCUUUAGGCCUUCGGCUCAGACAUACAACAUGGGAUGCGAUGUGCGACGACGAUCUCUUUCAUGAGGUCCGCUGUGAUAGGAUUGUUUACGGACUGCAGGGACUGCAAGUUUGAAAGGGUUCCGAACUGGGAAGGCCUUUGUCAGUCGGGCUCGUGCGCCGCUCGUGUCCAAUUUCGACAAGUGCUCCCCGUAACUGGUUUGGCGUCUCUGCAUGUCCGGCUGUUGGAGAUGCAGUGAAAGGAAGACCGAUAAAGCCUCGGCGCAAAGAGGAGAUUGGAUUGCCAGCACCUAAACUACGAAGCGGCUACGAUGCACACCUCAACGAAUGGACAUUUGUAAAAGCUGCUUGUACUGGUCGUAUAACAGAGUGUUAUCCAUGGAGAGGUAGUCCGCUGGGUCCAUUAUAAUAUCCCUAACCUUUUGUAACGUGUCCCACGGGUCCUUCAGAUAUUCUGCAUGUUUUGUCAACCCAAGCAUAUCCUAUGCUUACAAAGCUUCAUCUGUGUCACACGACAAUUCGCGUUUUGAGGAAACCCGCUUUGUAGUCCGACGUCAAUCCUUUUACAGUUUCAGCCUCGCAUUAGCUUACAAUAGCGAACUUCUAUACUUUAAUCACAAAUAAACAUGAUGCAGAUCGGCUUUCUGCUAAUUCUUCUGCACCGGCAAGUCUGUUUUUAUGCAUCCCCGCGAGGGUUAACCCCUUGACUAUGUCUCAUCCGCUUUACCUGACAUCGCUUUAGUCCAUAAAUCGAUACGUUUCUCAGCUGAGCUUCGUCAAUACAUGCAUUGUGCCGAACUGGAGGGUCCAUCCUAUGCCUCAGGCGCAAUGGGUACUAGACGCGGCUUACACCGCUGGCAAUGGCCAAUCUUCAUUCAGUGGUCCACCAUCUCCACAAAGACUUAGACGCGGGAACGGCGUCCUGCACCUGGACCUGCGAGGCGUACCUGCGGGCCCGGGAACGAGCUCCCCCGCUCAGCCCGCAAGCUCAGGAGUGCAAUGGAAGCCACCGAACAGCUACAAGCCACCCGGACCUGCGGACAGCCACGCGGCUUGCGUGCAUCAGCCCUAUUCCGCGCUCCUGCUCUCAGUGCUGAACGGGGGGAACAACUCCGCAGCGAGCGCCUCGCCAGGGGCUCGCGCAAGCGGCCCAGCAGCUAGCAAUGCCAUGACCGUGCUCUCCCCCGGCUGCACCCGCGGCCCCGUGCAGCCAUCCUGUGAUCCGAUGGUGGGGGGUCCCCCGCAACCAGGGGGUCAACGCCCCCCCCACAUUCGCCCAGCUGCUCCUGGGGGCUUCACGGUGGCUCGUGCGACCGCUGGCCAGGCCGCCGUACAAGGCGCCGCCGCUUCCUUGUCCGCCGGCGGCGCCGUCGGGACAUCCGCGACAGCGCGGCCUAAUCCGUACAAUCCAUUGCUACCCCGGCAAGGCGCAAGGUCUGCCGGACGACGGGGCCCCUCGACGGGGCCCACGCUGCCGGAGCCGCCAUACACGAGUACGAAUGGUCAAGGCAGCAGGCCGCCGUCACGGGGCUCCGCGAGGCAGCGGCAGGACGCCUCGAACGAUAACAUGCCGUACGCGCCGUACUCUGCUGCGUCACGUGGCGCAACCGACGCCAUGUCUCUCCGCGCUCGUUCGAUGGCCAGCACAGCCGCAUCGCUACUGCAAAGGCCAAACGGUGUUGCAGGCUCGAGCGCGACGGCGGCGACGGCGACGGCAGCAGGUGUCUCGAUGCACGGCUGCCAUCCCGAAGACCUCAUGCAGCCGAUGACGGCGGCGAUGGAGGCAGCAGCGGCUGCGGCGAUCAGGGCGGUGGCGAAAGCGGUGCAAUCGCCAAACUCGACACGGACGCACGGCUCAGGUGCCGGCGGCGGCGGCGGCGGCGGCAGUGCAAGCAGCAGCGGUGGUGGCAGCGGCGGAGCCCGCGGCCCUGACCUUGGAGCAGGGCCCGCCGGGGCCCCUCGCAGCCACUUCGAAGUCCCUCUUGACCGCAGCGGCAGCGGCGGCGGCGGCGGCGGGAUCUGUUCUCGCGGCGAGUCAGUCGACCUAAGGUCUCCAUCACCCCAGGGUAAACGUCGUGACGGGAUGUACGGCGAGUCGCCAUCGCAGCCGCCGCCAAUGCCAGUGAGCAUGCAAACCGCGCUCGCGGUUCUAAGUACUGGCGCGGCCGCGGGUACGGCAGCGCCGCCGCCAGCUGGCGCUGGCCGCGACGCCGCCGCCGCAGCGACGUCACGGCUGCAGGCCGUUGUUCUACAACCGACGGCGCCGCCAGCUACCUCCUCAUCCGCUUCAUCAUGUGGACUUCCGGCGCGAGUAUACUCUCCCGUACCACGGCAUAUCGUACGAUCGUCCGCCAGCGGUACGGACGAUUCUGCGUUGGAUUUUUUUGGCAUGUACGAGGGUGACGUGUUAAGCGUGGAGGAGGGGGGUGGCGACGAUGAGGACGAUGAUGAGGAGGAGGGUGGCGAGGACGACGUGAGGGUGGCGGCGGGGCGGCCCGGCAGGUACGGACAAAGAUACGACGAGGCCGGCGGCGGGCGUCUGGACGACGCAGAGCUUCGGCCUUGGCGUGUUGGGUCAGGACGCGGAGUACGGAGUACAGCAAAUGUGCAUGCAGUACGGGCAGCGGCGGCGGCAACGGUGGUGGGGCAGAAGGGGCGGGCGACUCCGACACCGCCGCACCGGCAGCAGCAACAGCGUCCCGUGCCAUGGCCGCUGCAGCGGCCUCCUAGCGGCCGACCGCCAGCGGCGCCGCCGCCGCCAGGCGGCGGCGGCGCCGCCGCCGCACUGCGACGUCGCAGCAGCUUUGAUGCCUCCUCCAUAGCGGCGGCGGCGACAAGCUUGUACGGCAGAAUCAGCGAUGGCUUGAGGGAGAACUCCGCGUCAGAGGCCGGGUCGCGGCCCGGUACAGCAUCGUCCGCUUGGUCGGCGUACGACAUGCUCCUUUCACCGGAUCUAAAGCCGCCGCCGGGCCGCGGCCAAAGCCUGGACAACAUGCCAGCAGCUGGGGACGGCGGCGCUCAGGUGAUGGGCGGCGCCUCUGAAGAGGUGACGGCAGCGGCGGGGCAUCGCCGCGCCGCCAGCAAUCCCCGCGAUGCGACGAGGCUUGAAUGCCGCAGUAGCGGCGGUAAAGUUCCUGGGCCGCGCUUGAGCCGGAGCAGUAGCAGUGCCAGCUGCUACCGGGCUGCAGGCAGAAGCGGCGGCGGCGGCAGCAGCGCAACGGAAAGGACCGCCGUACAGGCCCUGGCCCUCCUUGCGACACUGGCACUGACAUCCCCGCCAUCUCCUGGCGGCGCGUCGUUCAUUUCCGGUGCUUGCGGCGCCACAGCCCCCACCGCCACCGCCGCCGCCGCCGCCGCCGCCGGCCGCAAGCGUGCCGGUGCAUCAACAGGCCGUGGCCGCAAGACUGGCGGCGGCUCCGCCACCCCACACCGGCCGCUGCAUCCUGCCGUCCUAGCCUUGGCGGAGAUGACCGCUGCGCCGUACGACCCCCAGCAGCGUUCGGACGAAAUUCCGACCGAUGAAAAGGGCCGCGCGUUUCCGUACAUUCAGCCGCCCGCUUUCCCCGGCACGUGCCCCACCAUCGCUUUCGUGAAGUCGGCGGCGGAAAAGCACGCCCGCGGGCUACAGCCGCUGCUGAGCCCCACGCUGUACGUCAAGUACGGCGGCGUGGCCAACACGCCCGUACGUACGGCAUUCCGGGAGGCGGGGUUACGGCCGACACGCAAGGGCAAGCGGUGGAUCGUACAAUGGGGGGGUAUUCUAGAUGCUCCGGCGCUGGCCAAGUUACACAGCUUUCAGAGGGUCAACCAUUUUCCCGGUAAGCUUGGGGUUAACUUUGGGGGGGGGAAAACGUGCCAGGCACGGUGUAUGCCUCGCAAACACCCGCCUAUAAUAUUUCUUUCGUGCUUAUAAAAGUUUUAUCCUUGUACUUGCAUGGCAUGAAACGAUGAUUUUCUGUUAAAAGCGUUGAAGUCGAGGACACAACCCCCAGGAACAACCGAAAAUGCCGUACGUUUGUUUGCGUUGGUGCGUUGGAGAGGGGAAGUGGCCGGGUGCUGGCGGGGACGGCGCGGGUUGCAGGAAUGUACGGCACAUACACAACUUCCCCUGUCCUUGGCAUUCAUACCAUGAUCGUAGGGCAGAGUCCCUGAACUCCUUUCCUCUUCGAUGCCCAAACCCCGCUUAACCCCCAACUGCCAACCCCCAACUGCCAACCCCCAACUCCCAACUGCCAACUGCCAACACUCCAGGCACGUGGGAGUUAGGCCACAAGGGACACCUGUACCGCAAUGUGUAUAACGCCCGCCGCCGUGCACGUGGCCCAGCCGCCGAGGCCUUUGACAUCGUCCCCCGGUUUUACAUCAUGCCACGCGACUACGAAGAGUUCAAGGCUGACGUGGAACGGUUUCCGGACCGGUUGUACAUCCAAAAGGUACGGCAUAGUACGAGUGUGGGUAGGUUUUUCAGGGUUUUAGGGUAAAAAAUGGCGGUCGCCUCCGGAGUGUGAGUAUAUAGUUGCAAGCAGUGGGUGUCCCAGUGGGGUGCUGCCGGGCGAUGUGGAUUCCCUGGGGCAGCAGGGGCAGGGGGUGGGGGAGAGGUAUGCGGGAUCGAUACAACAAUGAUUCAGUCUUUUUCUCCUCGCAGUCUCACAUUAUUCCUCCGUUUCGUUGCUAACCACCCCGAAACCAACCCAACUACCUCAACGUCCAGCCAACGAACUCGUCGCGGGGUCGCGGUAUUCGGAUGGUCACCCGGCCUGAUGCCAUAUCACGCGAUGCCAAGGACAUGCUCGUACAGCAUUACAUCGCUAACCCCCUGCUACUUAACGGGUGAGAGCUUGGGGGGGAAAGGGGGGCGGGAGGAAAUCAGAAAAACACACACAAAUAGGGGCGUGGGGGCGCGAGGAGGGGGUGGGGGGGGACGGCAAUGAGGGAAGGGGGGAAAUGGCUAGGUGCGGGUUUGACAAAGGGGGAGAAGAAGCCGGGAGCAUCGCGAGCGGAGGGGGCUGGCAAGGUUGUACGACAGCGGUUUUCCCCCCUCCUGAGCGACUGGCCCCCUCAAAAAACCUGUCGUACAGGUUCAAGUUCGACAUGCGUGUGUAUGCGGCCGCCACGUGUCUCGACCCCCUGCGGCUGUACGUCUUCCCGGACGGGCUUGCACGACUCGCUACGGAGCCGUACUCCGCGGACAAGGCCGAUUUGACGUGAGAGGGGUAGGGGGGAGGGGGGGAAGCGGGAAAGGAAGGGGAAGCUCCAGCGUGUCGUACAUCUGCCACAUCUCUUUACCCCCCCCCCCCAACUUGCUUGGGGCGUGUUAGGUGGGUGGGUGGGCUUGGGAGGAGCACUUGCAUGUUUACUAGAAAGCUUAUUAGCAGUGAGCCAACCAGCCAGUGUUUUCUUUUGCUCCAUACUUCCAGCGCCAGGCCAGCGUAAAAUGGUUUUCUCAGCUAACGUCACAUCUUUCCUUCAACUCAUGUCAGCUGUUACGGUGUGUUUAGCUCUCCGCCGCUUUUGCAUUUACCUUAAGAAUCUUUAGAGUACUACGAGAUGUUUUUUCUUGUAUCCUUUUCGCAUUUUAUUUUAGACUUUGCGGCUAGGUAGGUAGUUUUCCGCUAUCUUUUCAUGACUACUACUAACAUCAACGCGAAGACGCCUUCUUCUUCACAAGCCGCAACUGGUUAGUUGUUGCUUCCUUACUUCUGCUGUAUCAGGCCACCCUUGCCAUCAGCUUCACUCGUUCGUCGUGGUUCGUCGUCCCCCACUUGCUCCGCAAGCCCUCCCCCCCUCCUUUCCCAUGCAGCAAACGCUGCGUGCACCUCACCAACUACUCGGUCAAUAAAAAGUCCGCCAAGUUCGUUAAAACACAAGCGCUACUGCCGCAACCCCACCAACCGCCUCAACCACAACCAGAACAACAAGAACCGGCGGUGCCGGAAGGCGCAUGUAACAGCGGCGGGGACGAAGCCUCCGCCGCCACCGUUGGCGCUGCGCCAGUGGCGGCGGCGCCGCCGCCGCCCCCCUCCUCCUCCCUGGCCUCCUCUUCCUCCUGCGCCUUCUCCGCAAACCCUUCCUCUUCUCCUCCUCCUCCUCCUCCCCAUCAUCAGCAGCAGCAGCAACAGCAGCACUACAGCAGCGGCAGUAGCAGCAGCAGCGGCAGUAGUCACCCUGUCGACCCCGCGACCGAGUGUGAGGGCAGCAAGUGGAGUUUGUCCGGGCUAAGACACUUCCUGGAGAGCCGGGGCAUAGGGCCCGGCUGGGGUGUGGUGUGGAGGCAGGUGGGGGGGACGUGGGGGUGGGAAGGGCAGGUGGUGUGGGUUUGUGCGUCGCGGUGCGGGGAAGAUAUCGUGUCUCUUCCGUAACACCGCCUCCUCGCCUCCUUUUCCACCCGGCUCCGAAACCACCCCGUCACGGAUACCAUGUCAAUUUUGGCGAUGUCAUUUGCAGUUAUGAUGAAAUGUGAUUGUUUUAGUUAAUUUUGUCUUGCAUUAAAAAGUUCACCUUUGCACCCCACUUACCAUUCUCCUUACUACCGCCACCGGCACCCAAAAACCACCAGCCCAAAACACAGCGGCGUUCUCCCCAUCCCCAUCCCCAUCCCCCACCACCCCCAUCUCCAACCUCCACUCCUCCCCCAACCCCCUACAGGUGUGUGAUAUCGUGGCGGCGGCCGUGAUAGCCGCGGAGCCGAGGAUGAACACCGAGUUUAAAAUGAAGGUACCGCACCGCAACAACUGCUUUGAGGUGAGGGGCCCAACACUGUCCCCCCACCAGGGCCGGGUUUCCUUUCUUUCUUCCUUCCUUCUCCUCCCUCUGUUUCUCGGGGGGCAUUUCCGUACGAUGAUCCCCGCCCCGCCCGCUCCUCCUACCGCACUCUCGCCACAUUUCCUCCAAUUCAAUUUAAUUGGAUUUACUUACAUUUUACUUACAUGUUUUAUUUAAAUUCUAUGUUCACAUUUUAUAUUUACAUUAUAUUUACAUUAUAUUUACAUUUUAUAUUUACAUUUUGAAAUGGCAUUUUGUAUUCACAUUUUACUGACAUUUUAUUUUUAUCUUGUAGGUGUGGGGUUUCGACAUCAUGCUAACGGAUGUUUUCCGUGCCUGGCUCAUCGAGGCCAACACCUGCCCCUCCCUGGCGGCUGACAGCGGACUGGAUAUGAGGGUCAAGUGCUCCAUGGUUUCGGAGCUCAUGCACCUUAUUGGGCCUGUGCCGUAUGACGUGGAGGUACGACGUGCCGUGCCGUACAUUACCUUGUCGUGUUGGACAAGAUCUUGAGGAUUAGAGGGGUUGGGAAGGGGUGGGGUAAUGCAAAAGGAAAGAAUUAUGAAAUGUGGCGUUUGUGUAGCAUUGGCGCUAGUACAUGGCUGUGACGCGGGUGGGGGGGGAAAAGAAAUGUGUUUCUGUGUAUGUGUUUGUGGGGGGAAGGCGCCUUAGGGAUGGUGGCGACUCGACAUUGGCGGACCGCUACUGCUGCUGCUGCUACUGCUGCUACUGCAGCGGCCAUUAUCUGUCCUGACGCCGACGUUUGACGUGAUUAGGACCGCUAGGACCACGUAACAGUCCAGGUUAGAAAAUCACACACACACACAUGCAUACACACAUACACACACUCACACACACAUACACACAUAAUCAUUCACACUCACUCACAUACUCACAUACACACAUACACACAUACACACAUACACACACAAACACAGAAAAAAUGCAACACAAGGCACGGGGAUGUCCUCCCGGGGCCAUUGUCCCCCCUCUCACCUUCCCUCCCUUGCCCAGCCCCUGCCGGGGGUUUCCCCCCCCGCCUCCGAGGGGGCCUCUGCGGGGUACGUCACACUACAACAUAUGCCGUGUACGUCUGUAGGUAUACGAGAAAGCAGCGGAGGCGAAGCGCCAGGCGCGUCUGACGGGGCUUCCGAUAGCGGCAACCAACCCCACGGCACGCAGUACGGCCGCUGGCGGCGCCGCCGCCGCCGCUGCUGACGAGGAAGCUCCUCCAACUCCCAACAGCCUGCUGGGCGCACAGCCUUCCUUUGGGCAGUCAACCUCAGCUGCCAGCGGCGGCGGCGGCGGCGGCGGCGGCGGUGGUCCUGGCAGCAAUGCGGUGGUGCAACCUAAAUCUCUGCAUGAGCUAGAUUCCAUUGACUUCACCGGUGGGUCUCAGGGUUAGGGUUUUUUCCGCUAAUCUUUUAACCGAAGGCAGAUGUGCGUUUGUGUGUGUCAGGGUACGACAGCGCCAGAAUCGGAUCCUGGACGAAACAAACACAAAAACCCGAUUUGCGCCAUCGUCAUCGUUGUUGUACUUGCUCAUCCCGUACAUGUCGUACUGUCGUGCUUACACGCUGCCGCUGUUUGGUGCCCGUUGUACAUGCUGUUGUCAUGACGACACGUUUAUUGUCGUACGCUGUCGUACUCUGCAGCUCUAAACCCGGCGGAGCUUCCUGAGGUUGUGUUGGAGGCGGAGGCGGAGAUGGCUAGGAAGGGUAGCUGGGAACGUGUUUUUCCAUGUGAAGAGGACCCCGCCAGGUAUGUGUGUUUGUGCGUGCGUGCAUGUGGCAGUGUUGAGUGUGUGUGUGUGUGUAUAUGGGGAUGUACGGAAGAGUUGUGUUGUGGGAAAGGGUGGCGAGUGGUUGUAUGGUUGGGUGGUGAGUGUAAAUAUUUAGGAGUUAUAAACGCAGACUUGGUGAAGAAGAGUGUAGUUUUAGAGAAUGAGGAGGUUAUUGCGGUUGGGGGAAUGAAGGUAUGGAGGUUGGCAGUUGGCAGUUAGCGGUUGAUGGCGUAAUUUACAUGUCUUGGUUCUUGGAUAGGCAACCGAGUAGAGCAGAAACAGUAGCUCUGACGUAAUCCAAAACCAAAAGCCGAUUCAGUUAGACAUUUGUGUGGUGCUAACUAACUUACGCCGUACUGGGGAAAAAGCGGUUAGCAUCAUUAGAAUGAUGGCAAAACGUCGGGACCACUGAAAAGUUGAUGUUUAGCAGUGCAAGCGUCCCCACGUCUUCCAUACGGAACCCCCCAUACACACGCUCACACAUAUACAGACAUACACACAUAUACAGACAUGCACACAUAUGCACACAUACACACAUAUACAGACAUACACACAUCUGCACACAUCUUGCAAACAUUGUAGCUUAUAUGCGGAGUAUAGUAUAAAGGAGUGAAGCGAGUAUAGUCUCUGACUUAAGUUACGUACGGCAGCCGUACGGCUUGCCAUUUCUUCAGUAGUGUAAGCCCUAGCUUGGCAGCCCCGGUCCGCCUCGCCCUGUCGUACCCGGCACCUGGAACGCAACUGUACAGCAAGCCGUGAAGGCUAUCGUACAUAGCACCUAGUAACACCUGCUAGUGCUGCUGCUGCUGCUGCUGCUCCGCCAACACCAAUCUUUCGCCAAUCUUUCAGGGACGGUGGUCGUUGUGGCCCCCUCCCUCCCUUGGGGCCAGCUACCCUCUUCUUGUCGUUCGUCACAUUGCCCGCGCUGUGGUAGCAGCAUGACCCUCUGCUUUGUCCGCUCAAGAGCUCAGGAGAUGCUAGGAAAUGGAAUUUUUGGGUCUACCUCCUGGUUGGGAUGUUAGGUGUCUUCGCCUCCCGCGCUACCACAGCCUUCGGCAAAAAACCCUUCCCUUCCCCCGCUGUCCCCGCUGUCCCCGCCUUUUUACCAUCAUACCUUCCAUCGGCCGCACGCAUACACACACGCGCGCGCACACGUGCGCCCGCAGGUACCUCAACCUUUUCGAGACGCCUCGCCUAAACAACAUAAUGCUGUGCAAGUAUUACGCGCAAACCAGCGGCAACGGGGGAGGUGUGUUCCGCCAGCAGCAGCAGCAGCAGCAGCAGCGCCCUGGCAGUGUCAGCCGCGGCGGCGUCCGCGCGAGUUUGCUGGGGGCAGCUGGGUUGCUGGGGGGUAUGUCGGGGAGCGGCGGGGGUGCACGGCCCUUGUCGCGGGAGUGGCGUCCCGGUGGGGGGGGCUCCUAGCGUGGCACGGCGUUAGCAUCACCGUCUGUGCCGUACGUGGCGGAUUCUUCUUCUUCUUCUUCGCGUUUGGGUUCUUUAAGAUCAGAAAGUUCGGGGGCAGGUGCUGCCAGUCCAAUUUUGGCUCCUCCCUCCUUCCGUCCCCCCCCUCCGGGCUGCCCCUUCACCCCUCCAUGCAAUCGCACGCAACGAGUUGCGGCUCGAUCCCCGAGCAGCCCGUCGAGGGAGAAGAAGAGAGGGAGAGAUAUGGUUUCGGAAUCUGAUACGUACUCCGAUUUGGUUUGUUAGUUGUUAGUUAAACUAUGCUCGGUCAUCUCCACCGUUACCAGGUUAUUAUCAGUUGGUUAGUUGAUUAGUUGGUUAGUUGGUUGAUCAUGUACAUGGUGCAUUAGGAUAGGGGUGGAGACGGCCUCUUUUCCAACAGUCUUUGUGGGGGAGAGAAAGGGAGGGGGUGAGGGAAAGGGAGAGGGCAGCUGUAAUGGGCGGGGAAGGGUUUCCCCCGGGGGUUGUGGUGGCUGGGGGUUAAGUCCUUUGUGUGGGUGGGGGUUUGGGGGUUUGGGGGGGGGGGAGGGGACCCGUGGCGUGAAUGCCGGUUAAUUCUGACUUCCGCACGAUUGCUUGUUCAGGCAUGAACGUCACCGAGGUGCCUGUGCACAUAGGUGUGUGCUUGUAUGUGCAUCUGUCAGAGAAUCUGUCGAAGAGAUAAAGGAAGAGACACACGCACAUACAAACACACACACAUACACAGAGCGCGGGGAGUAGCUGGGUUAUCGGGUUAAGGGGCUAGCGGCUCUAAAUCAGAAAUCAACUUUUGAAAAAGCCGUCAGUAUCCUCAAUAAGGUUUUCAAGAGUUGAUGUUUUUGUAACAUAUAAUUAUAGGUUGGCAUUUGUUCCCAGGUUUUAGGGUUUUAGUUUUAGCAAUGUUUUCUCCAUGUCAGCCAGGUAGAGUUAGAGAGCCACAAAAAGUGGUGGUCCAGGGGGUUCAGAGGGCAGGCGGACUUGUAGGAGGCUUGGAGGGUGGAGGGAUUUGGGUACUGGUAGCUUAGCCUUAGGCUGUUAGGCUGUUAUUAGGCACUGCCCGGGCGCUCGCAUACGGCAGCCCUCUGCGUGUGCAUGUAUCUCCAUGAACUGAGACUGCGUAUUGUGUGUGUCUGUCUGUCCGUCUGUCUGUCUGUCUGUCUGUCUGUAUUGUUGUUUUAUGGAAGUAAGUACCAAGAAUAGAGAACGACAACAACAAUAACACCACCAUAACAUCUUGAGGGUGUGAUGCUGGUUUGGUGACCAGUCUCUCUUGGGAUUUCUCCGCUGGACUCUCCAACGCUGCUGCUGCUGCCGGUGUAGCUGGUGCCGGUGGUGCUGUUGGUGGUAUGGCUAGUGCGGAUCCUGUUUUUAAUGUUGAUGUUGAUGAUGUGGUGAUGAUCACGAAUUAAGAAGAGAACGGCGUGUGUUUCACCCUCCCUCCCCCUCCCCCUCUUUGAGAGCUCGGGGGGGGAGGGGGCCUCAAAUCAAUGAGGGGAUUGCACACGGAUUCUCAUGGCGGCCUGGGCAUGAGAGGAAGCGGAGGGAAGGGAGGAGUGUGAACGUACGUACAUAUGUAUGUUUAUUCAUCUGCGAUUGUGCGUCUCUUGUAUGUUUGAGGAGGUGGUCUAGUCAUGCUUAGUAGUGGUGUGAGAGCGUCUGAGAGGUGCUUUGGUGAGAAGACGAGGGGGAGGAAAGGGUUGCUGCGUGGGGUGUACGGCUGGCAUGGAGUGCAUGGUUAACUGUAUUUUAACCAACGUGUUCCGUUUAGUGUGCGGUCCGGCUACCUGCGUGUGCGGUAAGGGUGUGCCUGCGUGCAUGCUUCUAAACUUUUUCGUGUUGAAUUGGUUCGCAGGGAUGUCCCAGGUCUUUUGGCUGUGGUGUCUUCAUCUGUUGCGUGUGCUAACGAGUAUAAAUGGUUAUCUUUGUAUUGAUGUUUUGUCUUCUGUGUACGCAACUAUGCUGGCUCCUAAAAGCAUCUCUCGCACAUGUCGCCGGUUGUGUACGGUACUUACAUUUCGUCCGAGUCUUUACUCGGAUUUUUGUAAUUCUCGGAAAUUCAAAUGGAAACCAAUGUGGUUCGCGUAAUGUGAAGGGCCUUACCUGAUUCACAGCCGGCCCUGCUGUCGAAUUUUCAUUAGAAACUAAGCGCACAGAUGCGGUUAGGAAAUCUGCACAUUCGGGGACCCCUAUUGUGGGGAUUGCGGCUGUUGGAAUCCUGGGAUCUUAGGUAGGCGCAACGUUCAAAACAUAUAACGCUUCCAACCUCUCUUACGCUUGCAAAGUGCAGGCGCCGAGGCUCUCGUGCAACAGCGUGAAGCACUGCACUGCAGUGACUGCAGCUGUCGAUAUCGUUAGAACCGUUCGUGCACGUUUCAGUUGAUAAAUUCACGCACGACGCAGCUCAGCUUUAUGUCCUCCACCAAAGCGUCUUGAUGGUAGGCUUUGAUUUCGCUUCAAAAAUAUGACUUCCUGCAAUUCAUAAGCUCAUCAUGCAUGCCGGCUUAGGCGGCCCCCUGCGGUCCAUAUCAAGCAGGUGUUUAGUCCGACAUAACGUUCAUCGCUUUGAAACAUUAACGGCAUAUUGCACGUCAGCUGCAACUACGAUGGCGAAAGAAUUCCGCGAGCUUAAACAGCAGGCACGGAAGGACAUUAAGCAAAGGCUCAGAGCGCUCACAGAUGAACAAAUGGCGGAUGAGAGUGCGUUGACAGCCGAUAUUUGUCAUGGUUUUACGGCCCCGUUCACGGCUCCGUUCACAGAGCCUGGCCAUACAAUUCAUGGACGCAGGCGCCCGCAUUGCUGCGCAUGUGCUCGGGUUGCGCCCUUACACUGAGGCGAAGAAUAUCGGCAUAUACCUCCACUGUGCAAAGCUUCGGGAGGUGGACACAACAGAAAUCCUCAAGGACGCAAUGCGGCAAGGUAGUACCGUACGGCAAGCUAGUACGGCUGCCCGCAAAGCCCAGCUAGGAUCCAGCUUUGCCCGUUCUCUGGACACCAAAGUAGGGCGCCUCAAGCUCCUGACGAUUUUAUUGCUCAGCCCUGCUUCCUUGGAUGGAUUUCCUAGGGCGCAGCAGUGCCUAUACAAAAAGCCCAGCUUCUAUCCAUCCGACGUUUUCGCAGGAAAGCGGUGCUAUGUACCUGUGGUUGACGACAACAACAGUAACAUGAGAUUCCUCCACCUAGGUGCGUACGACAGUACGAAAACAUUGUGGGCAGUACGGCAGUGCGUGACGGCAAUACCAACAAAAGGCAUGGGGGAAAAGGAUGGGUGCAGGAGGGAAAAAAACGGCAAUGAAUUUUUGAAUUGUGUUUUUUUUCUCUAUCCAGAAGACAUUUUCCCCUUCCACAAGGACACGCGCGGGUCGGGGGGGGGGGAUGGAGGGCACUUGAGGUGAUACGCCGUCCCCGAGCACCUUCGCGUGUAUUGCAUGAAGCCUCCGCCCUGCUGUCGCCUCACACCAUCCCCCUCCCCUUCCCCCCUCAUUUCCCCCCAUAAAACGUGUGUGUUUCGCUCGCUCUUCUUCCACAUCACCACCACCCGGUCGUACUCUUACAAGCACUAACCGCACCAACCGUCCGUACCGUUUUAAUCCGUACCUUCUCCGUAUAAACUUUCCAUUCGUCCAACCCACGCUGGGUGUCGUACAGACGAGCUAUCGAGCCUCGAAAAGGUGCCGCCCUUUGGCAUCUUGGAACCCCCGGACACGUACGGCAACGGAUCUCCUAGGCAGGAUGGUACGUGUUGCGUGCUGGUGUAUUGUGCAUGACGUACGGCAUGACAGGGUUAAUGGAGAGUGCUGCAGUUGCUGCUACUACUACUUUUUUAACUACGACUACUACUACUACUACUACGACUACUGCUGUUGCUGCUGCAGCUACUGCUGUUUCAAAUCCAUAGCUCACAUCAAUUUCCCGAUCACCUUAAUGGCCAGGGGCUUAGGGUUUAUUUCCUCUCCUCUUUGUGUAAUUGUCUGCCGCUCCCUAACCUCCUACCCCCUACCUCAUACCUCAUACCUCCUACCCCCUACCUCAUACCUCUUACCCCCUACCUCUUACUCCCCCCUCCUGAAUCUGAGGGUUGUGUGCUACAACCCCCCUUCCCUCCCACCCACCCCCGCCCAACACACACACGCACCGAAGUCCUCCAGAGCCGUACACCUCUGGAUGUCUUNNNNNNNNNNNNNNNNNNNNNNNNNNNNNNNNNNNNNNNNNNNNNNNNNNNNNNNNNNNNNNNNNNNNNNNNNNNNNNNNNNNNNNNNNNNNNNNNNNNNNNNNNNNNNNNNNNNNNNNNNNNNNNNNNNNNNNNNNNNNNNNNNNNNNNNNNNNNNNNNNNNNNNNNNNNNNNNNNNNNNNNNNNNNNNNNNNNNNNNNNNNNNNNNNNNNNNNNNNNNNNNNNNGUAGAGGAGGGGGGGUAGAGGAGGGGGGGAUAGAGGAGGGGGAAGGGGGAUUAGAGGGGGAAACACGGCCGAGGGGCCUCAUCAGGCGGGGCUCCGGCUCCGGAACCAUCAGGUGGAGGACUCAGGCACCUCCCAGGAUAGAAGAAGGGGCUUAGGGUUCUUUUGGGGCCAUUCAUCGCCGCCACCACCGCCGCCGCUACCGCCGCACCCGGCAGCGCCCGGUGUCGGUGCCCGAUCGUCACUGCCGGUCUAUCUGACACGAUGACCCACCCGUACGACCCCCCAUCGGCGCUGGCUCCGACACCGCUGCCGGGGGCCCCGGGGGCCAUGACCUGGACCUGCUGCGUUCCCCCUGGGUGGGAGGGAGCCGAGUGCCGCUGUGGUGGUGGUGGGAUUCAUAAUGUUUUCAAGUCCGCUUCCCAACCUACCCCUCUCUUAGCUCUUCUGCCGUAUUUACCGUUAAAUUGGUUAGUUACCUGUCCCACCCUCUGACAUCGGUCUCGCACACCCUCGGUCGAAGGUACUACGACAAAAUGAUAUCUCAGCUGCAGCGUCAAGCGAUCGAGGCCUGCAGGGACCCGCCGCUGUUUGGUGAGCUUGGGUUGGCGGGAACGGGCUUGGGGGGUGAAGGGAGGCGCGGGUGGACGCUGCGCGGGGCGAAGGGGCAUGGGGCCAUGUCGUAUAGUGUACGAUGGUGCUUAACCAGAAGCCAUGUAUAGCAGUACGUCGUGGACUUUGCCAGUGCUUUGCCAUUUGCCGGGGGUGCAGGUGCGGCUUGCCGUACAUGUACCUCCGUGUAUGCAGAGUGGUGUGUACGAUGGCUGUACCGUACACAGCCGCAAUGCAGCGCGUCUCUGUCGUACCGCAAAGCCAUUCGCUGGACUGGACGCAGUCUUUGCUGUAAUACAUAAUAAUAUAAUACCGUUCGUUUGAUAUUGCAACCACGCUGGCAUGCAUCAACUGUGAAGCGCCGUGUGCAUGUACCCAAGUGCGUGUGGGGACGUUCAAUGGGCGGCCGUGUAACACCACCAUCCACCCUUCGACAUCUCCUUCAGUGGCCUUGUCGUACGCGGCACAGCUGAUCCCUGCCGUACCUGUGGACGAGCAUGAUCAGCACGUGGACGUGCUUGUAACGGCUGGCGGCGUGGCGGCGUGUACGGAGCGGGGUACGGCAGCCGUGGGGCCAUAACAAUCCCACCAAGAGCCAUCUGCCCAACCACACCCGCUCGCGGACCGUUGGCCCCUUCUGGCUGCCGUAUCGUAGUUAGGGGCGCCUGCCGCCGCCGCCGCCGCCGCCAGGAGGCUCGUUGUGUGUUAACGUGGGCGGCAGGCACUAUGAGACAUGACAUGAACUCCCCGCGCACCUGGAAGGGGUGAUACAGGCUCCCUGUAACGUCGUGUUAGGUGGUUCCGGCAGCCGUUAAUGCCAUUAGUGUCUGUCUGUGUGUCUGUCUGUCUAUCUGUCUGUGUGUCUGUCUGUCUAUGUGUCUGCCUGUUGUGUAUGUAUGUCUGUGUCUUUGAGUGUCUGUGUGUGUGUGUGUGUUUGCACCUCGGUUGCGUUACCCACCCACUGCACGAACCAACUAGCUUUGGUUCCCAAACAGCAAACGAAUGGCUCAGAUGUGGUGUAUAGCUAUAUAUAUAUAUAUAUUUAUACCCCCUGUAUAUAUUACAGCGAGCCCCAGACCCUAAGGGAAUGCAAAGAUGUGGCGUACAGGUUGAUGGUGGGGCAGAUAUGGGGCGCUCAUUCUUUGGGGGGGGCGAAGUGGGAGAGGGCAGCCUUAUCAUGGCCCUCCAGAGGAUCAAGGCAACAGUGACAUGACAUCCCGUGAUCUCAUCAUUUCUGAGGUUGGGUCGGUCCCAGCGGAUUCACGGGUGCAGCCGGGACUCCAGGGAAGAGAGGGAGGAGGGAAAGCAGGGGAGGGGUGUAAGAGGGCGGCGCGCACCCGGCACCGGAGAGAGGCAAGGUGUUUUGGGCCUGCUGUCAGGCAGAUGCAGGCGUAAGAGAGGGCAGGGGGAAACGGUGCGCAGGGGGAUGGGGGGCGCACACCGGGCAGGCCGAGGAAGCCUUGUCAAGCGGGGGAAAGCCUUGACACGGACGAGAGACGACGCUACAGCAGCGAAGUGGAGCGCCGCUUCUGUGGAGAAACAGAGGCCGAAUAGGAAAUGACGGAUGUAGCUGCGAGUUCGGUUUACCUGAGGAACAAGCCGAACUAGAGGAAACACAGCAAGGACCACGGUGGUGAAACUGGAAAUGUGAGACUGCUGGAUGGUAGACGGCGAACGGCGCAAGUCAGGAGGCUUCCGUCUUCUGUUCGUGACGACUGCAUUAGGUUAUUUUCGUACUCACUACUCGAUUGCCGUGCGAGCGGAUGCACGUCUUGGGUUUCGCCUGACAGGGCCGGGACUAGGUGAACUUCCUUUACCCUCUCCCCCUUUGAGAGGAGAGGGUAAAGGUACCUGCUGCUGCCGCUGCUGCUGCUGCGGGUUGUAGCAGCGACCUAAUGUCAUAGAUGUGUUUAGCUGGGAGCAUAGGCAUGGUUUUACCAGCAGGUACGAGUAGUAGUAGUAUGGAGGAGUGAUAAUAAAAACUCUAGCGCUGGGUGGUACUAGGGUUGCUAGUUCAUGAUAGGCGAUUUUCUGCAAUAGCCACCGACUUGUGUGCUCGUGCCAUGGAUUGCUACUGGCACAGCUACUGGCACAGCUAGCACAUAGUUGGUGGCCCAAGUAACCGUUAUAAGACUCGCUUCGACGACCUUGGUGGUAAUCGGUAGUAGGAGGUACGUGCCCAACAAAGCUGAGACGUGGGUCAGUGGCACGACAUGCGUACCUGUGGCUAGGCUACAGUGCUUAAUGAAAGAAAAAAAUAAAUUUAAUGAGAAGUCCACUUCAGACCGCACUAAUAGGUUUGAGGAUUGUGCAGGUGCGGCGUGCCUGUCAAAUAAGCGGCGUGCCUGUCAAACAAGCGGCGUGCCUGUCAAAUAAGCGGCGUGCCUGUCAAAUAAGCGGCGUGCCUGUCAAAACUUGUCUCCUUGGAGCAGCGGCUUCACGUGGAGAGAGAGCGCUUCCGACAUAGCUAGACAGGUAGAUAGGCAGACCUGGUAAAGCAGCUGCCUAAUUAAGCAGCACCAUGCAAUAGCCUAGGACGCAUAUGGCCCCACCUCAAGCAAGGUGUAGUAGUUGUUCAUAGUAUGGCACAUACAUCGUCUACAAAUACGCGCUAAGGCGCUUCAUCAGCACCUGCAGAGGCCUUUUCAGCGGCCGGCUAACUACACAACAAGUUCAGAUUUCAGCGGCACCAGGUCUAUAGCCUCUACUGACGCACCCACUCAUUCAGUCACUCGCUCACUCACUCGCUCGCUCACUCAUUCGCUCACUCAUUCGCCAUCAGCUUAUUACUUACUCAUCACCCAGCCGACCCAGCCAGCUACAUGCAUACAGACAUACAUGCGUGCAUGCCAGGUAUCCCCCAUAAAAAUUUAUGCAACAACCGCCAUCCUGGAGUAUGGUAGAAUGCUUAUGUAUAUCAUGUUUCCUACCCGUUUUAUACGGCACGUGCGUUCACGACGGUGCAUGCAUGCGUUGCACGGUGCAUGCGUGCAUGCAUCUACAUAGAUUAACUACGUUGUAGUUAAACGACAACGGUGGGCACACAGGUUUGCAUCGCAACAUUUGGUUUGAAAUGUAACAAAAGUAUAUCAUCAACAACAAGAACAACAACAGGCUGGCCAGGCGAAGUGGGGGCAGAUAGCCUAUUUAGGGUUCCCGGAGGUGGUGUGACGCCUCUCGCGCGGCUCUCGCUUAGUUCGGUUCGCAGUCUUCUGCGCCGCGGUGUUGCAUAGCCAGGGGCUGGGAGAGCGCCCCGGCUGGCGUGAGUGAGGGAGUGAGGUGUGCACGGAGGAACAGACGGACGUAGAGCCGCGCGCCCGCCCCUGCUCUGUGUUUCGGCCCCCGGUCAGGGGCCUCGGUGCUCGCCCUUUCUCGCGACGAGCCGCCCACAGUGUAACACCCCACCACCAACCACAAGAACAACUAAAACAACUAAAACAAUAACAACAACUAGAACAACAACAGCGCACCGACGGCAUGUUCUCUGAAAGCAUUUCGCUUUACGACAUGGAAAGAACCCUUACAGGGUGAUAUCACUAAUAAGCCACCAAAGAAUAAAAACUGGGUAAACCAAGGACGGGAAGCGACUCAUAAACAGGCACUGCGGAACGUACACAACCUCUCACACCUUUGGAAAGGAAUGCAACACCUUAACUCUCACUUUCUCUCUUUCCCUCUUUCUCUCCCUCUCUCACGCAUACACACGCACACACACACACGCAUACAUACGCACACACACACAUACACACGCACACACACACACACACAACCAGAAACGAAACAUGUGAGAAUUUGAGCAUGUUUCACAAGCAUGCGUGUAAGCAUGCCACACAAGCAGAGAGGGAGCCAUUCGCUGGCCUGGACUUCUUAAUCGGGUAAAAAUAAAAGAACCACCAGAAACCCUAAGUUCGACAAAACUACACAACACCGUGUAGUAUGUAGCAGCAAAGUCAGCAUAUAACUAGAGAAAGCUGUUCUCUCAAUGCUCAUGUGGGUCAUUAUUGACGACAACCAAAAAAAUCAAUUCUUGCCCCUUCCCCCCCUUCGUGUGCCAUCCCCUCCUUUGUCGUGCCGAACACCGCUCUCCAGGAUAGCGCCCCUUAAACCACUGCACAGCUGCCCAGGGGCAGGAAUGCGGGAAGCGCCACCAGAACCUCAUCCAACAGCCCUUGGCCGGCAGCAAGCAACACCGCUUUCUUGCCCAAGCCCGCAGCAGCACCACCACCCCUGUUACCACACGUCUCUGUCGUCCUUUCACCUCCCGUGAAUCCUUCUCCUGCUCCUGCCCCGUCACCUGCCGCCGCCUCUCCCUCCACCACCCCCCUUCCUGCCGUUCCACCUCCGCCAGCAGCAAUGGCAGAAGCAGAUGUCGGCGCGGCUGCUGUAGCAGCUGGCGAGCUGCUCGUUGCCUUGAGUUGCACCGAAACCACGGCCUGGCCCUCUGGAAGCCCUUUCAGCUGAAAAAUACCCAAAUCCACAACUUGUACCACGGACAGUGACACCAUGGCACGUGCCGUCGUCGCCAAUGCACCUGCCGCCAGCGCUGACAGGUAGCGCUCAUAUGCCAAGCCACCGCAUUCACCAUCGCUGUUACCGCAGCCGAUACUGCUGGUGGCAGCGGCGGCUGUGGGCCUAGUCGUUGUGCCCAAAGUCGUGCGGAGUGGUGACAAAGGCCCAGCAGGCCCAAGAACAGGCCCCAAAGAAGGCCCAAGAACAGGCCCCAAAGAAGGCCCAAGAACAGGCCCUGGCUCCAUCGCCGUCUGCUGGGCUACCCGGGCCACAGGCAGAGACGACCCCGACGCCGUUCGGCCACCUGGAGCGGGUGAUGGCGGUGACAGCACGGGUGCCGCCGGAGUGGGAGGCUGCUGAGUGAUUCCCGCUAGAUAUCCGGAUGAGAUGGCAGCAUGGGUGAUGCUAUUAGCAGCGGUGGUAGCUGCAGCUGCAGCAGCAGCAGCAGCAGCAGCAGCAGUAGCAGCAGUAGACACCUCUGUCUGCGGUGCAUUCAGGGAUGCGGAUAUCGGGCGUAUCGGCGGUCUUGGUGGCAGCAGGGUUACGGCUGGUGAGAGUGGUAGUGCUUCGCCUGGCUGCACUGCUGGUAGCGGUAGCGGUGAUGGUGCGGUCGCAGGGGCGGCAGCUGCGGUAGCACGUGGGGGGGUUGCAGAGGAAUGGAUUGCGAUUGCUGUGGAACCAAAGGGCUGCAAAGGGCUGAGGCUGCGGUGUGUAGACGACGAAGUGGCCACGUCUACAGACGAUGGCGACUGCAAUUGCUGAUGCGACUGUGGUUGCGGCGGUUGUAGCGGUUGUGGCUGCUGCUGCUGCAGUAGCCGCUGUUGUGGCCCGGUUGUGCUGGCGACUGUAUCACCAGUCUCCGGCUCAAAUGCUGUCGAUGUGUCCGUUGGCAAUGCAGACAUCGGCAGCGGGCCACUGACGCUACCGCCAAUGGCUGCACCUGCAGCCGCAGUAGCAACAGCUGCUCCAUUAGGAGUCGUCGCUGCAGAAAUUGAGACCCAUAAGUUGGGAUUAAUCAGCGCAGGUGCAUAAGAGCCGCUUCUCAUAAUGCAUGGUGUAUAUAUGGCUGUGCGGGAGAGGUAUAGGGAACCCCCUCUGUGUGCCCGUACGAGACGUGCCCGUACGAGACGUGCCCGUACGAGAUUAUGGUGUCUAUGGACACGUCACUGCCGAUUAUUAUGUAGGGGAAAGGCCAACAGCUUAGGCACGGAUGGUUGCACGGAUGGUUCGGCUUGUUAAACCCGAUUGCAAGAAAGCGUGGUGAGAGUUAACAAAAAAAGGAUAAUGAUAUGAGUGGAGAAUGGUAUGUGAGUGGAAAAAGAAGCCAGCACUUUCACCAUUUAUUAAACCAUUGUUUUUACCAUUUUAAGCCAUUUUCUCAAGCUCUAUCCAUUAAUUUCAUUUUCAACUCUUCCCAUCUUCGGCAACGAAUAUACUUAGGAAUCCCCUCAUGUACGGCAGUCUUAUGUACGGCAUUACAAAGCUUAAUCGAAUGCCUGCUUGCAUACCCUCGGGUUCUGGCUCCGGAGCAACCCGAGCAUCAGGUUGCAGUGUAGGCGGCGGAACCUCGCUGGCUGGCAGAGCCCGGGUUGCUUCAGAAGUCACCAUACGAGCCGGGGAUGCAGGGGACACCAUUCGGGGAGUUGUGGCGGUCUCCCCUGAGACGCUCGCGCACGCUGCUUCUGUGGAUAUGCAAUUUUUGGGGGAGUCGACGCAAGAGUGAAGAGAGGAGGAAGCCGUACAGCGUGUGUUUAACCGGCUUUUUUAGAUAUUCUGGAACAGUCAAAUCCAUUAAUUGCGUAACUACACGGCUAAGUUUCCACCCCAUUCGGUCUCUUUUUUAAUACGCCGGCUGAUCGUCUGUAACAUAUUAUUUUCGUAAAUUGUCUAUAACCCGUUACCUGGGAUGAUAGGCAGGGACCCUCCGCAUCUAUUAUAUUAGGGCACGGUCUAUUCUAGACCAUACAUGCCAAUAUUGUUUACAGACGAUGCUGGCCUGACAUGCAUACACAGCACAUAUGCUACAUCAGCACAUGCAGAUACGACGUAACUCACCCAAGCACUUACCUGCUAGUGUUGGUACGGAGUUUACGGCGGCGAGUGCUGGUGCGGUGGCGGCCAAAGUACUUGCGGCUGCAGCCGUCACAGCGGCUGCCGCGUCAGCAGCUGCCUGCCGCCACUCCCGCAGCACCUCCAAAGCCGCCGUCUUAUCCAUCAACACCUUAAGUUAGGGCGGGAGGCGGGAGGGCGGGAGGGCGGGAGGGCGGGAGGGCGGGAGGGCGGGAGGGCGGGAGGGCGGGAGGGCGGGAGGGCNNNNNNNNNNNNNNNNNNNNNNNNNNNNNNNNNNNNNNNNNNNNNNNNNNNNNNNNNNNNNACACACACACUCUCUCUCCCCCCCGCCCCCACCUGUCCUGCCUUGGCCCCCGCCAUCAGUCUUGCUGCCCGGUUGACUAUGGCGCCGAAGUAGUCUGCACGUCCCGUGGUGGCGUGAGGAACCACGGAUAAGGGGACGCCCGUGAAGAUACCCACCUUGGCACGGAAGCCCCUGGGGAGGGGGGGAGGGAGGGAGGGAGGGAUGUGCGGGUGGGUGGGAUGUGCGGGUGGGUGGGAUGUGCGGGUGGGUGGGAUGUGCGGGUGGGUGGGAUGUGCGGGUGGGUGGGAAGUGCGGGUGGGCACCUUGGCACGGAAGCCCCUGGGGAGGGGGGGAAGGAGGGAGGGAGGGAGGGAUGUGCGGGUGGGUGGGAUGUGCGGGUGGGUGGGAUGUGCGGGUGGGUGGGAAGUGCGGGUGGGCACCUUGGCACGGAAGCCCCUGGGGAGGGGGGGAAGGAGGGAGGGAGGGAGGGAUGUGCGGGUGGGUGGGAAGUGGGGUGUGGGGUGUUUGGGUGUGGGACGGUGUGAAAAGUGCAGGGAGGCGGGGGUAAGGUGGUCAGGGAGUGGGAAGGAGCGGCGGCGAGGGAGAGGAGAGGAGGGGAAGAAAGGAGAAAGGAGGAGGAAAGGCGAGGGAAUGAUGUUGGGAAUGGAGAUCCAGACCCGACUGACGUGUUGGAAAUUGAAAUGGGAGAAUGGAGGAAGGAGGCCGUAUUGGAAAUACGUGGUUCAGGGAGAAGGGCCAGGAUUAAUGGGGAUGGAGUGAGAGCUCAAUCGGAGAACUCAGCAGCCUGCAGAUAUCUGUCCCCUCCUCACCUCAUGAGCAGCCGGCCGUCGGCGCCGAGCGUAAGUCGACCCGAGCUAUGUUCAAAAAGAUCAGACGGCCAAUCCGCCUGUGGUUGCCGCCCCGAUUCACGGCAGCAGCAGCAGCAGCAGCAGCAGCCACAGCAGCAGCAAUGGGUUUCAGCUGACUAGUGGCAGGACUGUCAGGAUCAGCAGCAGUGCUGGCCCUGUUAAGGCUUUCAGUUUGCAUUAAUAGGGUUUUCGGGUUAUAGGAUUUUAGGGUUUUAGGGAUCUUUGGGGAAGGAACCAAGGAUGCCUGCAAACAGGCUUCGCAAGGGGUUAUACAGUUCGGGAUCUCUACAACUCGAUCGAGCCAAAAGAGAGAGAAGGCAAAGAAAGGCAGAAUUUAGAGGUGUAUCAGAGCAGUAGGAGGUAGCGCUGGCUGCCGUGGCUGCCCUGCAGCUGGCCAAGGGCACCGUAAAGUAAAAAAUAUUGUGCUGUAAAUGAUCACAGCUUACAAUACACACCAUGUAUGAUCUCACCUGGAGUAGCCACUCUUGCAGCGCCAGCCCCGCCUCCGCCGCCAUCCGUGGGUUGUUGCACGCCACCAUAAACGUGCAUUCGUACUCCUGGCACUCGUACACGCCGUACAUCUGCAGCAAUUCCCGUACAGCGGCGCAAAAUACAGCACCGCUGCGCUCUGCGACCUCGAGGUUGGCAUUUGCGACUGCGGAGUAGCCGGCGGGCUGUAUGAACAUGAGCGACAGCCUCGGGAAGGAGGGCGGCUGGGAGGGAGGGCACGGAAGGAGAGCCUACGGGAUACCAGCAGCAGCAGCAACCGCAGCAGCGCACAGGGAGACAUCCGGGAUUUGUAGACCUAGGUUAGAUGGUUGGUCUAACGUUUCAGAACUGAGUGAAGUGUGGUGGCAGCUGGCUUUGGUAGUCUUUCACGUGGAUUACAUGAACUCCUACACCCCUACAUUGUACGCCACGGCACAUGCACAAGAAUGCAAGUUUCAUGUAGGGCCGCUCUGAAUUCGUUUUUUUCCUUUUUUUGGGCCCACCGUUACAUGGUUGGAUAGAUGACCACACCUGGCAUGGAGCAGUUUCAUGUAGUCUUGAUGAAAGGUGGGAGGAAUUGCAGUUUAUGUAUUUAUCCAUACCACAUGUCACCGACAUGCAGAGAUAUCCGGGUGGGAGAAGCAGAAAGUGCUGGUGGGGAUGGCGCUCCCAUCCUCUUCCCCACCAGGUGGGGAUGGGAAUGGGAUGAUGAUGCGGCGAUGGGGACGGCAUCAUCUUGCUGCUGCACGAUUACCGAACUGUGAAGGUAUGCACUGUCGACAUCUCCCGUCACCACGUAGCAAUCCCUGUGUGCCCCAAACUGCACUUCCACUUUCGUCCUGCUCCACAUUCUAAGACAUUCUGCGGCCUGCAGAGCCCACCCAACCACCUCGCCCCCCUCGCCACCCUCUCAUAUUACCUGCGCUGCGCCUGGUGCAUCAAAGAACCCUGGCGCCAGCUGCGCCUGUGACUUGAGUGGCGGGUGGUAGGCGGCUCGGUGCUUGAGGUGUGCGGGAAGCAGCUGGAUCACCUGCGGACACGAGUGAGUGAGUGAGGGAGUGAAGAUGUGCGUAUGUAUGUCAGCAUAUGCCAGCAUGCGACAUUCACAUGUUGGCCUUAAUACAUGUUGGCAUGACUACAGGAGAUUGUCGUCCACCGCACACGCGGCCCUCUUCUGACGUACGCUUUUACAUACCUGAACACCGUCGUACACAUCACCGUACGCCGGGCCCAGCGCCGGCAGCUGCAAACGGUGCACACCCAUGUCGAUGACUAAGAGUGCAUGGCUGGCGAUGUUCCGUUGCCGUACACCCGCGAAGCUGCGGUCAUGGUGAAGUGGUGCCGGCUGGUGAUGGGACGGCUGCAGUGAUGACGGCGGCCGCGGCGUCGUUGAGGAUGGGGCAGACAGGUACGGUUUUGGCGGUUCCGCUCCUGCCGGCUCCGAAACCGCAGCAGCAUCUGCGGCGGGAGCGGCUGUGCGCGAAGUCCACGGGGUUGCGGGCCUCCUCUCCGCCUGCGGCGCUGCCCCAUUUCCGCUUCGAAGCUUGGCCAAGCUGCAGAUGCGAUUGUUAAAUUGAACAACAGACACCGAGCACACUACAUGUUUGUACGUUUGUACGUUUGUACGCUGGUACACACAUAUAUGUAUGUGUUAGGCAGGUUAGUUACAAGAUCACACUUCGAACCGCGCCUGUAGUAGCGAGGAAGGGCCGAUGGAAGCCAUGAUAGCCACCCGUCACAAUUCCUUUGAUGGACUUGUGCACGUGCCUGUUAGGGUGUUGGUUAGCUGGUUGGUUGGUUGGUUACUAUGUCGGUUGGUGGCGAUAAGCAGCGCAAUGGGAAAAGGCGCUCUAGCAAAGGACGUUUCCCAUAGCCCUUACGUAAGGUACGGCAAUACAUCGCUCGUACACGUACUCGGCACCAGGGAAACCAUACGCGCACGCACACCACACAUUUGUGUGUCGCGCGUGUAUCCUUCCUUACCCCAUGGCCCCGAAUAUUCCGCUCUGUCGAGUGCCGAUCAACACACGCACACACACACACACACACACACACACACACACACACACACACACACACACACGCACACACGCACACACACACACACACGCACACACACACACGCACACGCACACACACACACGCACACACACACCAAAACAUACCUCCGCAUGCUCCUCGUCUUGUCCCCAAGCAGUUUGUACGACAGCGGCGAACGGUAUACUUCCUGCUCCGAAGGCACUGCUGUUGAUGUGGGGACGUCGAUCGCUGAUCGCCGCCGUGCAUGAACUCCAACGAACUCCGAGCCGCGAAUCGAACCUGAACCGUGAAUCCUAGGACCGGAAUCCGUGUCCCUUGCCGCCGCCGGCGCAAGCACUAUUGUGGAUGUGGACGAUACCGCGGUAGGUGCCGGGGCGGUGUUGUUGUCUCCACCCGACGGCAACGGCUCCGCGCCCUCAGAUCUAGGUGGUUGUACAUCCGGCUCUGCGAGGGACGAUGCACUGAGGAGCCUUCUGGAAGAAACCGACGCGGAACGCUCCCAUGCCAUUUGCCCGGACGUCCCAUGGGUCUGCAUCAACCGGGGUCGGCGGAACAGGCUCAGGCCGCCGCUGGCGCGGCCCUCAACAAUGGAGGGCCGCCGUACAUGCGACAACCGGCGGGUGCUGACACGUUGUACGGCAGCCAAGAUGCUCACGCCGUGGCUGUCAGUGGGAUGCUCCUGGGAGGUCGUCUGGCCCGACAUGGGUACGACUGGAGAGGGCAUUGGAUCCGGAGGCCACCGGAGAAUGGAAGAUGAAUAGGGAAGUCGAAUAGGGGUUUGGGAUUCGGAUAGGUUGGGCUUCCUUCAAGUUUGAAAGGGGUGAUUUUUCCUGAAUGUUGCUGCUGCUAAUGAUGACGAUAAUCAGCAGAAUGAUGACGAGGAUAAUGGGGCGGAGGAGGAGGAGGAGGAGGAGGAGGGCAAUGGUGUGGGCCUGGAUGCUGGGUGGACGUGUGGGAACGCUAUUUGGCGCUUGGAUUUACAUCCCCUACAAACCCCUUCAACAUGGUGUCUACUUAUACCUGUCUAAUACACACUCUCCUAAAGCUGCGUUGGCCCAUGUAGGGCUGUGUUGGAGGCCGCCAGCACGUCAGCUCACGUAACUGCGUUAUACGUUUCAUGAGAGAAGAGAGAGCACCAUCCAGAAAAUAAAGUGCCCUCACAUGUCCUUAGCGUCCCAUUACCAGGAUGCGUGCCUAUCCCUGCAUGUUGGUGUGUGUGUGCGUGUGUGCAUGUGAAGGAGGGCGGUGCAGUUGCAGCCACCCAAAAGAGUCACAAGGGGAGACUCAAGGCAUGUACGAAACCCCUAUCUGAUGAUGAAACGGUCAACUAAAUGCCGUACUAUACUAUCAAGUAAAGAAAAGAAAAGAGCAAACGGGAGCCCCAGCAGGUCGAAACGGAUUAACGUGCAGCUUGGAUCCAAAUCGCAGAAGGGUUACCUUGCCGUGCCCUUGGGGUUUUCCAAAAGAGCUGGUAAACAUUCAAAGAAUCUAUGAAACACAUUCGACGUUUAAAAUCGGGCAUGCAACGCAGGGCCCUUUACACCCAGCCGCCCACAGGGCGACAACGAUGAAGUCUUAUAUCCAGCUCCUAGACAAUUCCAAAUCUGUGUCAUGCUUACCUCCUUGCGUGGCCGAUUCUCUGUGCGGCUGUACGGUGGCCGAGUCUUCCUCCCCUUUGCCGUACACGGGCUCCAACGUCGAGAGGCUCCGUGUCCCACUGACAUCUCCCGUCUCUACCCCUUCCGCCUCCUCCUCUCCUCCCUCCGGCAAAUCCUCCUGGAUUGUGGGGUGCGGUACAGGCGUACGGCAUUGGCAUAGGCCUCAAAAAAGGUUUCAAAACGACAACUAAUCCUAACCCUUUGUAAUAGCAUUAGGGCUUCGAAUACGGCGUAGGGCUAAACAUAUAAUUAUAAUUAAGUAAGUACAAUACUAUCUAUAAUUAUAUACUGUUAAAUAAUAAAUAAUUGUUCAGCGUUUGGUAACAUGUACACUUGAUGUUGGCACAGGGACACAUUUACAACAACUGAGGCGGUUGUGGGUUGAGUCGACCGCCCCCGACUGUCUGAACCACCGCCACCAGGCCGCCCUAUCUCCCCGACCCACAUUGUUUGCAAGGUCACGCGCCUCCUUGGCCGUCAUGUUUGCACAGGAGCCAGUGAUCUCCAUCGCCAUCGCCGACCGAAGCAUUAGCAUAAACCCCUCCCGGGAGUUUCGGACCGGUGAUAACAACGCAGAAGCCGCUGGCGCAGCCACCGGAGGCGGCGGCGGCGGCAACGGUGACGGUCCCGAUGCCGCGCCGCCGCCGCCGCCGCCGCCGCCGUGGGGCUCCUGCCAAAAGAGCGGCAGUGAGGCAUGGCUGCUGCUGGCGCCGCCUCCGCCACCGCGAUUGACCGUGCCGCCGCCACUGAUGCCGCCACCCAUAUCAGAGGCGGGGUAGGAGACAUGGGGCCCAUGUGUGGGAACGGCUCCGAAACCGCCCCCUGUGUGUGCUGUCACAGAUGGAUUUUAAAGGGUCGAGGAGGUUUAUUAAAAGACUCUGACGCCAUGUCCGGGCCGGCUAAUUGGGUGAGGAAAUAUUUAAAACUAAACCUUGCAUCGUGCAUUUGUAUGCAACUCGUCCUACCGUACAUGGUGUACACCGUACCUCCCUGCCGUACCUCGAGGAUGAGCCCAGGCCGCAGUACUGCCCGCUAACCCAUCAAGAUCUGCAGCGCUCUGGUUGCCGUGCGCGGAGCGCCAGUGGUUCAUGCCAGCGAAGCCGCUACCAAUGGCGCUUGCGGCGUUCACCCCCGGUUGCGCUGCCGUACGUGGCGGCCGUGGCGGAGGGCCUGCCUGGCGGCCAGCGCCACCGGGACCAGCUGCCGCUGCCGCUGAAGCUGCAGCUGCAGCAGCCCCUGGUGCUCCUGCUCCACAAGCAGUGCCACUACCGCCGCCAUUGGCAGCGGCGGCGGCGGCGGCAGCCGCGCUGAUGGCAGUUGUACCGGCGAAGCCGCCAAACAGCGGCGGCAGCGAAGCCGCCGCAGCUGUAGCCGCAGGCGGCCCCGUCACGUCCGGGGCCUCCGCCGGCGUGCUGGCGGCUGUAGCAACCAUCGCCACACCGACGCCGCUUUGCAGGUGCGCCUCCGUCGCGGCGGAGCCAGCGUCGCUGCCGCCGCGGCCCUUCAUUGAGCCCAGCAUCAGAUGUCCUGCAAGCUGCGCGACGGACAGCCAUCCGGUCAUGCCAAGGCCACCGGCGAUGCCACUACUGCCGCAGCCAGCGGUUGUACUGCCGGGCCCCGCCGGCAGCGCCAACGUCACGCUCUCAUAUGCACGACUCGCAAUGGACCCCGCGACGGAACCUAACGGACCACCCACACGACGCCCAGCCACAGAUCCCAGUUCCGUACUCCAGCCCGCCGCUGCGAGUGCUGCCGAGAGUCCGGUCAACGAACAACCGCCCGACGGCAGCAUACAGUGCUGCUGUAACGACCGUGCUUGCACUGCAGGUGGCCGUGGUGACGACAUGAACCUGCCCUCGUUGGCUGCCGGCGAAUCCUCGAUUGCGCCUGUGCCUGUGGCUGCGUCUGAAGCAGUGGACGUAACGGCGAUAGCAUCGUCUGGCGCGGAUCGAGAUCGGCUGCCGCCAGCGCUGCCGCCAGCGGCGGCGCCAGGGCCGUCGUGGUCAGCGUUGUUGCCAGCGGAGCUCCGGGAGUACGACGGCGGCGGCGGUGCCACGACGGGGGAGGUGUUCCCGGAGGCGAUGUUGGAGGACGCAAGUCGAUGAGGACUGGUGGCGGCGGGCAGGUGCGCUUGGAAGUGGGCUUGAAGAUGUUGAUAGAGGUGGUUGUGAUGACGAUGAUGAGCGGGUUGAGGUUGGGGGUAUGGUUGCAUGUGAGCAUGGGUGUGAGGGAAGGCGGCACGGAGGCUCACGUCGGGCUCACGCCUCUGCGACCCAGAGCUCGUCAGGUCGCAAGGCCAUGCCGGCGUUGCGAAAUCCAUUGCAGCACCCAUUCCGCCGCCGCCGCCGCCGGCCCCUCCUCCCGCCUCGCCGCCAGCACACAUGCCCGCGGCUCCGUCGGCGGCCCGGCCACCUCCGAGUGCGGCUGUCAGCCCUAACGCCGACGGUGGCACAUCCCCUACGCGCCUCAGCUGCUGCCGCCGCUCGCUAGUACUGUGCCGCAGAUUGCCGUACAUGGGCUCCGCUGAUGACGUCGCCGUCGUGGCUGCAAGUGUCCACGGCACUGGCGGCGGCGCAGGUGGUGCCGGCAGCCGUGGAUCCAUUGCUUGCGGCUCGCGGUGCUGGCGCGGGCUGGUGGUGUCAUGUUGUGCUGGUGUCCGUACCAUGUAGGAUGUGUGCCAACCGAAGUUGCGGGGAAGGGACUGGCCGCCGCCGCCGCUGCCACUGGCGGCGGCAGCGGCGGCAAUGGCGGCGGUUCGGGAGUACGAGCCGACGUACGAUGUCUGCAGGAGCGAUAGACGGAACGGGGCAUUGGCCAAUGCAAGGCUUCAUUGCCUUUCGCUCUACUCGGAGUAGGGUUCCCCCACACGUGGCGGGAUCAAGCAUGUGAAGCGAAGGAUUAGGAGGUGGAGGGCGUAUAAGGCUAAGGACAUGAAGGGGUCAAGAAGAUGACGGAUUAAGGGCGUCACAAGUAGUACGGAGUACGACAGCACAUGCCAGCAAUCUGCAGCACCUUGUCUCACUGGGAACAGUCGUUGUUACCAAAUUAGGCAACUGAUGCCUCAACUGCCACAUACCCCAAGAACGAUAUGUCUAUGCCACCGCAAUGGCGAUUCCAACAAUAGUAACGUCUGAAAGGAGCUGUACCGGCUUAUUGAACACCUUCCAGAGACCAGCAGAGUUCAGUUCCGCACGUGGGUGUGUGAUGUUGUAGUUCUUCCUUACCGGCAAAGUCACUGGAGGGACCGCCGCCGCCGCCGCCGCGGGCAUUAUGAACGAGGUAGACUUGCGGACCCCGCGAGGCACGGUGGUCGCGGCGGCAUGUCGCGGCGCCGAUGGCCGACCUAGUGGUACGGCAGGCUGAGGCGGGAGCGCCGCCAGCGAUGUGGCAAGUCCGCCGCCACCGUCCCAGCCGCCGCCGCCAACACCAACCCCCAUGCUGAAGUCCUCACAGUGCUUCACAGCCAUCGGAUAGGCCUUAUGGCUGCCGGCAAGUUUCUGUACGACAGGCACGAAACUGAAACUUUCGGAUCCCGCCGUUGCGGUCGCCGCAGCGGCGGCAGUGCAGCCACGUCGGGUGUGUGAGGUGGCGGUACCAGCGGCGGCUCUGCCGUCGCCGCAUCCGCCUGGGUCCCCGUACAUGCUCACUGCUGCAUCCGCGGCGCCGCCGUCAAUCCGACGUGGUGCGAGUGAGGAAGCCACGGAUUGGAAGUCAAUGGUCUGCAUUGGCGAUGUGCCCGGCGACGGCGGUGGUCCCAAGCCAGGUAGCGGACUUGCCCCUGCGCCGACUUGCCCCGCCGGUGGCUGCACGCCGGCAUCCGGCAGUGACACCGUCGCCAUCCCCGCCGACCCUGCCAGCGCCGCCGCUGCAAUAUAUCGCGAAGACGAGGAUGACGAAGUGUACGGCAGUAUGCGCGGCGCCUGGAGUAUGGUGGACAGGGAUGAUGUACGUGACAGAUGUAAGGACUGGGUACCCCCGAAGCCUCCGGGCAUCUGCAUCUGUACCUGCUUAACGCUGACGUGGCGCCCUGGGGCGCUGGAACCUGCCGUACUCAUCAGAAUGUCGAGCAAAGUCUCGUCCUCGUCAGCAUAGUUUUCAGCCGAUGCGCUGGCGGAGGCGGUGCCUGUAGAGACGACUGCGGCAGCAGCGCGAGGGGCGGCUGCAGCAGCACUGCUAAUAAAGGUUGUAGCGGCACGCGCCCCUAAGGCUGUGGUAGCCCCAGCGGCAGCGCUGCCGCUGCUGCUACAGCCUGGAUCCGUCGAAAGGAAUUGCUCCGGUUGUGAACAGCCAUUGCGCGUCACGGCCGCUGCAGUACCGAGAGCGACGGCGGCGGCAAUGGUGACGGAGGUGGCGGCGGCGGCGGUGGCGGCGGCGGUGAACCCUGCGGCUCCUUCGCCGCUGCUGGGCAGCUCACUUGGCAGCUCAACGGCGGUGUCUGUGCGCUCUUCACCGACGCCGUACGAUGCCGGCACGCAAGGUGGCGUCUCCGUGGCCUCAGCGAUGGGUCCCGGGCUGGCGUGAAGAUUAUAAGUCGCUGACGGCAACUUCCCUUGGCGGUCAAAGAGGUUAUAGCUCCCGACUCCGCCGGAGCUUCCAUGAAAGAACGCUAUGCCGUUUGAACUGCCUGCCAGCCGACGGCUUCCUGCAGGUUCGCCGCCGAUGCGUGCUUGGUGGCCUUCAGCAUUGGCGGCGCUGCCGAUGGCAGCGGUGUUCAAGAUACCGCCGCCGCCGAACAAGCCACCCUGGAGCGUCACCGCCGCCAGCUCUACAGCCAACCUGUCCGAGGAGGUGUUGGAAGCCAUGAAGGCAGCUAAUGGCGCGUGCAGCAGUGCUUCGCCACUGCCGCCGCCGCCGCCGCCGACGGCGGCGGCGGCGGCGGCAGCAGCGAACCCAGCAAGGGCCUUACUUGUGGCCUCAGGAAGUGGCGCCGGCGCCGCUGGUUCCGGUGCCGGCAGCGUUGUUGCGGCGGCGUUGGCGGCGGCGGCAGGGUCGGUGCUGUUGUGCGAGCAUUGUUCUUGGCCCAUAUCAUUAGGCAGAACGAAGCCGUUGGAGCGCUUAUCUGAGUUGGAUGGCGUAGUGUUGGUGGCGGACUCGCUGAUGAUGCCAGCGGUGAUAGUGCGCAGGAAAAGACCUUGAAGAUUGGAGCGAGGCGGAGACACCAUCUGUGAAACUAAUGCCGUUGAAGGCAUACCAACCAGAAAGCUUCCGCCCGGCGGCGCUGCCGCCGCCGCCGCCGCCGCCGCCGCCGAGACGGAUUCCACAGACGCGCGGCUACCCAGAAGUGCCGCCAAGUCUGCAGUUCGAUUCCCAACCAUGCCACAUAAUGGGAGCCGCACCAAUCAAAGCUCACAACCUCUCACAAGUUAAAACUGGCAAGUAAAGGAACUGCGAGCUUAGGAUCCUUAAGAAUAUGACAGUAAAUAUGAAGACCCUUGGGACGCUGGGGGUUGUUGAACGGUUGAUUUCCGCGCGGUUGGGCUUCCUGAGGGUUUGGCUGUCCAACGCCUGGCGGCGGUCUAUCCUCGUCCCAGAAAGUUAUAGAAGGCAGCGGGGCAUACCCCCAUCUUUUUGGCGCUUUUGGCUUGCCGUGAAUCAGCAUCUCCAGCUCGCUGCUGGUGCAGUAAACAUCCAACAUCGACUCCCAACCCCCAAAUACGACAUUAAGUCUUCCUGGCCAACAUUGCCCCCAGCUGUGUAGGGUGGUCGGGCGUCACGGCAUGUAGCCCCUUUCCUACAGGCCCCCGUCAACCCAGCAAACCGUCAGACUCGGCAAUGCACCGCGUGCUGGGGUUUCCCACCAGGUUUCCCACCACACCAGUCACACACUGUCGCACCAAAGGGCGUGAGUGGUCGGGAUGCACGUGACGUGUUGCUGCCGUACAACGACUGCAGUACUGUCGGUGUCCCAUUGUUACUUGCGUAGCCCAGGAGUGCAUGGUUUACGCCAAACCUGCGCACAACGAGUUGGGGAUGGGGGGAGGUAUGGCGGGCUGGGCUGUACGGGAUCUGCCAAACGCUGUGCGGUGAAAGCGCCUAACAUGUCUGUCUAUGUGUCUGUCUGCAUCUGUCUGUAUGCCUAUCUGUUCAUGUCAUCUGUGUGCCGGUAUGCCUGUCUGUAUGUAUGUCUAUGUGUGUCCAUAUAGCACACUACACGUACAUGCAUACAUUCAUACAUACAGCCAGUAUAGUGGAGAAUGCGACCCACCAGUCGCCUGAGCCCCUGGCGGAGCUCAGCACACCUAACGGCGGUAUACUGCCCCCACCGCCAGCCGCGUGUGCAUGUGGACCCGCAAGGGCCCCUGUCGCAGGAGAACCGAACGAUGUCAAAAACAUGGAGGAGCCGUAAUUCGAAACGCUCGGAAGGUAUCCGCCGCCGCCGCCUCCACCGCCGCCAAUUACGAUGCCGUUGACAUCUGAAACCCCGGCGCCAACAUGAAACUUAGACGGGUGGUAAUUGCGCGACGGGCCGCCGCCGCCGCCGCCAGCAGCAUGUUGAGAAAGUGACGGCUGCGGCGGCGUCUGAAUGUGCGGCAUGUAUGCAGCGCGGCUGAGGUGCGCAGGCAGAGAGCUGCCUAAGGCGGUUUGCACGAAACUACGAGGGGGCAGUGUUGGCAGAGCUGAUGCCGCGGUUGCAGCGGCGGUAGGCACUGCCAACCGUGCCCAGCUGGCCCGACGAAACAUGUGGCCGCGCCCGCCGCCGCCGCCGCCGCCGCCGCCGGCAGCGGCGGCAUCAUGCGCCGCCAAGCCGGCACCGGCGGACUGUCCUAGGGACAGUCGAGAGAGACUCUUAAGGGGCAGCUGCUGGCGGGAGCUUAUGCUGGUGUGGCGACUGAGGGAUGGUCGGACACGGCUGUUUUGGUGGUGAUGGGAAGAAGCAUCGUUGGGGACUCCACCGCCGGAUAGCAGCUGCCGGGAGCUAUCUGUCCAAUUCGUGAAGGGGUCGUCCUCUGUGGCCAAGGUGGUGGCGGCCAAGUGGGUCCCAGACACGUGGCUCGUCUUGGAGUUGGCUUUGUCUGCACAUAAAGAAGUCCGGAAGAGAGGAAACACCGCAACACGCCAUACAUAGUCAAAGUAUCCGUCAAGCAUGGUGAAAUAUCCGUCAAAUUUGAUCGAGCAUGGAGGGUUUGUGGGUGCGGGAAGCACGAGAGUGGCAAUGAUGAUGCGGAUGGCCUGGAGAGGAGGGAGAGGCGAAUGGAAAAUGCGAGUCGGGGAGUGGAAAAUGAGAAGUAGCGAGUGAAAAAUGGGGAGUGGCGAAUGGGGGGGGGGUAGAUAGGCUCGACAUGGGGAAGAGGUGUAGCGGGAGCUGAAGCGGAAUACGGUAAUGGGGAGGAAAGUAUUUUUCGGCGUGUGGAAGCAGAUGGGGAAAACGGGCAGCUGCACGGGCAAAUUGCCUCUGCCACGUCACCGCUUUGAAAAUCUCAAUUGACUUACCCACCAGCUCCUGCACCCCGGGGCUCGUACCCCGUGCGGCCCCACGCAAUGUCCCGUGAUCGACCUACCCCGCCUGCAUCGACCUACCCGCCAGCUCCUGCACCUCGGCCUCCACAACGUCCAGCUCCUCAAUCUUGUUGUGGAUGCCCUUGAACGUCAUCGGCUCCACGAGAAUCUGACCACCCGAACCAAGCUCCGCAAUGCCCGUUGCCAGCCGCAGUACGGCACCAGUGUACUGCAUACGCCGGGUCACAGGGUGCUCCCGUACAGAUGACGGUACACCUGUCGCGAUGCCCAUCCGCACUGACAAUCCCUUGAACAGCACCAACAGCGGAGCAGAGGAGGAAGCUGCGGCACCGCCGGCGCCUCCUGCCGGCGCCGCCGUCGGCGGCGCUGCCGCUACUGGCACCAGCGGCCGCGGCCUGCAUAGCGGGUGUUCCAGCAGUAGCGGUGGCCAGUCCAAUUUCAGCAGUGCCGACUGCAGUAGCAGCGCCCAACGAACCGCAUCCACGGGGUCGUGGAAGGCGACCAGGAAGGCGUCGCCCUCGGUGGUGACCUGUGAUCGUACGUUGGAGCAAUAAACAAUGCAACUCACAAAAGACAUCUCUUUGGAAACACGAACGAGCGAUUGAACGAAAGAAUGAAAGAAUGGAAGAACGAAAAAAUAAAAAAGCGAACGAACGAAUGAACGAACGAAUGAACUAAUAAAUUGAUGAACGAAUGAACUAAUGAGCUGAUGACCGAAUGAAUGAAUGAACGAAUGAACGAAAGAACGAACGAACGAGAAAAUACAGUGAAAUGCAGUGAAACGCGAGUGAAAUACGAGAAUUUACACCCGAACAGAUCACCAGUGCUUUUUUGUCUCAUUUGUCUAAUUUUUUUGUUUAAUUUGUAUAUUAGUCUCUAGUGCAGUGCACGGCCAGCUGGCCCGAUGGCUCUACUCUUCGGGAGUCUGGAGCCCACUGUAACAAACCCCCACAUACAGUGCUGAGAACGAGUUGUUGACGCAUAUAUCGUGAUUUCUGCAAAACAACCUUGGCUGAUACGGCCAUUUGCGAAGGCAGUGGGCGAAAGUAGCAACAGAGCAGGGGUUUCAGGUGGGAAGCGCAUGACUGUACAAGAGGGGGGCCCCGCCGUCUGUAAGAAACCGGGGACCCCACGGUUUUUUGUCAUUAUUUCGCCCGCUCGACUGGGCUCGACACGCCGGAGCGCGGCGUGCCUGCUGGUGGUUUCCCAGUCCUCCUCCGGAUGAAAACUUAGCCAUUUGGGGGGCUCCAGGAUCCAUUUCCGUGAGAGCGACCCAGGUGGAGCGUUUUAUUACUAUGAGCCGGGGGCAAGAACCGGGUAAGGUUGGUAGUGUAUCUGUAGUAUCCCGGAGGGCAUAUCACGGGAUCUGCAUCCGCCGAUCGGUUUUACUUUUCUGAAGUCGUGAUAAGUCGUGAUAUGACAGUCCGUUGCGCAUGUGUCGAUAGAGAAGGGAACACGCGAUUCCGCUACCACUUACCUUUCCAAGACUUGUGCAGAAAAGAUGUACGAACUUAGCAUCAAAUACAUAUACUUCCACUUGUUGAGCAUCGAUCCUUAGACCGCAUAGCAGCAAUUAGGUCGUGAUUCGUGGGGGGCUGACAGCAAUGCGGACAUGUCCCCACCGAUUACUACUUGUUUGCUGUUUUUAAUGAUGAUCAAGGACUUCAUCACCAUUUCCCACUUCACCAGAUGCCUACGUAGGUAUACCUCAUAGCCGCAACAUGUGGCAAUGGUCAAGCGAGCCAGCUUAUCAUGUAGCGCUAACGCGGUGUUCAUGACGUCGGGCUGCCACUCCCACAGCUCCGUGCUGCCCUCCACAUCUGACACACAAGGGAAUGGUGGUGGGAAGUAUUAUAUGGCAGGAUGGCUAGGAGGAGGACGAGGACAAGGAGGGCGUAUUAGUGAUGGUUGUGCAGGCGCAGGUGCAGGCGCAGGUGGCCACAAUCGACUUGGGUGCGCCGGGUAAGGAUGGUUUAAAAAAGGAGUCUGCAAGGUGAGAGAGUGGGUUAGGACGAGGUGGACAGCAUACUCGUGGAUUGUGGAUUGCGAGGAGACGGUCGUAGCGAGCAGCUCUCCAACCAGCAGCCAGCCUCCAGGAACGGGUUAACCUGCGAUGGGCGCUAGGAACCCCGCCCAGUGCCUUUACACCUUAUACGGGUAUCCCCGUCUGUCCCCAUUCCCACCAAGAUUCAUAAGGCACCACAUAAUACUGUUGUUCCCAGCGCCAUCACAAUGUGCGAUACCCUCCUUUUCUUUCUUGUCCCGGCGAUCACCCACCCAUCCUCACCCAUCCUCGCUUGUCCCGGCGAUCACCCACCCAUCCUCACCCAUCCAGCUGCUUUACUCGCUCACCCGUCGCGACUAGAGUGACGCUAUCUCCAAACAAUGCGGGAAAGGAGCCUGCAACACAUCCAAUGCAAAAAUGGGCGCAGGAUGAAGCAUAGAACCAAGGAUGAGCGGCAGGUGCUGGGGAUGGGGGCGUCAAUGGGCGCCGAGUUACGCCAUCCAUCGAGUUCCGACCCACCCACCAGCCUAGAACCAAGCCAACAGUCGCCACUCCCAUACCCACACCCACCCACAAUUGCCCUCCCACACGCACCAGGCGGUUUUGAGCGCUUUGUGGCGGACAAGGAACUCGGAAAGGCUUCCUCCCGGGUCAGCGUCGUCACCGCUGCUGCGGCUGCUGUAGCUGCAAAAGCUGCUGCCCCAGCAUCCCCCCCAGAUACGCGCGGAGAAGUAGCUCCUGCUAAUGCUGUCGCUGCAGCUGCCGUAUUGCACAUACCCGCCAUGGAAGGCCCUGACGCGACAUCCACACGCAAAGCCGCUGGCUUGAUGGUGCUGGCGGUUGCCCCGGCCCAGCGGCUGCAGCUGCUGCCACGACUGCAGAGAAUCACCAGCAGUACCACCCAGCCGCAGAGCGCGGCAAUGCCAACGGGGAUAACAACAGACAACAUUACACGAAGUGGCACCUGUCGGGGCCCCAUCGGGGUGCACGGUGGUGGCGGUGGUGGUGCCGGUGGCGGUGGCAGUGGGGACGGGUUUCAUCAUCAAGGGGAUGCCGCGGAAAUGCAUGAGGCAGCAUGCAUGAAAGGAUGGUAAAGCCGGGGAGAUGCAUAGCUCAGAGCAAGAGAGCGGCAUGAUGAUUCAGCGCAACGAGACGCAGGGUCGCAAGUCCAACCAGAAAAACUCCCACAUGACGUGUGCCGGCUGUUUUCUAAGCAGGAAUGAAGCCCCCUCCUCCAGCUACGGACCGACAGAACACUCAGCAACAACUUACAAACACACGACGAUCACACGGCGACGGUCCCGAUUUGACAGGUUACCAAGUUCCCACCAACGUCGCAGUGUCGCAAGCAUGCAUGUGGAUAUCAGAUACUGGCGCCCUCACAACAGUUCUGAUGACACCCGGUGAUAUAUUUCGACCUUCAUGUGUUUGCCGUACCUUCCCACCUUCCACCGUCGGGGCUGCUGUUCCUGCCGCUGCCGCUGGCUCAGGCGCCAAUGCCGGCGACGGCUGAGUAGGCUUAUCGACGGCGGCGGCGAGGAUGUACGCCGCCGACCUCGCCGGCAGCGGCACUUCCGCCGCCGUUUCUGCCCCUAACUCCGCUACCGAUUUCGUUCCACUACCCAGCACCCGCAAGCAGACGCAGGUUCCGAAGCCCCAGUAGCUUGGGGAAAAUAACAAUAGCGUUGUGGCGACGCCGCCUGCAUGUACAGCCGUACUCGCUACACUUUGGCGGGGUGGAGCUCCGCCGCAGCUGCCUGACGCUAACAGACCCAGAACAUUCCCGCCUGCAUCUGCGGCUGUCCUUGCUAGCUGCUGCUCUGAAGCCGCGACUGGUUUUGAAGCUGUUUCGAUUUCCUGGGUAGAAAUGGUUGCAGCGGUUGGGUAGGACGUGCUGGUGGAGUGAGUUUCGGAGCUGUCGUUACCAUUGGCCGUUGGCACCUCCCGGCGGUAUAGGAAGGAGCUGCACGCUAGCAGGCCGGUAGGCCAGGCUGUUGCUGCGAAACGAAAGGCGUGUGGUGGGUAUCGGGGCGGAUGUUGGCAUGAACCGCGGGUUGCCUAGUUUGGUAACAUGGCAUUCAGCAUGCAGAUCCCAGCGUUCAUAUUAUUCAUAUUUUCAAUCUGAACUUGUUAUAUGGAAUACAUUUGCGGAACACAAUUAAAAAAUGUUUUUGACGAUCCCGUAAUUGUAAUUGAUCCUGGAAAUCCCUUAGUUGUACUAGGGUAACCGAAUGCAUGGCCGGGAGUACGGGAGCCGCUGGACGAGCUGGACGCCGAGCGUGUGAUGGCUCAUGGCGCAUACAGCAUCGGUCGCCGCCAGCGCCGGCACAUGGGAUGGCAAUGUGGACAACGUGGAGUGCGUCUGGCGGUGGUUGUGGUUGCGGUUGCGAUGUGGAGGAUGAGGAAAGGGAGCUGGGGGCCAGCGUUUUUUUCAUUGAAGGGGGUCAAGAAUUAUAUUCCAAGACAAUGUUUGACUUCUAGGUCGCCAGGUAAUUGACGUUGCUGUUGUUAUCAGCAGUUAUGACCCUAUGCCAGCUAGACGCUUCGCAGCAACGCCAGCAGCAACAUGUGAGACACAGGGAUGAAGGUAUAUAUGCUUGUGCAAGCCCUUUUCAGUGCCGUAAAACCGCUCUUCGUACUGUAAGCCCGCUUACUGGAACCCAUUGAAAUAACUCUUAAACGCUGAAAUAACUUUCAAGCAUCGCCGUGUGCGAGGCAAAUAUGCUGUGCCGGGCUGCAGCAACCCCGCCGCCACCAGAACGUGCCUCAGACACAGUGCAUGUUAGGACGCAACACACAAAACAGGAACAGCACAUACGACGAAAAUGAACCCACUGACCGUCGCCUUCUGAUGCAGCCCAACUGUGCAGCAAAUACUCCUUCGAGUUGACAAACCCCUCCGGUAGCACGCACGGUGGCUGGUGGCCUGAUGGCGCCGCCGUUGCACUGGCGGCAGCGGCGGCGGGGGCGUUGUCAGCCGCCGGCGCCGCCAUGCUGCCAAGGCUGCUGCUGUACAACAUUCCCGUACCGCGUAUGUCCACCUGCACGUACGACGACAUGUUGUUAGACCACGAAGCCAAGCCGGGAGUUCAGGUGCGAGCCCACCGCGAUGUGGCUUCACAUCACGUGCAUGGGUUCAGGCGUGGGUCAUGAAGAGCAUAUUCAACCAGGCACGCACGGGUUGCGGGGAUUCCUCAAGACCGCCGGCCUCUCAUAUUAUUAUUAAUAUCGUGUUUUUGGCCAGGUAUGGCGUCUUGAAUAUCUCCAUACACAAUGGGGAGGUACCAACGGUGCGUUGCCACCGCAGCCAGAGUGACUGCAUGGCGCUGGCUGAUGCUACCACUGCCAGAGCCUGAUCAGGCCACAUAAUAAGCCAAGACAUGGCAGUCAUUUCGCAAGGAUGCGCCUACGGCCGCCUGGGGCCAACAGACGAAUGAAUGAAUGCCUUUCCCAUGCGCUUAUGUCUUUGGCUGAUUUUAGGUACACAACCCUUGCCUCAACAUCCUCCAUUUUCUCCCUCCUCCCGACAAGCCCCUUGCCGCGUGCACAACCACUUUGUAUCCAAAGCUGUGAGCGCCAGCACCACCCUUCCGACGCAUGCCUUUAUGCCACAGCCUUUUCCUGCGGUUGCGGUUGCUACUGCAGGUGCUACUGCUGCAGUUACUGCUGCUGCAGUUUUUUGCUGCAGUUGCUGCUGUUCCCGGAUCCUUCCUUCCUGGGCGCACCUCUCUCAAGGAUGUCCGGUGCAACAGCUCCAGCGGCAAAGAGCCUCGUAGGUCUAAGAGCAUAGGUACAACGUGGGCGAACCGAGUUCGAGCCACACCAACAACACGGCGGUGCGGAUUAGGGGCACAAGGAAAAGGAACGUCUCCAAGGGCAGGCUCUCAAGCUGUGUCUGAACUACAUGGAAGCUACGGUUACUGUGCACACGCUAUGGCACCAGAUCAAGGAGUAGGAUUGACAAUUGCAGGCCUAAAACGUUUUCAGGCCUAGAAAUCCUCCAGAGGUUGCAUGUAAUAACACUCACAUGCACACAACUGUGAGAUGACUAAUUAACACACUAUCGAUCUUUUUUUCUCUGUGUGUGUGUUACAUGGUUGGGGGUGCGUGACCCCAUACCUGUAAAACUACCCAUACGAGCAUCGAUCUGCCGUAAGGGCCCCCUACCUCCAUUUCCAGGGACAGACCGUCCUCCCAUGCCUGCUAAAUGGACAAUCUGUGCAACCAACCAGCCAAUCCAAGUGCCUAGGCACCCACCCCGGUUGUCAGCCAGCCGCAGGACCUCCAGGCUGGUCAGCUCUACAAGGCCGGGUGGGAGUGUACCACGCAGCCCAAAGCCGCCUAAUAGCAGAGCUGACGGUUUUUUUUCGGAGGCGUGGGUAGGAUGUCGUGAGAAGUUAAGGGAAGGAGCAGAGGAAAAGGAAGAGGUGUAGGGCAAAAGAUGGGAUGGAAGGGAGGAGAGGGCUCAGGAAGGAAAGGGAAGAAGAGUGUUGCCAGACGUUGUCCUGUAUGCACCGAGCUAGUUAGUGAGGCAAGGGACGUGUUCUGCAUGCUGGGUUGGUGGGGCUUUGGAACUGUGCCAAGUGGGUCUUGUGCGUGGGCGCCUGGAGGCUGUGUAUUGUAUGUGGGUUCGGGCAGGGCAUUUUUGAAGGUGCCUGCUGCUGCUACCAAUGUGAGCCAAGUGACAAGUGAACCUUCGGAAAUCAGCGCUAAUUCUGUCUAAUAAAUAAACACCAGGGGUGCAGUUUUGCGCCGGACAGGAUGAAGCAUGCCGAUGAAUUCCGGUUUUGUCCAAAAAAGGUAAAGGCUGUACCGCCAGUCUUUCAGGCAUUGCAUUGUUGUACCACUCCCACCUUCCACGGCGUGCGUUGAGUGCUCAUGUAUCCAGCGUUCGUCGCCACUUGUGUGUUUUUCUCCAUUUUGGACAACUCUAGGCUGGCGCUUUGGGCCUCCGGCUCGUAUGAAACAAGGGCCCCUCGGUUACACCACCGGAGAGGACCGCAGCUCUAGAAGGUAACUCACACACUCUCUCUCUUUCUCUUUUUCUCUCUCUCUCUCUCUCUCUCUCUCUCGCUCUCUCUCUCGCUCUCUCUCUCUCGCUCUCUCUCUCUUCUGGUUCAUUAUGUCACUAACGCAGUCCUGAAAAUGCAGCCCAGCGCCACCGAGCCCCAAAUUAUUAUUUUAUUAUGCCAGGUGGAACUUACCAGCUACUGUUCCCUCAGUUGCGCACGGCUGCUUCAGCUGCUGUCGCCAUUCCCGUGUACGCCAGUGCGGCGGUAGCGGACCGUUCCAUUCCGUUGCAGGGCCGAGCCAUUGUCACCAUCGAGGCCAUUGUCGACAAUCCGGGCACAUGUACAUGAAAAUGGAUUAAGCACAGACCGUUAUGGCACCGGUUUCGGAGCGGUGGGAGAAGAACACGAACUACGUGUUGGUUCCCCUGGUGCGGUGAGAAUCCAGAAGCGCACUAAACUGAUCCCAAAUGCCUCCACCCGUUGCUAAUGUUUUUAAAAAACAUUAUGCAAAAGGCUGCCAACCGCUGGUAGGUUGGCAAAGGGAGAACUGACCACCAAAAACCCUAAGUCGUACAAGGUUUCCGAUGCGACCGAACGGGCAAACUGGCGGCAAAUCCCUUCCACCCACUCGUUUCGUUCGGACAUCCGUCUCGUCAGUCGUCAUCACGGGUACGUGGUACGUGGGGUCAUCGGUGCAAUGUGCGCCGCAUUGCGAUAUGAACGCAUGUAAAGAUUCGGACUUAACCACGGCGUAAUUGUGCGAAAGCUCGCCUAAUCACGCAACCAGCUUGGAUAUCAUUUGGGGGCGCCUAACGCCGUACUGCCGUUGAUUAGGUUCUGCGGCCCGUGGUGCUUUUGUAACUUUGUGUCACGUCUGAUCAUUGGCCAGCGUCCUGGUUCAGACCUGAUGCCCACCUGGCUUCCGAAAGCGACGUUGGGAAGAGAGUAACAGAGGUCUAUGGAACCGUCCAUGUUCCCGCACGACAUGCAACAAACGACGCCUGCAGAAUCGCGCGAUGACCAAGUCGGCACUAGUGUAAUGCACUUGAUCCUGACAGAUAUUUUACACCGUCAAACCUUUCCAUUGACAGAAAGCGCCUAGACCCCAGCCGCUUUUGUCCGGCAAUGUCGUCCACUGGCGUCCUCCGGUUGCGUUAAAUAGUUCCAUUAGUACAUGCCUGAACAAAAUAGUACUGUUAAUUAUGAAAUUAGUGCAAAAGCGCGACGGCGCUUUAGCGAGCGACGAUGGCCGGUGAACCUCAUCGCCUGAUUGCCCUGGCUUACCUCUGUCGCUCCACGGUUAAUUUAUCAACCCGGUGACCAAGUAUAGUUGCGCGUCCAGUGCUUGCCCAUAAAAGGAGGCAUGUGAUAAGGCCGGCGACAGCAAAUCCACGGCGGGAUGCCGUUUCAGUAGAUAUUCCCAUUCAAUUUAUCUUUGUUAUGGGCUGGCAACCGUGAGACGUCUGGCCCCAAGACAUGCUGUUAAGGAAUGGGAAAAAGUUAUGUACGCAGGUUACCGGUCUACUGCCUGUUUAACUAGGACAGCUGUAUGCGUUGCCUAUAACUUGACGUAGGCUUGUAAAUGCUACCCAAAUUCCUGAGAAUGGCAGGGGUGUUUUGUUCGCCAUGUACAGUACCUGCACGAUAAUGUAACGAGCUGUGCGCAAGCUAUUAGCCGCACAGCGGCCGAGCACUUCAAUCGUAAUACUAUAAUGCAUUUCAAAAUAUAUGGCAUGAAAUCUUUACCAUUGAAAAAUUUAGGUAUCAUAGAGAGAGGAUACAACUUUGACCAUACGUAUCUCACCGCUACGUAACCAUGUGAUGAAUUCUUGGCCGCAGAAUUCAUGAAUCUGUAAGCAAGUAUGCUGUGACGUCUGUAUACCUGUAAAAACUCCCUGCAUGCAUGACGUUUAGUCAUGCAAUCUGUUGAUAGACGUCGCGACCGCUUUGGAACAACGUUUGUUCAAUUUAGGUUGGAAUGGUUUCGUUCGUUACAUUGAAGCUGUGACAGUUUGCCGCACGUUGCGGCGUUCCGUGCGGCUCGUACAUUUCCCGUAUCGUCCCGUGUGCCUUGCAUCGUGCCAGGCAUUCGCGUCAUGCGUCGCAGGUGCCAUCGCGCACCAAGCAAUCCUUCAUAUUAAUAUUUCCAGCAGGCAUAUGGAUUUCCUUCCCUGUGCCCGUGCGGUGCGGGGCCUGAGGGACCUUGGCAGCUGUCAUUGCAGGACCGACGGGGAUCUGUAGGCGGGAAAAGGCCACAGUCUUUUCGUACACACGACAAUAUGUUCUGACCCCUUUCCCCCGUUGCAGGACAAACAGCUGGUCGAACGUAUAAUAAUAACUUAACAGCUGGAAUAACGUACAAUGGCGAUGUCGAAUGAGCAUGUGCGGUGUCUCGCCAGAUCGGCGGGAAAUGCAAACCGUUGCGAGUAAAUAAACCUUUUCCUUCUGCGUAAUGCUAUUGGAUGCGCUGCUGAUUCCUUCCCUGUGUCAUGCGUUGGUCAUCUUCCGCUUGAGGCUUAACCGUGGUUCCGACAGCCGAUCACGCGGCCGUUUUCAUACAGCAGAUAACAGGUUUACCCGCCGGGGAAACGUACUCUGGCGGAUGCAUACCACCGCACCCCUGCUUUGUUAGCCACAGGAAAUCUCGAGGCGUACCGGGGUGAAUUCCAGCCCCUUCUAUGACCUUCCCUGACAAUGCUAUGAACACAAGGACAUGCUGUUCGCUGUCAUGCUAGAGGUUUCGGGGCCUUUGUGGCCUCUGGACAGGUCCGCAGGGAAUGUCCGACACUCGGACCUGAUCUUGAUAAUGCUGCUACGGAUCGACGAGCGAUCAUCAUGGCUGCAAACCGCACGCUACAACAUGCAAAACCGCAAUCCAAAAUAAAAAUAAUAACAAUAAUAAUAUAAUAAUAAUAGUAUAAUUGUAAUAGUAUUAUAAUAAUAAAAUAAUAAUUAUAAAUAUAAUAAUAGUAUUAUGAUACAAUACAAAUAUAUAAUAAACUAAUAAUAGUAAUACGCCUUCAGCUCAAACUAAGGUGUGCAUUAAAAAGGGCGCCGUUGGAGGAUGAUGAUAGGUUUCCCUGCUGGCCUUUAUUUGCCCCUCCCCCACCACCGUGACUGCGUAAGGGCUAGACAUGUUCGCCAAGUAGAAGGAAUGCCAGCCACUCGCACCGCGCUAGCUGAUCCAAGGAACCCUCUAGGUGAUCACGGCUUGCAGUGUAUCGGUUCGCAAAGAGGGGCUGCAGCGCGGUUGGUGGCUGGUAAAUGCACAGUUGAGUGGUGUAACGCCAGUACGUUCCCUACCUCUGCCUAUUACAUACAGGGUUGUCGCCUCUAGGUGAUCAGAAAACUUACUGACGGAGUGACCUGGGAUAGGUCUGAUGGCGUGGUGGGUUGAGUGGCCGAUCCAUGCACCACCACCAUUCAACAUCCAACAUCACCACCAACUGUGAAGACCAGCAAAGCGCCCGACCCCCGAUGGGUCCUAUUACUGUGGUUACCAUCCACUGGUAUAUGAGUGUCGGUCAUCUCCAGCACACCCCCGUGAGCGGUACUCUCUCGCUCCGGGCCUUCCCGUGCUUCAUCCCGGUCACCCAUUCUCUGGGCAACAACCAGUGGAUGUCGAUCCGGCGACCUCCCAGCAGCGCAAUGCGCCAUUCGGGGCUCAUAACCUGUUAAGACCAGCAGAGCGCCGGGCCCCGUUACCAUCCACUCAUAUAUGACUGUCGGUCAUUUCCAAAAACAACAACGCUACCAACAACAUUGCCAGCACCACGACAACCACCACCACCGCAACCACAUCCUCCUCGUCCCCAGGCCCUUCCGACCCCCCUCCCCGCCUCCACAACUACAACUACCACAACUACCACAGCUACAACUACCACAACUACCACAGCUAUAACUACCACAAUUACCAUCAUGACUUCACCAAAACCGUCGUCCUCUCCAUCUUUCACCUCUUCCUCCAUGGCCACCGUUACCACAAGAUGUGAUGCGACCGGACCAUCCUUACUUCUGCUCUCUCUUCUGCGCCAGCCUCCUUCCUCCCCCGAUACCACAAUUAGCAUGUGCAUGACAACCAUGACAACUACCUCCACCACAACCACAACCACCUCCACCACAACACCUCUUACCACAACCACCUCCACCCUGACGACCUUCAACCUCCCCAAGCCGGCCCUCGCCAGUACACGCACCAGGAGAAGAACAGGACAAUAAUUGUGACCUGCCGCCGGAGCGACGGGAUGGCAACACGCAACCCGACCUCCCAGUUUAUUUUACUUUAAUGUGCCGUGCACUUCAUAGCUUCGCCUCCAAAGGCGACAGAAAAUACCUAAACAUUAACUAGUUGCUUGUGCGAAUGACAUCUUAGAAUUUGUGUUUCUUUCCUGUCUAUCUAGGGCUUCCUUCAAUAGUUCGCCGCCGUACAAACUGCCAGCAAGUAGCUACCUGCAAUGAAUAACCACAACUACCAGCAAACACAACAACACAUACCCCCGCACCUACUUUGCGCCAUGCAACUUUUCCGCGGUCCGAAAAGGCUAAGUAGUGAUGUGUUCGGCAAAUAAAUGAGUCAGCACGCAGGAAAUAACAAUUUCAGGCGCACACACACGCAAUGGGACGUAUAGAGGCUCUUUAAGACUGUGGUUCAGACAGAGCACGGCCAGCUCAGUCAAUGUGGCCGCAAAAGUUUCAUAAAAAUCAUACUCCCCAUAAGAUUGCGCCUAAAUUUAGUCGGCCCUGUCCAUGAAUGAAACGCCUCCUUAUUUCCUAACUUUAACGCAACAUAUACAAAGACCUACCUGCUGCCACACUACACAAUCACGACCCACACACACGCCCGCACGCCAUAACUGCAUUCGUGGCCGAAUCUACAACCGUCACCACACGCAGCUACAGAAGUCGGAAGGCUCUAUUGAAUCCAUGUCCACCAUUGCAAAGUGAUAUAAAUCUAUUUUUACUUGCUAGCUGCUUUAGACGACAAGGUUCGCUGACCAGGGCUCGAGCCAGAGCGCUUUCCAGCGGGACGCUCAGAACUGCUGCUGGCUAUCUGUGCACCGAAUAACCCAUCGCCACCAUUCAUGAAAAGCGUGCUGACAACCUCAUACACCCGGUCAACCAAGUGCAGAGGCCCGCUGCAUUUGAUCGUCGAGCGACCCUUCUGCCCCCUGCAGCAUCCCUAUAUAUGCAUCUACCAAAAGCGAACCACCAACCAACCAACCAACCAACCUACCAACCUACCAACCAACCUGAAAUUAUGCAAGACAACAAAUUAGCAAGCUGCGUAACCAGAAACAAAGGAGGCAACCAAACUCGGUGCCGUAUUUUCUCUCGGUUACGUAUGUACGUAAAAAUACAUAUAUAUGAGCAGGAUACAGGAUAUUUUGACCUGUGUGCUUAAUGCAUCAUCACCAUCACCAACAUCGCCAGCACCAUUAUUGUCAAUAUUAUCAUUAUCAUCAUCAAUAUGCAUGUUUAUAUCAACCUGCAACAAGUGCGGAAUACCAUCAGCGUCAUGCACUCCAGCAAUGGCAACGAAUGAGCGAGGCGUGAAGCAACAAAUAAACACAGAUAUACAGACGGCUUGAUGUAGGUAGCCAUCUAUCUUCCUCUCGUGUGUGGAUACAUCUCUCUGCCCCUAUAAGAAGGGCCCCUUGUACACGCUAUGUGCCUAAGCGUGCGUGUUUGCGCCUCUGUGUGUGUGCGUGCGUGCGUGUGUUUGUGUGUAUGUGUGUGUGUUUCUUGAAUAAUCUGAGCCGCAAUGUGUGUGUGCGUGUGCGCGCAUGUGUGUGUUGGUGCGUGUGUGAUGUGUGUGUAUGUGUAUCUCCCGACACACGUCACGUCACCCCACGUCCCGACCCUUCAGCAGGUGGGACGCCAUCAACCAUCUACAGCAGUCCCACACAAACACACCACCAGGGAGGCCUCACUACACGCAGGCCUUCUCCCUACCCUGCACAUCACUUCAACACACGACACAGCAGCAGCAACACGCCCCCAGGAGGCCGCCAAGCUCCGGAGCCUGCUGCUUGCGGUCCAGGGCUGCCAACACACCGCGAGCCUCCAUGGCCCAAAGCUCCUGGGCCACUGUCCCCAUAUCAGGUCGAUGCUCUGGAUUCUGGGCCCAGCAUUGCCGAAUGACGCGACGCAGCGGCGAUGGCAGGUCCUCGUGGAUAGCAGGGCGGAAGCCUUGAGAUACCUGAUUUGCGAUACGGGUUUUAAAGGGUUUUGGGUGUGUGCGCAUGAGAGCAAGAUCCUUGGGUGGGCGGGAAUAAGAGUACUAGGGUUCGGGAUUUUGAGGGGAAGUUCGCGAAAGAUUGGAAAUAGCAGACGCACACGCAACAAGUAAGAAACACACAGAUAGUAGCAGCAGCACACCUUGCAGCAGCACACCUCGCAAUCUUGCAACCUUUUCAAACAAGCACAAAGGCAAGCACAUGUACCUGUCGGGCGUAUCUCUCCAUCUGCGAGGUGGGUUCCAGGGAGCACGCGGUGAUGUAGCGAUGGAACACCUCGUACAGAAGCAUCGCGAAAGAGAAGCAGUCGCACUGUACACGCAAAUAGGAGACAAGAUGGCAGGAACGGAAACGUUGAUAAGGGAGGAGCGAAAAGGAGGAGUCAAUGUUAGGCCAGAAGCGGGAGAAAAUCCAGAAAUGCAGCGAAAGUACCUAGAAGUACCGGGCGUUCAUCCAGGGCGGGUCAGGGGGUGUCUACGAGGGGGGAUGUGUACCGGUUCACAAGGGGGAGUUCUCGCAUGCAUGGCGUGUGGAGAGGGACCCGGGUUGGCGGGAGAAAGAAUUACAUCUACGGCUUAUUGGAUGGGAUAAAAAAAGAUAACAAUCUUGACGACGUGGGUGACGGCGGGAGCUUGCGCUUGGCAUCUGCCACGCAGGGUCCUCGUGUGGGCCGAAUGGGCCUGGGUAUGGUAAGCUUUUACCAAACCCAGGCGGCAACAGCGACGCGUCCUCUCUCGCGUCCUCCUCCAUAAUGUUCCUUCGCCCUUCUCCGUACAUCUCCGUACAACGUACGAAACAACUCCAAAACGCGUACCUUUUCAUCAUACUUUUGGCGCUGGUAAACCUCAGGUGCCAUGUACAUGUAAGUGCCUAGGCGUUCUCGCUUGUGGGACUCUAGAAGUUUGGAAAGUCGUGUCGCGUCAUCGGCUUGACGGAGAUGUGGCGGCGCCUGUGUGGCAGCCGUGACAGCUUCUCGUACGGCAACAGAAGCCCUGUACGACAGCGUCUCGGUGCAUGGAAGGGAGCCUCUUAGUCGGGAUUGCGAGAUGGUCAUUCCAAUAAUGUCCUUGUUUGUCGAUGAGGUGUCGUUGAGGUGUACGACAUGCUGCAUGCGGGUGUCCUAUUGAAGACACGUUUUAUACAAGACAAGACAACAAGCAACAGAUGGCGCCCUUCGCCAGGGCAACCGCAACCGCUGGCAACCCUCUCCCUCGUGUGUGCCCUCCACCAACCACACGAGCUCACUGAGUUCGAAUUCGCCGAUUGCUCGACUGAGGCCGUAGCUCUAAGUAAUCUAUUUCCAGGUCCGAGGCGCCAAGCCUGUUCGCACCGUACGACAUCGUACGACAGACAUGCGGGUAAGGGGAAAGGAAGGUAAUCAGGGGCAGGGUUUAGUUCAUCGCCGGAAGAUGUUCCAUUCUUGAACAGAACAAUGCACGAGUUUUUGUAAUAGCCGCCGCCGUCGUCGUCGUCGUCGUAGUAGUAGUAGGAGUUAACCGCAGCGAUCCCUUUCUACGAACACACAACCACAUACACACAUACACACACACAACCACACACGCGCGCGCGUACAUUGCCCCACUGAAUCCGCAAAUCCCCUUUGGUUGGCUCCUGCGGCCGCCAGCGCUAGCGCCCUUGGUGCCCCCAUGACCAUAACCGCCACAACCGCCAUAACCGCCUGUACCACAAUUACAGCCGGCAUCACCGGCAUUACAACCUCUAUCAGGGGAAUCACUGGGGUUGUGCGCGUCACAAUUCAGCUGCCGACUAUCCUUUGGCUGCGCCUCACGCUGUUUGCCAGGGGGCCUCCAAGGAACCGAAAAAAUAUCUCUUGCGGUCCAAAAUAAUGAAUGGACUCUCGCUCACCCGUCAUGGACUCCCAUACAGUUCUAAAAUUACAAACCCAGCUAUGGCCCCAGUGCCGAAAACUCGCGUGGGAAAGGAACGCGGGGCUAAUAGCCCCGAAGCCCCGAGGGACGAACACGAGAUGGACCACGUACCCACUGACGCGCCGGUGGUGAGACAACAGUGCAGCCAGGCCAAGGUCACUCAGCUUGGCAAUACAUCCUUCGUACGACCCACAUGCUGAAUCUGCAGUACGGCAAGCAUGGCGAGAUUCGUUCCAGAUGUGAGGGGGAUUAAACGGUUUGGACGGGUGAGAUGUGAUUUUGGGAGUAACGAGUGAUGAUUUUUUGUUUUAGUUUUUGGUCGGGUGGCGCUAUGUUCUGUGCUGUACCGUGGUGCGUCAUUUUAUAUGCCGUGCCGUACUACGCCGCACUAUGCUGUGUGACCUGCCGUGCAUUGCCACGUCCGCGUGCUCUUCAUAAUACUGGGGUCCAUGGGUUGCCUCCUCUCUGUCAAAUUGUGUUUUGAUGUUUCAUCUGCCAGGGUGUGCAGACGGUGAGCCGGAAGACGAGCACGUGCAACCACUCUUGCAUGACACCAGAUACGAUCACCGCCCCGGCGCGAGGAUGGGGCGGACAGAGACCAGUCGAUGUACCCCAUCAUCAUCCUACGCUGUGAAGUGCGCAUUGGUGAAGGUGAGAAGAGGGAAGGGGAAAGCGGGAAAAGGAGCCAAGGGGCCGAAGGGAAAACAGGGGAGGCAGGACGCAACGGCCGCAUCUCCUUCCGCUAGCAUCGUUCUCGUCUCUACAUUCUGCCGGACCCCCCCAACCUCCUAUCCCACUCCUCGGAGAGUUUCUCCUCCCCACUCUCUCCUUUCCCUCGCCCUCGCCCUCGCUUUCGCUUCACAUCAUUGCAGGUCCGGAAAAGCAGGUGCGUACAUGACACUGGAAACACGACACACCUGUACCCGUCAUGCUCCCAUGUGCCCAUCAUGUGCUCAUCCUCCCGUCGCCAUGCUAAAAUGAUAUGUCAACAUUACACACUUUCAGGUCGCGACUCUUCAUCGUGAGGUUUGAACCUGAGCACGUGAAACCCCCAAAAAGGCAGAAAUGCUGAAAAACUCAGCCCUCUGCCUGCCCUCUGCCUGCCCUCUGCCUGCCCUCUGCCUGCCCUCUGCCUGCCCUCUGCCUGCCCUGCCCUGCCCUGCCCUGCCCUGCCCUGCCCUGCCCUGCCCUGCCCUGCCCUGCCCUGCCCUGCCCUGCCCUGCCCUGCCCUGCCCUGCCCUGCCCUGCCCUGCCCUGCCCUGCCCUGCCCUGCCCUGCCCUGCCAUCUGCCUGCCCUGACUUGCCCUGCCAUCUGCCUGCCCUGACUUGCCCUGCCAUCUGCCUGCCCUGACUUGCCCUGCCAUCUGCCUGCCCUGACCUGCGACUGGUUGCAGAAGCACAUUAUCCAGUUUGAUGUCCCGAUGUAGGACCUUGGGACGACACGUAUGCAUGUACGACAACGCGCCCGCUACUUGCGCCAUCCAGCGCAGUGCCGUAGCGUUGCUGUACAGCUGCUUCUGAGGCCGCAACAUCUGCUCGUACACUGCAGACUGCGCGACAAGAGGGCGGAAAGGAAAGGGCACUGAUAUGCACCGAGAAGGUGAAUUUCCGGAAAUGAAUGAAGAAUGGAAGCUGGAACAAACUGGAGAAAAAAUUGAGAAACGAAGUCAUGCACGAUGGAAAUUGAAAUGUGAGAAAGGGAGAUUGCAUUGCAGGAGGGAGGGUUGAAGAAGGCACACACGUACUUCCCGUAGUAUAAAACACAAUCGGAGCUCAAGCCACGCACGUUCCCAAGGUUCGGUACAUAAUGUGUGGGAUAGCAUGAUAGGGUGUUUAUACGGCAUCGCGUCCGUGCAUUGACCCAAGACAAAAAUUAACAAACCUUGAGCGUGCCUCCCCUCAUGAACUCCUCCACGAUGAACAGCCCACGUAGUUGUAGUGGCGGCAGCGCUGGCGCUAAUGGCCGCGUGUCAUCGUCAUCGUUGCCGUACAACUUGUCACAGCCGCCGCCGGCACUGCGACGGCCACCGCCGCCAUAGCCGCCCGCCAGCGGGCGCUUCGAGGAAUGUCGCAUGUCGAGCUUCCGCGGCGUCGGACCGACGCUAUGCCUUCUGUGCCGUACUGGCGGCUGGCCACAGGAGCGGCGGCUAAGCUCUAAGAGCUGAUCAGCACCCAGUGGCGCUUGCGCCGCUGCCGCCGACUUGACGCUGCCGCCGCCGCCGCUGCCGCCGCCGCCACCAGCGCUGUUCAAGGAUGAGUCAUCCAGGACGAUCCCCAAGCCAAUGUACUUGACAAUGUGCCUACGAGGUGCCGUACGGUACGGCAGGCGGCGGGCGGCCUUCCUCCCUCGCUUUGUAUUCAUACGCUUACAUUUCAGUACACCUUUGCUUUUUUCAACAGAGCUGAGGCACCCCCACGCAUUAUGUCAGCCUCAGAUCAGUUCGGGUUUGGUCGAAUCUGAAAUUCAUCUUCAAAUCUAAGAUCGACGGCUUCAUGAACCUUUAAUUAUGAUAAAACCUAGUACCCGCUGUUGGCCCCUCUCCGGUCUCCAAUUUAUCGGGACCCUUUCCCGACCCCUUCACCGCUCACGGGUGGUUGAGUUUCCGCAGCAACUGCGCCUCCUGGAUGAAAAGGUGCAGGUCCUGUUGGUCUCGACUGCUCAUCAGCAUCUCAGGCUUGAUGCGCUUGACCGCCACCUGCACGCACACACACAUACACACACAUACAUACACACACAUACACACACACCACAACCCUUUACACGCUUACAAAGAUCUAUAGCGGAUCUCCCACAGAUCGCCUACACGGAUCAAUGGAUCUAAUGGAUCUAAUCUGCGGAUUUCCUGUUUGUCUCUAUGCGCAUGGGCGCCAGAACCGGGGUGACGUCUCUAGAAACGGGAUGGUCCCAGAACAGAAUAGCAAGUAGUGUACAAAAGAUGAUGACGGAAAUAAUAUAUAACCCGAUCGCGAUGCUAUCUAUCUAUCUAUCUAUCUAUCUAUCUAUCUAUCUAUCUAUGAUCCCCUAUAUAUACAUAUAUAUGGGGACGGGACGGAAUUGUCAGGGAACGGCUGAACAGAUGGAAGACACAGACAGGUUUUUUUGAGCAUAGCUUGACUACAGUAUCGUAGUUCCCGAUUCUGCCCACUCGUCGAUACACUGGCAUCAGGCAUCCUUCGAUCCUCUUUUUUCCUCCUUCCCCUUCGUCCCCAAGUGGCCGGUGUCUCUUGCCUACGAGCUCCCCCUUCUCCUCUCUCUGUCCCCCGCCCUUCCCCAGAACUCCUCACAACCCUCCUCCCCUCCUCCCCUUCACCACACCGGCUCUCUCACCAAAAAAGGCUUCCCCCCAUCAGUCGGAGUGUACAAGCAUUUGUCCACGCGCGCGAAGGAACCGGCGCCGAUUUCCCCAACGACCUGCAGGUGGAUAUGCCCCGUGAAAUGAGAAAUACGACAACCUGAGGUUGACUAGCGUACGGAGGGGAUUAUCAGGAUAAUGCCCGUACACCAGUAAACCACACAGUCACACACCACUCCCUCUUCUUAAGCACAAGAAUGUACGUCAACAAAUAAAGCCGUACAUUCGGGCACGAGCAUGCCCCCUGCACGUACCCACCUGCAGCUGAUCUUCUUGCACUAAGUUCUCGUCGUGCUGGUUUCGGAGUGUACGGAAGCUGCGGGCAAUGCUGGCGGUCACUCCUGCGGUCCUGGCAGCCCGUUGCCACCGCGCCAGUGGCGCCUUCACGACGGCGCCCUCAGAACCGCCGUACCCGCCGCCACCGUCGCCGCCGCCAUCGCGGCCGUCGCCGUUGCUGCCGCCAUUUCCUGCCGACGGCGCGACUCCCUUUCCACAGAGAUCGCACGCCGACAAGGGCCGUACUGCAGACUUUUUGCAGGAGUGCCUCCCAGAGAUCGUCCUAGAGGGCAAUGAAGCCGCGUUCGAGCCGCAAUCAGCUGCAGCUGCUGUUAGGAUAGCGGAGGCAGCGGUGGUGCAGCCGCCACCGCCGCCGCCACCGCCGCCGUCGCCGUCCCCGCCGUGUCCAUGGGCCCACGGGCCUAUGAGCGGCAUACCGCCGCUGAUGGUAGCGUCGAGCGGAAAUGCGAGUACGGAAGGUCGGCUGCUGCUGCUGUUGCGUUCCUUGCAGGCCGUUGAACACGAACCCACGGAUCCCAUUCGCCCACCUUGUCCACUUCCCAACGCCCCGGGACACCAGCGUCGACUGGUGCCGCCAAUCCCAAUCCCGCCAUCGCCGCCGUUUGACCUCAGCCAACCUCCGGUGAACGACGUCAGCUCCGGAUCACCGGCAGCGUCUAAAACACCGAUGACGUCACCGUCGUCACCGCCGCUACCAGCGGCGGCGGCGGCGGCGGCGGCGCCGCCGCCGCUGCUAUUGCCCGUCGCCGUUGCCAGCCCAGCACCGGUGGCGGAGUCAAGUUCCAAGGGAAGCAGAGCAGACGUGUUGAAGGGGCGGAGCUGUGCCAAUGACACAUUACUCGCAUCUGGUAGGUUGUCCCCUUGUUGAGCUGCAGCCAACUCCUUGACAUGAGCAGUAGCCAUAGCAGUAGCCAUGGCAGAAGCCAUAGCAGCAGUAAGGGUAGUUCCAACGGCUACAGCCCCCGUAGUAUUGGCGUCAUCACGGCUGGCUGUAGUCAGCAACGGUUUGUGAUUAGGAUAGGGCAGCGGCGACGGCACAUGACCGGGAGCGCACGGUGGCCCCUCCAUUGCAUCGGCCUUGGAAAAGGCGUGCGUCCAUAUCAGCCACGAUGCGCCCCCAGCAAGGGAACAAGGAGAUUCCAAUUCCGGCGGCAGCGGCGGCGGCGGCGGCGGCACAGCUGCCGCUGCAGCGGCCGCGUUGCUACCCCUACCGAAGCUCCGGUACGACGCCAGCGCUGCAGCGCUGCUAGGUAAUGGCAUACCCCUGGGCUGGUUGGCGGUGUCCGGGGUGUUGGUACGGCCGGCGGAUGGGCCAACCCACAACGACGCCGAUCCAUCUUCAUCGUCACUUUGCAGGCAUGGCGCCGCUGCUGGCACCAUGCCGCUGAUCUGUUGACGCGAUGCGGUGGUGGGUGCAACGUGCAAGAACAUGGGGCCUUGCUGCUGUCGGCCGCCGCCGCCGCCGCCGCCGCCGCCGCCACAACCGCUGGGUUCGGGGGUCCCCGGCGGCGAGGACCUCGCCAACAGACCGGGAAGCGUCCCGGGCCCAAAGAACACCAUCUCGCCCUCCCCGGCGCCGUCGUCAUCGCCGUCGCCGCCGCCGUGGCUGCGGCGGCCGUCUUGCACUGCAGCACGCAUAAGUAGCGGCGGCAGCAGCACCUGGGAGUUAUUCCUAAUCCUGGAGGCGGCCAGGGGCGUGUCGAGGCUGCAGUCAUCCGUCGGCGCCCUUGCAGGUGUUGGUGAUGUAGCUAUCGCCGUCGCCGCCGCUGUCGCCGCCAAUGUCGUCGCCGUCGCCAUCGCCACGGAGGUGGACAAAUGCGGCAGCAGUGGUUGCGCUGGUGGUGAUGGCGGCUGUGUUGCAAGUGGUAGGCAGGAAGGAGGGGACGCUAUGGAUGAGGCACGCUGUGAUGUGCACUCGGCCAUCUGCAGUCCCAUGGGUCGGUCGGCGGAAGGAGGACUAAUACUCGCCAUCUCCCGAGGCGACACAGCACCGUUAGACCUCUUCCUAGCUGAGCUGGUGCUCGGUGGGGAGCUGCCCGCCUGAAGACAAAGAAUGGGAUGGAGGGGGAGGCCCAUCGCCGGAAAGUCAGUGCAAGCUAGACAUAAUCGCAUUCCCAUUGAUGAAACAAUAACCAAGCUUUAACAGGCAAGCCAACGCUUCGCACAAAAUGGAGCAGCAACUCGCCACUCGUCAAGCCGAUGCGAGGCAUUAGACAUUAGGCCCUAGACAACCCGAGCAGCGGGUAGCUAGUCUAUUAGCUUAGGAGCAUCACGCAAUAUUUGUAAGUGAUUCCCACUAAAAGUUCCUUUGAGUCCUGUAGGAACUGCUUUAGUCCGUGCCUCGAAACCCUUGGCGCUUACUUCCAUCAUGUAUGGGUCCCAACUGCGUGACACAGCGCCGAUGGGCUCUUAAAGACCGGUUUCACUAGGUAUCAUGUAAACCAAGCUUAAUGCAGCCUGCAUAGUCAUAACACAGCUGGUUAAACUACGCCAGUUGCGCUUUCCGUGCAUGACACUCACAUCAUGGCUUGCGGCACAUAAGGAACAUCUCAGACAUUCGUCAAGCUCACCUUCAUCUCCCAAGAACGCAAAAGGUUCCCAAGCAAUAAUUCAGGUUUGCGCGCUUUGCCGGACGUACUUCCAGCAAGUUCAGCGAGGAUAGAACCGACAAGCCAUUGCUGUCGUAACCUGGACGAGAAGGACUUAGGAGAGUGGUGCUGCUUGAUAAGUUGCUUCCAAUAAGUUGCGUCUGUCGUCUACGACGAACUCCUUUGUAAGCGUUCUGGCUGGAGAAAAUGUCAAAAUGUUAGCCAUGGGAUACUUUAUGAUGUUAUUAAUUAUGUUUUCGCAAACUCUGGCGUCAUUGGAAGUGCUACAAGGAAUGCCUAGCUGAAUACCAGUGCGCGUGCUACUUCAAGUUUCAUUAAACAAAAUUGCAGUAUUGUAACUUUUAAUAUUUAAGCCUUUAACCUUUAAUGAAUAAGCCUUGUUAUCCUGUGUCCUUACCUCAUCUCCCUUACCUGCAAUUACCCCGGUACGUCCGUCACGGUACGGGAGGGCACCGAUAACAUUAACGGCACAGCUUGCAAGGGCAUGCGCAAGUCUUCCAUGUUAUGCACCACAGUAGUUGAAGUGUUCGCUGACAUACCACAGGGCUCCUUGCAUGACUACAAGCGUGGGUCAUUACACGCUGCAUGUAUCCUCAUCUAAGUUGUGAGCAGUCACUAGCCACGCUCCAAGCCUUGCAAUCAAAAGUUUCAGGCAUGGAUGCAUUAAGCCCCAGCGCCAAAAAAAGAACAUGUAUGUUUAUGUCAAUGCUACGCCGACCUUGACCUCGCGCGCGGACUUUGGCGGUACGUGCGCAACAAUGCUUUAAGGGGUUUUGUCUACAACAGCAGCCAGCAGCUCGGGAUCUGCUAAAGCGCGUUUCAUACCAGCUCCAUGUAAGUUAACCAAAUUUAAAAAAUACUUUGUCAAUGACGCCCACUAACUAAUUUUUUCCACUAACCUUCCACUGGGACAGCUCACUCUGUGCUCCUUAGCACCUUACUUAGCAUAACCUGUCGUGUCGCAAUGAGUGCAUGUGCACAGAAAGUUCGGUCUCUUGGAGUCGGAGGGCUACUACGUGGAAAGUAAGCAAACCGCCCAGCAGCAUGCAAUGCUCGUCUAUCUGUCUGUCUGUCUGUCUGUCGUCACUUAUCUAUCCAUAUCUCGGACUUCCAUUAUUCACGGAAGGUAUCGGAACUCGAAAGCGGGCUCCACCAUUUGAUUGCGGCGGUUGCGGCGGUUGCUUAUUUAUUUUAUUGGAUUCGAAAGGCUGUUGGAUAGAUAUACAUACAUGCAUACAUGCACGCAGCAAUCGGCUGAUAAAUAUGCUGGCUGGGUUCCCUGUAACCCUCUUGCCACACCGCGUCCUGAUUGUCGCGCCUUAUAAUGGCAGCAUUCUUCCGAGCAGCAGCCGAUCACAUUUGCGGAUAGGCGACAAAAGACGGCUGCGAUGCGAGCUACCCCAUCCACCGGCUGGGGUAAGUAAUACGUAUGCUGCUAUAGAGAUGUCAUUAUCAUGCCCGGUAAAUAUAGUGUCUUCGUUGUUCCACCUCGCAUUUUUCGAGUUUCGCCAAUCAGGCCUUUGACGGCCCUUUUCGACUCAUGCUGUAGUGGAUACCGUACUGCCAAGCUGAUUUGGUGAUUUCCAUUUGGCGAGAGCCAAAAAAACGCCUUCGAAAAUUGCCUUCGCACAUGCCAAUUGGUGACAGUUCAAGCGGGAAAUAGGUCUGGAUUUUCACGUGUUCUGAAAAUUGGUAACGGCCAAAAGGCCCACCGCGCACGUAGGACCUUCUGGCGACUGGAUUUGCGAUUACUUGACAUUCCUAGACUACUUUAGCAAGACAUCAUUAAGGAUUAGUGCUCGCUGUACAAGCAGAGGCAAGCUGUCGGUAGACUCGGCGGUCAACUUUGGUCGUAGCAAAGGACCUACAACUGUCACUAAAAACGAACAAUAAUAACAACUAUAAUAUAUAUAUGAUAGGAUUAACCAGUCUCAGCGUGAUUUUUUGCUUUUAUGUUGGACCAUUUCUUUAGUUUGCGCGGCAUUUGGCGACCAGUCGUACAGGAACCCAGUACCCAUUUUCACGGCGCACCCAAUUGGUGAUUUUCACCAAUUUCAUGUCACCAAAUCAGCUUGGCAGUACGGUAGUGGAAUUCGAGGCCGGCCCAGUUUGCUAAAACCGGAUGACUCUGUUCCUGUUUGAACCGCACGGGAGAGGGCGGGGGUGUGUAGAUAGAGCUACAUGCCGUGACACAUUCCAUGUCGCAUUAGGUUCCAUUUGAAAACCCUUCAGCCCUACCCUGAUAUAUGUAUGGUUAACUAGGGGUAGCUCCAAGUCCUGUGGGUAGUUCAAUUUAAGGCCCACAGUGGUGUAAAUGGGGCGUGUUGUAUGCUGUAAUUCUGGACUAAUGUACGGCCAAUAUUGCCGUUCCUUCAACGAGUGAUGGACGAUGCAUGAUAGCCUGUAUUUGUAUUUAUCGACAAAGGCAGAGCUUGUAUUUGCAAGGAGAAGCUUGCUGAGUGCGUUUAACUGGUUGUCGUUAAGGAGUAGUCCACGUGAUGAGCGGUUGACAAAGCCAAAGACAUUUUCUUAGGCGACAGCUUCCCUUAUACCGUCUGGUAGUAGCGACUUGAGUGGAUAAUUCUAUAACGGUUCGCUGUGGUCAUUUCACGCAAAUCUCGCUUUCCUUUUCGGGCCAGCGCACCUGGUUUAAAGCAAAGGCGGAGCCAAGCCGUGACUAUCGCUCGCAAAAGCCAACUGUAAUAGGCAUAUCCAAUGACUGGAUUUACUGGUAAAUUGGAUUAUUCCCUGGAAUUCUGGCAAGGUCCCGCAAGUUUGCUUACGGCAUAGAUGCGAACACCCUUAUGUGUAUGGCAGGACACCCUUUGGAUCCGCUGAGUCCAGAUGAGAUCCGCCAAGCUGCAGAUGUUUGCCGACUGUAUGCAAAGCAGGAGGGUGUGGAGGCUUUGCGCUUCAACGUCAUAACUUUGCAGGUGCCAUGGAUGCACGUGCUUCAGUUGGUGCCAGGAAUGCGACGAACUUCCAUAACUGUUUAGUUUCUGGGUCCGCUUUUCUACCUCUUUCCCUCGCAACUCGGCUCCGAUUUCCCUUUCACCAUACUCCAGGAACCGCGCAAGGUGCAGCUCCUGGCCUAUGGCAAAGAUCCCAGCAAUGUUACCCUUCCCCGACGCACAUUCUGCAUUCUGCAGCUGCCAGGUCUGUCUGGGGUGGUGGAGGCCGAGGUCGAACUUCAGGUGAGCCGGUCCCCAUGCUGCCUGCCUGCCUGGCAUAACAUUUUCUGUAUGCUGCCUGCCUGGCUGCCUGCCUGGCAUAACAUUUGCUGGACAGAGUUGCGAUGUGCGCGGCAGCGAUAUCGCGCGUGACGCCGUCCACUGCGUCCUAUUGUGUGCUGCACCAAGAUGCCAUGUGCUUCGCCGUGCGCAGUACGGCAUUGUUGUCAGGUGCGCGACGCAAGAAGCUGCGUGGCGCCGUCACGGUCGUCUGGUCGCCAUUUUACGCUGCCGAGAAGUAGCUACCUGACUGCCCGCCUGCCCGCCCACCUGACUGACAGACAGACUGACUGACGGACAGACAGACAGACUGACUGACUGACUGACUGCGCUGCUGCUGCUGCUGCUUCUGCUGCUGCUGCUCAAACAGGCGGGACAGUCACCCACCACCCAGAUGGUGACGGCCUGGGAGAAGGUAAGGGUAAUGGUAAUGGUAAUGGCAUUAUGGUGGCAGAUGGGGUCGAGGUUGGAGGGGGGGAGGAGACCGGAUGGGGGGUAGAUGAGAGGCGCCGGGGGUAGGUACGACGAAACACAGAUGAUUGGCGAAAGGAAAAUACCAUAGACGGUUAUCCCAAGGUAAGAUCAACAAUGAAGGACAAUAUGUAAGAUACGGACCCGUAGUGACUUGGCCGCGGGGGGGAGGCCGAAUCAGCAGGUCAGGACUUUUCAGUUCUCCAUGCAACCUCACAUGAAGCAGAAUAUGCUUUACAGACACUUUUAACACGCGCCCAAAUACACCUGCGCCUUACCCCUGUAUGCAUUUCAGCUGCCAGCUGCUUGCAUUGCCGUGCCGUGCCGUGCCGUGCCGUGCCCUGCCGUGCCGUGCCGUGCCGUGCCGUGCAUUUCAGCUGCCAGCUGCUUGCAUUGCCGUGCCGUGCCGUGCCGUGCCGUGCAUUUCAGCUGCCAGCUGCUUGCAUUGCCGUGCCGUGCUGAAAUGCAUUACGAGACAAUGGUCAGUUGUGGUGGGUGCGUAAGCUCGUGAUUGGGGCACAGUUGCACUCCCACGGUUGGUUGCCGCUGCCAACGAUCAACUACCAACACGGACCGACCCACGGGUCUUCCGUCCUGCACCAGCAAGCUGGCUGUGUUCCGAUCCAACCCACGCCUCGGUCGGAUAACGCAGGUCGAGGGCGUCCAUGCGCUUGCCAGCCCUGACGACUGCUUCGAGGCGGAGGCGAUUGCCAAGGCCGACCCACGGGUCGUGCAGCUGCUCCGGGAGCGGUGCGUCCGAACAACUCAACUAACUCAACGACCAACUGAACAGAUUAAAACAGCGAACGGUCGAAAGCGGCGACGGUCCGGGCCUGUCCUGGCACAUUUUUGGGCGAGGCCCCGGGCGCGAAGCGCCUUCGGGGGGCCGAGCCCCCGGGGUUCACCCCUGUCAGUCAGUCAGUCAGUCAGUCAGUCAGUCAGUCAGUCAGUCAGUCAGUCAGUCAGUCAGUCAGUCAGUCAGUCAGUGGCAUACAUAUCUCGCCCCGCAAAAAAUAGCAUUUGAAUGCUAUAUCCAUACUAUAUUGAAAUGUCUAAGGAGACAUUCCAGAUAAAUCGGAGCGCGAAGAUAGCUUUCCAUGGCUGCGAGGUAAACAUAAAUUUACAUAUCACGCUCCGCAAAAGGUUUAAUAUGGAAGCUAUAAGCAUUCUAUAACGAAAUGCCAAAGGAGAAAUUGCAGAUAACUCGGAGCGCGAAGAUAGCUUUCCAGGGGUGCGAGUUUGACAAACAGUUACAUAUCUCGCUCCGCAAAAGAUUGCAUGUAGAAGCUAUAUGCAUUCUACAUUCACCGGCCAAAGGAGACAUUCCAGAUAAAUCGGAGCGCGACAAAGAUGGCUUUCCAUGGCUGCGAGGUAAACAUAAAUUUACAUAUCACGCUCCGCAAAAGGUUUAAUAUGGAAGCUAUAAGCAUUCUAUAACGAAAUGCCAAAGGAGAAAUUGCAGAUAAAUCGGAGCGCGAAGAUAGCUUUCCAGGGGUGCGAGUUUGACAAACAGUUACAUAUCUCGCUCCGCAAAAGAUUGCAUGUAGAAGCUAUAUGCAUUCUACAUUCACCGGCCAAAGGAGACAUUCCAGAUAAAUCGGAGCGCGACAAAGAUGGCUUUCCAUGGCUGCGGGUUAAACAUAAAUUUACAUAUCACGCUCCGCAAAAGGUUUAAUAUGGAAGCUAUAAGCAUUCUAUAACGAAAUGCCAAAGGAGAAAUAGCAGAUAAAUCGGAGCGCGAAGAUAGCUUUCCAGGGGUGCGAGUUUGACAAACAGCUACAUAUGUCGCUCUGCAAAAGAUUGCAUGUAGAAGCUAUAUCUGUACUGUGUCAACCUGCCAAAGGAGAAAUUGGCAGGUCGGCAAACAAACUCUUUCUCACAUGCCCAGGCGAAUGAAUGCCUCUCGCAUUGUCGAUAGCAUACUAUCUCAAAGCUGUUGUUCAUAACAACAAGUGUGUGCCCUAAACAUAACGGCGUUCAUGUGCUUGCAGUCUUAUGCCGUACAUACGGGCUGCAAGUGGCUGCACCGGGGCCUCGCCCCUUUUCGGCUUUGAAAAGCCGCCCCCCUAGUUCCUUUACUCUUUAUAUCGUUAGUGCGGUAGUUUAUUUUUAUCUAGGUAACAGGUAACAUGCAUACGACGUAGGAAAAAAAUAUUAAAUAUAUUUUCCACCGCCGGAAUUGCAAAGUCCAUUUUACCCGAGUUCUUUUUUGGAGAACCAAGUUUUGCGGGUCUGGCGAAUCGGGGUACCCAUUCUCGACCUGCAUGUGCGUGUGAAUACCUGUCCCCAGACAGCUGUCCUUCGUGACCUCCUGGGACGCCCCCCUAACACCGCCAGGUCUGAUCAACCCAUCCUCGCUUCCUACCUUCGCGAUGCUGCCGAUUGACCUGCCGUACGUUCGUAUUUGCCGUACGUAGGUACGGCGUCAUGGAUCUGGAGCUUGUGUGUUGCGAUCCCUGGUCCAUUCACGCGAGCCCCCUUGAGGAGCGAGCCAUUCAGUGUUUCAUGUACCUGAAGACCUGGUAGGUGGCUGGCAGUAGCUGCUGCGGGUCGCUGGACAGCUGUAGCGCGUGGAUGACUGUAGCGGGUAGCUGUGAUGGCUGUAUGGUGUGGUUCUGGGGUUUGGCAAUGACGGCAGUAGUUGGUUUACCGAGUAGCCGGUGCGGCUGUAGCUGCGGGUACUUGCUUGAAGGGAGGCUGUAGUUCCUUUGUAGCUGUUUCCCUGUCUGUCAAUCCAAUACACUUUGCUACUGCCUUCCGCCUCUGGUUCUGUUGUCCACUACCACUGCUGCUGCUACUAACUGUGCUGCCAUUGUUUCUGAUAUUGCUGCUACAGCCCGGAAGACAAUGCAUACGCACACCCGCUGGACUUCGUACCCAUCGUCAGCAUGGACAGCCGUACGGUCGUACGCAUUGAUCUGCCGUACAAAGGUCCUACGGUGGAAUGGAACAAGGAAAACAACAACUAUCACACGUGGGUUUGUAAAGAGGGGGAGAUGGCGUGGGGUUGGGGAGGCCGGGGCCCGAGGGAAGAGGAAGAGGAAGAUGAGGCGGGGGUUAUCCCGGACGGGGUAGGGGUAGGAGUAGAAGUUCGGUACGUUGUGGAAGUUACGGAAAGGGAUUUGGGGGAGAGGAGCGGACAGCAAAGGUGGGUGAGGGGAAAGAAGCGUGAGGGAGGGGGGUGCAUCGGGAGGUUGGGGGAUGGGGGGAUGGGGGGGAGGUGCGUCGGGAGGAGGUUGAGAGGAGUGAGAGACGGAGAGAGGAAGGAGGAAGUAGGGGGAAGAGGGUGAGGGGAGAGGGGGAGGGGGGCGGGAGGUGGUGUUGCCCGAGCGGCGGGGCAAAGAGAUCAUCUAGCUGGUCAUUGUAGAACACAGCUUCUGGAUAUCCCGUUUGACCUGAUGUAUGUGUGUGUGGUCGUCGACAGUUUGCGAUUAAACUCACCAUGUAUGUAUGUAUGUUCGCUUGCUUACGUGCUUGCAUGUGUAUAUGCUUGUCUGUGUGGGUACACAGGGCGCUGCAGAAGGAAAUUCGUACAGACCUGAAGCCGAUUAACAUCGUACAACCUGAGGUGGGUGGGUGGGGGAGAGUGGUGGGUUUCGGGGUUGGGACGGGGGGUGGGCGGGGAAGUGGUACAUUCGCGUCGGAGAUUUUUUCUGACCCUUUUAAUUGUCAUUGCGUGCAUGUGAAGUGCGUGUGGGGAUUGUGAAUAAAAGAACGCGUAAGAGAUAGAGAGUGUGUGUAUGUAUGUGUGCAUGUACGGCAGCACGUACGGCGCUUCGGCGCACACGUUCAUACUAAUUGCGUUGUGCAAUUUCUACACACUUCGUUACAAUCCUCCCUGUAACAUCCAUCCAUCCAUCCAUCCAUCCAUCCAUCCAUCCAUCCAUCCAUCCAUCCAUCCAUCCAUCCAUCCAUCCAUCCAUCCAUCCAUCCAUUCAUCCAUCCAUCCAUUCAUCCAUUCAUCCAUCCAUCCAUCCUAUAUCACAUGAAUGAAAAAAUGUGCAUGCAACAACAAUCUAGAUAUUUUGAUGG
rnacentral:lncRNA from 1 species